UUUCUCUCUCUCUCUCUCUCUCUCUCUCUCUCUCUCUCUCUCUCUCUCUCUCUCUCUCUCUAUCUCAUGACUCCAACCUCAGGGAAUAUUCUUACACCAAUACUUGACCAAUGAGUAGUUGUUUCCAUAAAUUAUUACGUAGCAAUAAUAACGAGGCCUUGUUGGUAAUACAUUGGGUUCAUCUACAAUAAUACAACUAAUGAGAACAAAUGACACAUGAGAGUAAAAGCCAAAUUUGGCUGAGCUUUUGACAGAAUUGAGACAUAAGUUUUGAUACUACUAAGCAUUUUUCCAUUCAGAAAGCACUGAGAUUAACCCAAUACGAAAGAGAACAAAAUUGUAAAUGGGUAGAGAAGUAAGUCUUUGAUUUGGUGGUGGGGGUGAAGCUGGGAAGCUAUCAAGACUUCCAAUUGUGUGCAUAUGUUAUCUUGGAAUCAAUACCUUUUGUGGCAUUGAAGGGCAGUGGAGGUGACCUUUUUGGUAUUCAAAUGAGUACCAUAUUUGUUUAACAUUACAUCCACAUGGACCACUGCUCCUCAAAUUUGUGGUCCAUGAAGAUGGGGGUGGAUUCAUAGGAUGCAAUUUCAUUCAUUUUCAACUGGGACUAGUAUAAAUAUUGUCCAUUUUGGAUAACUAGCCCUCGUGCACUAUAAAAUGUGUCUACCAAACGUUUCACCCCUUAUAAAUUUCAUAAGCUUUUCUCCCCCAUGCUUAGGUUAUCAUGGUCCCCCUCCAAAGAAAAAUGUGUAUGUGAAGACAUCUUAGGGUGACAGUUAUUAUCAUUUUGUGGGAGAUUCUUGGAUCUGGUUUUAUACAAUUUGCAUUGACAUUCACACACCUAACAUCACAAAAAUUCAACUAGUUGCCCUUACUUUUUUCAGGCGAUAUUCAGAGGUUCCCCCACAGCCCUUUCUAAUCCAAUGAUAUCUACUGCAGGAGAUAAAGGGCCCAAAAGAGACUUUUAAGUGCCUAAGAGUGACAAUAAUUGGAUGCUUUUUGCAAUAAUCGGCCGAGUUGUAUCCACCUCGAACCUUUUCACGCCAAGCCCGAUAUCCGGUACCAUCUUCAACACAGACCCAACUAAGAACCGGUUAAACUAGGUCGCCUCGGUUGAGAUUCUGAGUGGACUCAAGUUAAAAUUACGAGUUUAAUCUUUUAAGAUCUAAAUAUUCUCAUAUUAAACUAUUUUUUUUUGUUUUCAAAUCACAACAAAAGGCAACCAAAACUUAGAAAUCUCUAAUAAAUAUGAGAGAUUCUCUUAAAAAUAUUUUUUUUUCAAGACCUAUAACCGUGAAGGAUAAGAAGAAGAAAGAAAGCUUCGUGUUAGUAAUGUAGUUUGUGUUGCAUGUUGGUGUUGCCUCUUCUUGCUUGAUCUCCAUAGUGUUGUUUGGCUGUGUAUUAAAGAGAGGCUUUUGCCUCUGCAAAUCGGGUAUCCCAUGGUGUAAAUAAGUGAUGUUUAAUUGGGAUUGAGAAUUAAAGAAAAUGGCUUAAUGUAUUGUCUUAUAUAAAAAUGAUUUAUUAUUUCAAAUGUUCAUGUAUUUGCAUCUUUUAUCUUAUAUGUUAACUGCAUUUGGAAUUAGAAAUUUGAAAAUUAGUAUUUUAUAUAUUAAAUAUGAUAUGAAUGACUUUAAUUUAGGUAAUAUAUUAUUUUACAUGGUAAUGAUAUUAUAUAAGGUGUAUUACUUUAUAUGUUAAUAAUUUAAGAAAUUAUUUCAUUUAUUAUUAUAUCAAUAGUUUAUUAUUAAGUUUAUUAGUUUCUUAAUUCAUUUAAUUAUUUUAAAAAUCAUUUUUAUAAUUUUUUGAUCUUCUUAAGUAUCUUAUUUUGCGUAUAUCAAGAUGCCGAUACGGAUGUGCAUUAGAACCUUUUGAGUCAAUGACCGAUACCACGAUUUUGAAUCAUAAUUCUAGAAAACUAUCAAAUAUACAUCUAUUUGAUAUUAAGAACAGCGACGGCUACGCCAUGUCUCAGUUUUUAAUUCUCAUUCAUACUAGGUUCUCGGAUGCUUACAACAAAGCCCCAUUUGUUAGGUUGCAUAAGCCAAACAUAAGAUAUUGCGUUGAAUUGGGUAACAAUUAUUGCACUUUUCUGAACAAACCUUUGCUUGGAUUGCAUAUUAAAAAUUUAGAACUUUGUAUAUAUUUAAUGUUAAAUGUAGCUUUCUAGCAUCUAAUAAUUCAUUAAAACACGUGUUCAAACCAUGGGGGUGUCCAUUGGCAGAAACAAACAGUUGAUAUUGUAUGGCAAAGGCAUAUAUUCAUGUCAACAGGGGAAUAUCAGGGAUGAAUGAUAAAUGUGCAUGUGUAUGUGUUUUGUUUGAUGUCAGAACUUAUUAGUCAUGUAAUACAAAGAAGAAAUGGUCACAACCUAAUGCAAUCUACGUGCCAAACCUAGAAACCCAGAAAUUCAGAACUUUCCAGAUUAUUAGGAAACUGAAUUACUGGCAAACGUGUAUUGAAGGGACUUCUUGAAAGCUAUCCUCACUGUCAACUAAACUUUAUCGCUGAUAUAUGUUUCAUGGUUGUAAUCAAAGUGACUUCUUCAUUAGCACUGCAUUCCGUCCUCAAGGUUUUCUUUGACAAUUUACAAAAUCUGCACCAUGCUGAGGGGAAAAAUGGUGCAUACAGUGGACAAAAACCUAUUGCCAAAAUUUUUGCAGCUUCAUAAUCUUUUCCAUCCCUUGUUUGCUGGACCAGCAAAAUAUAAGUGGUUGCAUAUACGAUCUCUUAAUCAUAGCUUCCAGUUCCAGUCAAAGUUCAUCAAUUGUUACAAAAUGACCUUACUUCGUUUUGGCAUUUCUUUGGAGCCUGUCAAAAAUUGGAUUUCCUACUAGUUCUUUAGCUGAAGGCCACCAAACUGGAUCUGGAUCUAGGAUUAUCAAUAAAUCAACCAUAUAGUGCAAGAUCAUCUUAACUACGGGCUUCAAAAUAGCAUAAAAAGAAAAUUAUGAAAUGACAGUAGACGUUAUCUUUUGAUAUAAGGGAGUGUCUGCAGGCAAUUCAAGAAUGAAUUCUAACCACCACUGGAAUGAUAUCCAGUCACCAACUUCACUAAAAAAUUCAUUCUUGUAACUAAGUCUUCCGUGUUGAAUUUUGGCUAUACAUGCUUGAUACUAAUGAGACGGCUGAUCAUCACCUUUCCCAUGUUUCAAAGCUCAUAAAUCAUUCCCACUUUCAGCAUACGUUUGUGUGGAAUGUCAAACACACUCUCUGCCUGUCUCAAAUUCUUCUUCAAUAUAUUAUAGCCAACAUUUAUCAAAACCUUCUUUCCUAAUCCGGAGCCCUUAUCCGCCAUCACCUCAGUCUCACCGAUCAAGUGCACCACACCCGCUUGUGCCGCUCUAUCAAUUGCUUCAAUAUCUUUGUCAACAUUCUCUUGGCGCCUUUCUUCAUCCUCUUGGAGCCUUUCUUCAUCAAUUUCCUUUGAUUCUUCGGCCUCAUUCUCAACAUUAAUCAACCUAUCUUGCAGCUCUCCAGAAUCCAUGUCUCCAGUGUGUUCUCUUAUGAACUCCUUCAAUCUUUCAACCAGCAAUCUCUCAAAAGGGUCUUCCUCGAAUCGCAUGUCGGUGUACCCGUACCUCACCACACACUGGAACACAUAAAUAUCAUCUGGGUCUACCCUGCGGAAGAGGAAUCGUUCUUCCACUGGAACCUUGCUUAUGGGGAGAGACUUGAUUGAGACGAAAACAAGAACUGAAUGCAAUGCAGGCACAUUUUCCAUGUAAUGCUUGAAGAUGGGCGGGAUGCCAUGAACAAGCUCAGAGUAGAAGAUGGCCAAUCCUGGUAUUCUACUAAAGUUUGUGCUCCCUACUAAUUCCUUCACCACCUCAGGAGAAAUCUUGUGAUCCAGAUCAUAAUAGUAUUUCCUCCGGUACACAUCAUUCCAAAUGUACAUUAUGGUCAUCAGAACUAAGGCAAAGGCCAAGGGUAGAUACCCUCCUUGAUCAAACUUGUAGAGGACUGAACUUAGAUACAGAAGCUCAAUGCUACCAAUGACCACAACAUAUGAGAUCACUAGUAGUAUAUGGGUUUUCCAUAUCAUGAUCAUCACAAGAACCAGAAAUGAUGAGGUGAGGGUCAUCACGAACACCACCGCAAUCCCUACACCAACAAAGACUCGCAAUCAUGAUCAUUUUGAAACAUCACUAAGCUCGAGAAAAGCUGAAAAUAUGAAAGAUGUGGGGUAGAUUACCAUAUGCAUUUCCGAUCUUUGUGGUAGUCUUAAACCCUACAGUGACCCCUACACAAGCCAGCAUGAGAAGGUAAUUGACCUCAGGAAUGUACACUUGCCCUUCAUACUUAGUCGAUGUAUGCACAAUCUUCACUCGAGGAAAGCACCCAAGUGAGAGAGACUGCUGGAUAAUGGAGAAAGUCCCAGAUAUCAUAGCUUGACUGGCAAUGAUCGACGCUGACACAGCCACAACAAACAUCGGCCAGUACAGACCAUCUGCACCGAAGAAACCCCACCUCAACCAAUAAAAUAACUAUCAAGAAGACAGAAAACAAACUCUAAAGCCAGAAUGCUCACGUGGUAUGGACUUGAAGAAAAGGUCAGCAACAUCCUGAUGGUGUUUCCGGAGAAAGGAGGCUUGUCCAGUAUAUGCCAAUACAAGAGCUGGGUAUGUGACAGCGCACAUACUUAUUUGAAUUGAUCGAACUGUGAAGUGGCCAACAUCAGCAAACAGCGCCUCCGUCCCUGCAUUUUCCCGAAAACAAUCUGAGAAAUUUCUCAAGUUAAUGAUGGAGGAGAAUUGAUUAUUGAUCCAAAUCCAAACCUGUUAUGGAGAGGACGGCCCCACCAAGGGAAAUCCAGGCUUCUUUCUUGUUCCUUCUAAAGUAAUUGAUGAUGUACUUGGGAUUAAUGGCUUUAACAACUGUUGGAUCAAACUUGAUGAAGUUGUAGACCCCAAUGCCGCUAAUUAACGCGAACCAAACACAGAUUAUUGGAGCAAAACUGUAUCCAACUUUGUCAGUUCCAAAUCUUUGAACCAUGAAAAGACACACCAAGAUGGCUACUGAUAUCCAAACAAUCCUAUCUGUGUCCAAGAAAAAAGUUAUUUAACUUUGUCAGUUCCAAAUCUUUGAACCAUGAAAUAAAAUUUAUUUACAUUUUUCAACUGAGGAAAAAAUAAAAAUAAAAUAAAAUAAAAUAAAGAAAGAAUGGUGAAUAAUAUGAUUAUAUAUAACCAUUUAAAAAAAAAACUUAUGAUAUGGGAAUUUUUUAUUGUAUUUAAUAAUUUAAACUUUUACCUUUUUAUCAGUCACGAUUGAGAGGACAAGUCAAAAUAUUAUUAAGAAUAAUUAUUCGAGGAUGUUAUUGUAAGUUGAAAGGAUUAUUUUAAAUUUGUCAACAGUACAAACCCAUUAUUUUAUUUAUUUUCUUUUUCCUUAAAGAGGGUAAAGAUUCUAAGUUAAUAAGCCAUUGGAUUAAACACUUUUGUCUACACUUUACUAGUCAAAAUUGGACAAUCUGUUUUUUUUAUCAAUUAAUUUGGUUCAAUUCAAUUUUUUGUAAUUAAAAGGAGUAAAAUAAUUAUAGAUUUACAAAUCUUAAAAAAAUAAAAAAAUAACCUACAAAAAUGCCAUUCCUUUUUUUUUUUUUAUUUUAAAAAAAUUAUCCAAAUGUUAGAUAAAAAAUUUAUUGUAGUAGUUGAUUUUAAAAGUUGAGAAAGAUUACCUUGUGUCAUUGAAUCUGUAACUUCCUUGAUGCCACCCACAGCAGAUAAAACUAUGACAUGCAAAGUCAAAUAUCAAAUAUACAAUAAAAGACUGAAGGACGAAACCCAUUUUCUUUGUCAACAAAAAUCCAACUAAGGUGGUGUUUAUAUUUUACUUAAUUUUUAAUAGAACCUUAAUACUUAAUAAUGUUAAAUAUUAAGUUAUUUGUUUUUGUAGUAUUUUAUUUCUAUUAAAUAUUAAAAAGUAAAGAAAAACCAAUAUAUUAUAUUUUUUUAUUUAGAAAAAACUAUAUAUUUUGGUUUUUUCUAUUUAGUAAAAAGUUUAUAAUAAGUUAUGAAAAAGUAGAAAAACAAAAACCUAAUUUCUGAAAACAAAUUGCUUUCAGCAAAAAACCAAAAAAACAAACACCACCUAAAUUAAUUUGCAGUACCACUAGUAGACAAGAGACCCAUCCUAAUUCCUAACUAUAAGAAAAAUUCAUCCUAAUUCCUAACUAAUAAGAAAAAUUAAUAAUAAAGAAGAAAGUUGAAUGCAUAUUCUGCCAUAUACAUAUAUCUACUUAAAUUAGUCAUAAGUAAUUUUCAAUGAUAAUAAAAGAUAACUUUAAAAAAGCUAAGCACAAGAUUUUUUUGGCAACAAAAAUUUGUAAAAGGAAAAGUCAUUUAUUAUGGAAGAAAGAAACCUUUUAAAUAUCUCAAACUAACUAAAAAAGGAUGAUGUAAAUUAUGGUUGUUUUUUAUUUUUUAUAGUAAGAAAAGUAUUUCCAAAAAUGGUAGCGUGAUAUGGUUUUUACUUUCCAAAUAAGAAAGGUAUCUCCAAAAAAAAUGAUACUGUGACAUGCUUUUUACUUUCUAAAGUAAGAAAAAGUAUUUCCAAAAAAGGUAGUGUGACAUGGUUUUUACUUUCCAAAGUAAAAAAAGUAUUUCCAAAAAUGGUAGUGUGAUAUGGUUUUUACUUUCGAAAAGUAUUUCCAAAAAAUACCAUGUGAAAACAAAGAUGAAAGGAAAAAAAUAAAAUCUUUUAAUAAAUGCAUAAGGAAAAAUAAAGGUGUAUGACAGUAUGUCAUUAAAUUUGUAUGUAAAUGUAAAGAAGGAUAAAAACUAAGCUAACCUGAGAUGCAAGGAGUGAGGACACCAUCACCAAUCACCAUGGAAGUGCCAAGCAUUGUAGCAAACAACAGAAAGAACUUAGCAAAGUUGCUCUUCUCUAGCUUAGACUUAAGCUUUGAUGCCAUCUGCAGUCUUUUACUAGGCAGCUCCAACCGGAAAUUGGAGACUUCUCUGUCCUCAGCCUGUUGACUAGGGAUCAACCCCACCUUGGCAUAUCGGCAUAUAAGAGAAUACAAAGCAAAUGUCCCUCCUGAAAAUUAUCCAGUGUUUAAAAGAAGUGUAUUCUAGGCUUAAUGGGCUAUUUUCCUCUUUUUUGAGUUAUAAUGUGAACCACAUAUUUAGAGUUGAAAAGGCAGAAAGGAUUAAAAAAAAGAUUCAUUGGAUUGAGUGCACAAUUGUCGAUCAUUAAUUAAGCACAUACGAGGGAAGUUUCCCUUCCCCAGUUGGAGCCUGCAUGGUUAUUUUCAAGGGCAAGUCACACAGUUUGAUACAUCAAAGUUGGCCUUCAAUGGUGUUUUUCACUCAUCUCAAGACUAGAAAAAAAUGGCAAAAAAAAAAGAAAAAAAGAAAUUAAUAAACCAUUUUGCCUGGUAUGGAAAAGUCUUAAUAUGUGGCAUAUUUCUAAUAAGAAAAGAUGAUGGGUUCAUGCCAUAAAGAAAACAAAAAAGAAAAAGGAAAGAUAGAAAAAGAAGAUCACAGUACGAUACAUUUCAAUUAAAAUCAAAGGUCGUUAAUGAUCAUGAGCUCUCACCCUCGCCAUUAUCAGUGGCCUUCAACACAGUCAAGACGUACUUGAAGAGAGGGAUGAGGGUGAGGGUGUAGAAGAUGAUAGAAAGAACCCCCAGAAUAUCAUCAUUAUGUUUGACACCAUCAGUGAAAGUGCUUGCAUACACGUACAACGGCGAAGUUCCAAUGUCCCCAUACACUAUUCCCAUGCUCUGAAACGCCAGGUGCAGUAUCACAGACCAGUCCUUGGUAUCCUUCAAAACAGAAAUUCAAAAGAUUAAAAUAUAUAUAUAUAUAUAUAUAUAUAUCAAAUUUUCUUUCUCCCAGUUUCCAUGCAUAAAGGGGUGGGGGGUGCAGACCUUGGAGCCAUGGUGGCUGUGGCCAUGUACAGUCCCGGACUCCAUGUCUAGGGAGUCCAUACGACGCAAUUUUCCCCGUGAGAGUUUCUUUGAUUUGAGGCCUUGAUCAUGGGUGUCAUCAGGGCUGUUUACCACAUCAGAAGACAUUUUCUAUGAUCUGAAAAGGGCUUUGAUUGGACCGGAGGUUAUGCAGAAGAUGAAGAAGGUGCAGAGGCCAGUUUAAAGGCACAGAAAGGUCUGAAAAGAGUGAACGAGAUGUUGAUGGGCAUCUCCAAAUUUACCUCUUGGUUUUGUGCUUAUUUACCUUCCAUGCCCUGCCCUCACUGUCGGUUGAAAAUAGAAAACCGCGUGGUUUGAUUUUAUGAAUGAGUAAACGAGAUUCCGACAGUGUUUUUUUACCAUUUAUUUUUCAAAUUUGUUGGAAAACGCGUUAUCAGUAAAUAAACUUACCCCAUAUUAGUCCAAUGGUUGAUAUCUGAAACCUAUUAUUUACUUUUUUUAAGAUAUGACUUCCUAUUAUAUUCCUUUACAAAUUUGAAAAUAUUUUUUGAAUUAGUAUAUUAUUAAAAAUAUUUUUUAACUAAUAUAUAUAUUUUAAAUUCUCACGCCUACAAUAAGGAUAUCCCAUCAAUAUUCCUAAAAACUUCUUUUUAUCCUUACGUUUUAAUUAAACGUGUGUUUUAAAGUGAUUUUAAAAAACGUUUAUAAUAUUUUUAAUAUUUAAAUAUAAAAAAUUUAAAUUAAAAAGAUAAAAAUUAUUUUCUAGAUUCUAAGCUUUCUUCAAUUUUGUUUUUUAUUUUUAAAAAUAAAAAUAGAGAUUACAAUAAUUUUUUUUUUUAAUGACUAAGUUAUUUAUGAGAAAAAUAUUAUAUUUAUAAUUUCUUUCAUCAUUAUUUUUCUUCUAUUAUCACAUACAUUUAAUUAAUAAAUUAGAUUUAAUUAGACUAAAAAUUCGUUUUGCAAUGUUUAAAAAAAUAUUUCUAAUGUUUCGUAUUUCACAAUAUUUGAUUGCACAUUAAAAGGAUACCCAAAAUUUAUUGUUUAAAAAUAAGUAAUAAAUUUGAGAUGGUGACAUCGGAACCCUACUCUCAUAUAUCGCCCAUAUAUCUCGAUAUUUUGUUCCAUGAUUGAAAUAUGCAUGGGGGAGUGUAGUGCUCCAUGAACUUUCCAGUGGGGUGAAAAUUCUGUAGCAUCACAUGCAGAUGCGUCAUAGUCAUAAUCACGUGUUAAACGUAUUCUUUCUGCAACAUCACAGAUCACAGGAAGCCUAUGAUGGUUGACCCUAAGAUGAAUUGCAUAUAUUCAUAGGCCUUGUUUGGAAAAUAUAAUAUCAAAAAAAUCACAACAAUCCGAGUUUAAAAAAAUACAAAUUUAUAUUCAAUUAUUCAGAUACUAUUUUUUUAAUAGUUUAAGUUCUAUCUUUGACUAUUUUAAGUAUCAUCUAUUUUAUGAUUAAAGAAAAGUUCAAUGAACACGACAUAGAGUGAUAAAAAAAAAAAGGACCAUGAAAUAAAACUUCUCCAUUUAAGAAGAUUCAUAAUAAUAAUAAUAAUAAUAAUUAAAAAAAAUAAAAUUAUUGAUAUUUCUCAUCCCCUUGAUAGAAAAGGAAAUUGGUUAUUGCUCCUUUAUAUUAUAGAGAUAGAAUUCUUGUCAAAUUCAUAAACUAACAUAAUGUCUAAUUCAUUUUCAUAAUGGAAAAUGUACUCUCUCCCUCUCAUCUAAAGAAGAUAACAUUGGUUAUUACUACUUUACAUUCAUAGAGAUAGAAUUCUUCAGAAUUCAUUAACUAAUAUAAUGUCUAAGACGCACAAAUUUCAAAUUGCUUUUGUGUAUGGCACACAUGGUUGUUGUCUAAAUAUGACAACUCUUUUCGUCAUUAAUUUUUUCAAGUUAUUUUUAUUAUAAUUUUAAUUUUUUUUUCAAAAAAAUCAUUUUAGAAUCAUAUAAAUUGUUAAAAAUUUAUUGAACAACAUUAAUUUUCUUAGCUAAUCCAUUAUAAAAAAUAAAUUAGGUAAAAUUUGAUUAGAGUUCUUUUUCUUUUUUGGUUCUUUUCUUCUAGUAAAACUAUAUUUUUAAAUUAAUAAACUCUAAAAUAAUGCUAAAUAUUUUUAAUUAGUUAUUGACUUAUUAGAUAUAAAAUUUAUUUAUUUAUAUGAAAAUUUUCAUGUGAUGAACUCUCAUUUAUUAGGAAAUUAUGAAAACUUGUAAUUUUUUUAAUUUUUAUGAUCUUAAAAUUCUCAAAUGGACCUUAAUUUGAAUGUUAUUAAUUAUUAAUGUUGUAUAUUGUAUGUAAAUAAGUAGUCUUUAUCCUUAAAAAAAUGUAUUUUGUUUAUUUGUAUUUUAGGAUAAAGAUAUUUGAAAAACAAUAAUUAAAAUAAAAUUAAUUUAAUAAAUUGUAGAAAAUCCUAAAAUACCAAAAUUUACUCCAUUGUUGUUUUAUAUAACUAAGAAAAAUAUUUGAAAAUUAGUAAUUUAAUAUAUUUCUAAAUAUCCUAAAAUAUCAAAAUGGAUUGUAAUACAAAAAUUUAUAAUGAUUAAUGAUGGGAUCACUUAAAAAAUUGGUAAUAAGAUGAUAAUUAGGGUUUCUAAUUAUGUUCAAUUAAGUAAAAAACACGUAAAGUUUUUUUAUGUUAAAUUCUACUUAUUAGUAAUUACUCAUAUACAUGAUAUAUGAAUAUAUAUAUAUAUAUAUAUAUAUAUAUAUAUAUAUAUAUAUAUAUAUAUAUAUUUCAAUUUUAGAAAAUUGUGAAUUUUUUCAGAUUGACUUUUUAUCCAAAUUAGUUAAUUUUAUUUUUUAGUAAUAUUUUUUUAGAAAGUAAAGAAAAUGACAAAAAAAUAUUUUAUAUUAAUUAUAUUCUUUUAUUUCUUGGGAUAAUUUUAUUAAUUUAUGAAAAAUUUAUUUUUGAGUCAAAUGUAUAAAAUUUAAAUAUUCAAUGAGAUACACUUCUUAGUUUUUUAUUUUUAGAAACUUUUGUACAAAAGUAGAGAUAUUAAUGAGUCAUUGAACUAUCUACAUGGUUGACAGCUCUUACAACUUUGGCACAACAACACAAUUAUCAGGGGCAUGUUGUACCACCAAGCUAAUAGUUCAUAGUACAAGUCUUCCAUUAGGGACCCACCAUGCCAAGAGCGAGUGAAACUUCAUCAUUCUUUUGUCUUUUUUUACUUCAAUAUCACCACAUAAGAGAGACAUGAGGACGUAAAAUAAGGUUUUAUCAAUUUGUUCUCACCCAACAUAAUAAUGACAUGAGUUUGGUUGGUCUUCACCUUAUAUGGUGAAUACAAUGAUGGUCACUUUUGCAAAUUGAAACUUAAAGAAUGUAAGUGACAAUAUAAAAAAAAUGAUAUAAUAAAAAUCAAUAUAAUAACAAAUUACAAAUAAAUAAAUAAAAAAUAAAGAGGAAAAAAAAUAUAUAAACACAAUAUUUUACAGCAAUUUGACACAACCCAACUUACAUUUACUUUCCUCAAGUUUUCAAUCAGGGGACAGAUUUUUUAAUAAGGUUUCUAACUCAAACCUUCAAGUUUACAAUGGACCAUAGUUCCAAUCAACUUUCUUGGACUUCUAGCUCCAAAUACCCUUUUGGAUUAUUGUUUUAAAUAUUCUUUAUAACAAAAAAUUUCAAUAUAAAGCAUUAUUUUCAAAAUUGGAUCAGAUAUUGAACCAAAAAAGUUAUCGAUUCACCGGUCGAACAUGUGAUUUAACCGCGGUCAAAUCGGUGAUAUUAUAAAUAUAUAAUUUAUAUUUUAAUAAAAUUAAUAUAUAUAUAUAUAUAUAUAUAUAUAUAUAUAUAUAUAUAUAUAUAUAUAUAUAUAAUUUUUUAAUAAUAUUUUGUAUUUUAUAUUUGAUAUGUCAAAUUAAAUAUUAAAUGAUAAAUAUAAAUAUAAAUGUAUUAAUAUAUUAAAUUUUAUUAAAUAGAACAAUAUUUAAAUAUGAGGAUAUAUUCAAGAUAAAAAAUUAUAAUAUUUAAAUUAAUUGCAUAUAUAUAUAUAUAUAUAUAUAUAUAUAUAUAUGUAUUUUGUUAUUUUAAAAUUUUAAAAACUAUUAUAUUAAUUAAUUUAUGUUAUUUUUUUAUUUAUAAUUAAUAAUUAUUAUACCAAUAAUGGUAGAUAUAAAUAUUUAUAUUUAUUUAAAUGUUCUCUAUGAUAAAAAUUUAAAGUAGGAUAUAUACGUAUUUUCCAUGUUAUUGACCAAAUAGCUAUGUAAGUUGGUGGUCGACCACUCAUUAUGUAAACCACAUGUCCUAGGUUUCAAUUCCCCUCCAUGUGAAGCUUAUUUUAUUAUUACUAAGGCCUAACCUCUCCCACAUUGAAAUUCUACAAAGCAUUUAUGUAGCAUUUAUACCUUUACAUCAUAAGUGAAAGUAAAUUGCCAUAUAAUACAAUAAAUGGGCUUGGAAGAAAGUGAGAAAUGAGCUAGAAAAUUGUGGAAACCAGGGUGGAAUUUGGUUAAACCAUAAUUGACUAGUUCAUGAGAAAUUGGAUAGUUUGUCUGGUUUGGCGAUUGAAUUGUCGAUUUAUUUUGUCCAACGACGGUCCAUUUCACUAGAUCAGACCAAAAAAGCCAUCAGUCGAUGGUUAAACCGGCCGGUUCGGUCCAUUUUUCAAAACAAUAAAAUUAAGGUUGAAUGAUACAUUAAAAUAAAAUGCAAGUUUAAAAGUAAAUGCAUAUCUAAAAACACUCUCUUGGUGCUUCAAUUAUAUUAAAAAAUAAUUUAGAGCUCUUUCUCGUUCAAAGAAGAGUUGAGAGCCACUAGAUAUAAUUUGAGUACUAAUUGACCAACCAAUAGAUUAACUACUAAUCAUCAAGGUUACCAUUUCCUAACAAACUCAACUGAUUGAGACUUAGUUUAACCUAGUUGAAUCAAGGUUAUGCCAAUGAUUGGAGCCAAAAUAUGUGCUCCAAUGGCACAUAUAUAAUAUAAUUUAUACAAUAUAAAAAGCUCAAAUCAUCAAACUUAACUUAAAUUGAUGCUAAAAUCCUAACUAUGGAUCUAACUUCCCUUUUUGAACCUAAUUCCAAAUCUAAGGGGUGAAAAGAAUGCUUAGUACAAAUUUCAUUCUCAACCAAGGGAGUAGAAAAGGUUAAAUAUACAUAAAUGAGAGACUUCAGACUCUUGAACCAUAAAUAGUCCGAAUAAGAGCAUAAUGAAAAAACAAUAGGCAUGAGAUACUAGUAACGAAUGUUAUGAAGUGAGAUAGAAGGAAAUAAAUCAUAAUGAAGGAAGUUUGAAGCAAAUACAAUCAAAUUCACAUGGAAAUUAGGAACUCAAAAUUUGGCUAUAACAAGCACUCUAAAUUUGAGGUGAAAUUUGGAGGACUUCCCAAAGUCAUUUUUAAGCAUGUUAUGUAUCAUUUCGAAGUUUGGGAAGUCAAGAGUCUAACACUUCAAAUGAUGUGCAAAUUAGAACUGAAAUGAGGAAGUUAUGUGCAUUAGAAGUGAAAUAGUAGUAGGUAAGUUCAAAAUUCAUAGUGAAUUUUGAACUCACCAUGGUGAUUUCAAAUUGGAACUUUUCAUCCAUUUAUGAGCUCAAAAUUGAUUUGGAACUCACCUCAAUUUUGAAUUCAACAGUUGGUGAUUGAGUUAUAGCUCUAAAACAUACUAAAAAUGAGUUUCAAAUGCCUUAAUCUAAUUCAAAAUGCAUUUUACUCAUUUAGAACUCAUAAUAUUUAGAGUUUUUUUAGGUUGUUUAUAAUUUUUCUUUGUAAUAAGUGGCCAAUGGAAGUGUAUCACAUGUUAGGUUAUUGAAUUUAUUAAAAUUUUUUACUUCUAGGUUUUGAAGGAGGAAGAGAAAAAGAUAGAGUGUAGGAAGUGAAUCUCCUCUUAAAAGUCUUUAAUAGAGUUUAAGGUUUUCUUUUCUUUUUCAAUCUUUCUAUUUUAUUUUCUCGGCAACCAAACAUGGGUUGUAAGAAGAAGCCCUCCAUCAUGUUUGGCUAACUUGAUUAAUCCAAAUAUGCUAACAUGAUGAAGGUGAAGAAUCCAAAAAAAAAAAAAAGCAAUAACACGACAAAGUAUGAUUUUCUUUAUGUUUUCAAGAUUUAAUUGAUAAGAAUAAAUCUUUUACGUGAGUUCACUGUAGAUAAAUUACAAAUGAUUCUUAUCAAGAUAGUAGUGAUUAUUGAGAAGACAUUGAUCACUAAUUACUAUAAUUUGAUCUUACUAUUAACGAAUUUAAGGGUCAAAUCUACAAAGAUGGAUAUAGCCUUUGAUUGAAUAAAACUGAAAAUCAAAAUUGACUAGCACCUAUCAUUGUGAGUUUGUAUUGGGGAUUGAUACAGUAGAUUAUUACCCGUUACUAGUGAUUUUUGGUAACUUCUAAUCUUUAGUUAUCCUAGUCUUUUUUAUCCUUAUUUUUUCUUAAAACAAAGAUACAAGGAGUUGGAAAUGUCAAAAAGUCAAACUUUGAACCAAUAAUUAAUUUUUAUUCUCAUUCACUUGAUGGUUUUAGAAAUAUGUUUUAAAAAAGAAAAAAAACUAAGUUUUGGAUGUAACAUUAAUCUUAGGAUUCAAUUUGGUUGUGGAUUGACUUUGAUCUUACACCCUAGAUUUUAUAAUGCUAUCCUUCUAAGGAUUUGACCUUAGAUUAUGAAACUCUCUGGAACAUUCCUUUUUUAAUUUGAUUUAGUUCAUUUAAUAUUCAAGAAAUCUUUAUUGAUAUUUUAUCCCUAUUUAUUUAAAUUAUGAUUUUAUUAUCUUAAACAAAUAAUUAAUCUUUUUAAUCUAAAAACAAAUAAACACGUUAGAGAUAAUUCCAAAGGAUGACACCCCAAAAUAUUAUCAAGCCAUGGUAAUUCUAUCUCUGGUUUUUCUUAGCUAGAGUUAUCAAGUAUUUAGGUUUUAGUAUUUUAUUUUCAAUAAAGUUGAGCAUUUUUGCUCUCCUCAAUUAGUUGAGUCUAACCGCAUUAACCGGUUCUCUUGUACCUCAAUGGAUUGCACAUUUUUCAGAUUGAAUUAAGGUUGGUAAACCUCGAUUAAUAGCUCCUCAAUCUUUCAAACCUUUAAAAAUAUUUUACUCACAUUAAAACUUAGAUUUUUCCUUACAUCAAUUUUUUUCAUCUAAUUUAUAAAAGAAUGCAAAACAAUUUAGUACUUUAAUGACUUUAGGUGUUUAAGUAAAAAUGAAAUGUAAUAUGAAUUAAUAGGCCAAUAACUUUACAAAGGGAUUCUAUAAAAAUUAUCUUUAAAUACCAUUUUUUAAGGUAUUAUCCUUAUUAUUGAUUUUUUUUUUCUACUUGAUAAUUGCUUUUAUGGAAAUUUUCUUACCUAAGCACCCUUGGGAUAAAUCAUUGGUUUUCAACUUUGUUAUGUUAUCAUCAAAAUCAAAAUUAACUUCCUUAGUUUUAUAGCAUGUUGUACUACUAAGCUAAUAGCCCGUUGUGUAGGCCUCCCACCAAGGGAUCAACUAUGCUAAAAGUAAGAAGAAACACAUCCUUCUCUAUUAGCCUAAGGGUUUCCCUAAGUAUGUUUUGAUGAUAACAAAUCAUGGUUAGUUUGCUAAUGAUCAAAAAUCAAGUUAAGUUUUAAGAGUUAAUCAAGAAAAUCAAAUGAAAAAUCAAAGUGAAUCAUAAAGGAUCCAUGGAGAGCAAGAUCAAGUAUAUAUGAAGACCCAUCAAGCUUAGGAACCCUACGUAAGAUAAGUACUUGAGUGCACCUAGUAUUUCUUUUUAAGAAUGCAUCUUUUCCAUGCUCGUUUUAAGCCUUAAAAAUCAUAUUUUUAUAAACUCGAUUAUUGAUCUAAAAACCUUAGGCAAAACUACUUAAAUUUGUUUUAUAAAAGUAUUUAAAGAUGUUGUCUAAGUGUUAAAAAAAAAUGAAAUUGAAAAAGAUAGGUUUUGAGUUAAAAAUGUCCAACCGAUUGAAAAUGAGUUGAACCAACUCGACCGGUUAAGGAAUUGGUCAAUUAGUUUAAUUUCUUGGUCAAGGAGUGCAAAAACUUUCUCUUUCUUUCAAAAUGAUUGCUCUCCUAAACGAGAGAAACCUUUUCCUAGUCGAUGGUAUCUUAUUUCUCAGUUGAGGUUUAGAGGAGUCCUAACGGUCACCUAUCAAGCAUUAAAUGUCCAACAGCUAGUCAAUCGAUGUCGAACCGGAGCUUAACUGGGAAAGGCCUAUUGGUGAACCUUAUGGUGUUCGAGGUUAUAAACCUAUAAAUAAAGAGAUCUCAUUCAUUCAUGAUAUAGAGAAUACUUGCAUUCAACUCUCUAUCUACUUGUUUCUCACAUUAAAAGCUCUUUUUCAUUCUUUAGUGUAAUAAACUUUCAUUUGCAAAUCAUGCUUGGCGCACCUUUGUUUUCAUCCUAGUUUCUUUUGUACUUGCAAAUUAACUGUACUAGGAUUGAGUGAUUCCAAAUUCUCUUGAUUAAAGUAAGGUUGAGUGUUUAAUCUUCAAGUUGGGGGUAAACUUGAAUGGUUUAUAGUGCCUAUUAGAGUCGUGCAUCCAAUUGUAAGAGCAUAGAAGCUUGGUUAAAGCUUCACACUAAUUGAACGCUCACUUGGAAGGAGUUUAAGGAGAAAUGAACAUAGGCGAGAAUUGUCGAACCACUACAAACCAUGUUUGCAAUUUCUCUUACUUUUGUGUUUUUACUUUUAUUGUUCUUUUAAUUGUUACUUAGGAGUAGUUUUCAAAAAAGUUUUUAAAAUUCAAUUUACCCUCCCUUUUGACUAUUUUUCUUAGUGAAUUAGCCUUUAAUUCACAUUUUCUUUUCUUUUUUAGUUCAUGACCAUGUAAGAAGGACACGAGGAAGUAGAAAAAGAUCUUAUCAACUUGUUUCGAUUCAAAAUAAUAACCACAUGAGCUUAGCCUUACUUCACCUUUGAGAAACGAAAGAAGACAUUUCAAAAAAGUACAUAUUUAUCUUUGUUAGCCCAAGGGUUCUCCUAAUCAUGUUUUUAUAAUAACAAAUCAUGGUUAAGUUGUUAAUUGGUUUGAAUUAUAAAGAAUUUCAAGUGUUAGUUGGAAAAUUCAUCAAAGUACCUAAUUGAUGCAAGAUCAAGACAAUUGGAAGAACCUUUAAUCAUAGAAAACAUAUGUAAGAUGAAUGCAUAGGUGCACUUAGGAUUUUCAUAUAUUUUCAUGCAUCUUUAAAAACUCGAUUUAUGCAUUAGAGUUGCAUUUCCAUCAAAACCCGAGUUUUAUCAAAUGAACCUUAGAAAAAUCAUUUCAAAAUCGACAUAUUAGUUUACCUAAAGACCUUGUCUAAGUAUUAGAAGUGAAAAGAAUAGAAAAAGAUAGGUUUACAGACCAAAAAUGGUGAACCAGUCGAAGCACUAGCCAACCGGCUCAACCAGUUAGUGUAUCAGUCAAUCGGUUACACCUUUCCGGUUGAGAGAUGCAAAAAAAUUUCUCUAUCUUCUAAUAGUCUUGCAUUCCCGAUCGAGAGAUAUGCAUUCCCAAUAGAGGUCUGAUCAAGGACCGAUCGAGGCCUAACGAUCACUUUCUAUGCAUUUAUUGCCCAAUGGCUAGUCAAUCAGUUGACCCCCGACUCUUUGAGGCUAAUUUUUGACAUUUUUGGCUUUCAAAGCUAGAAACCUCUAAAUUGAGAAUUCUACUUCAUUUAUGAGUAAGAGAAUACCUACAUUUAUUUGUAUACUUACUUGUUCUUACCUCAAUAACUCUCAUUCUUUCUUUGGUGCAUUAAAUCUUUAUUUGCAUAUGCUUUAGUACACCCUUGUAAUUCAUCCUAGCAUUUGAGUUGUAUUUAAGCUUUUGUUGAGUUAGGUUGAGAUAUUUGAAUUUGUUAUUUGAGUGUUAUAAGCUUCAAGUGAGUAGAGACUUGAAGAGAUUGUGUAAAAACUCAUUGAAGUCAGAAUCCAAGUGUAAAGAUGCUAGAAGCUUGGUUGAAGCUUCAAGUAUAGUGAAACCUUCACUCGGUUAAGAGCUUGAAGAGAAUGGACGUAAGCAAGGGGUGUCAAACCACUAUAAAAUUUGAGUUUACUUCCUCUAACCUUAUCUCUUUAUAUUUGUGUUUUCUUUGCUUGAAUUUGUUAUGAUUGAAAAAUACAAAAAAUUAAAACUCAAUUCACCCCUCAUCUCGGGUGUUUUCUUCAUUAAAAUUAUCCUUUAUUUUCUUAAUCUUAAUAUUUAAAAAUCACUUUUAGAAAAUUUAAAAUUUGAGAUUUAUAUACUUUAAUUUUUUUAAAUAGUUUUAAAACUAUUACAUUUUCAAUAUAAGCAUUUAAAAUUUUUUAUAUCUUAUAUAAAAGUUAUUACUAUUUUCUAAUUUUAAAAAUGGAAAAUAGGAAUGACAUUCAAAUGAAAACUAAGUAAUUUGAUGUAUUUUAAAGUAAAGAAUAACAAAAUAAAAUAAAAUAAAAGUAAAUUUAGUUUUAUUAUGAGAAAAAAACAAGAAUGGAUGUUAUCGAAGUUAAAAAAUAAAAAGAUAAUAGAGAAAAAAAUUCUAUUAAGAGAAAAUUAAAAUUAAAAUUUUUAUUAUGGUAAAAUUAUUUUUAAAUAGGUAAAGUCAAGCAGCUUUAAAAUUUCUAAUUUUAAAGCAGUUCAAUUCAAGAUUUAAGUUAAAAAAUACAAAUUGGGUUUAAUUUUGAAUUUGGUUUUUGAAUUAAAAGAAAAUUUUAAAGGGAGCGGUUUUUUUUUCCUCCAAAAAAAUUCUUUUAACCUAUUUUUUUUCUUUAAAAAAUUAUUAUUUUUAAUGAACGGUGGCUUUGGGCCACAAAAAAGGCCUAAACGGCCCACCCCAACCCAAGAAGGCUUUGGGUAUUUUCUCGCAUUUUCUUAGAGCUCAUUUUCAAGAAAAGUCAGAGAAAAAGGGUUUAAGUCAAAGGUUUAUCCAUCGAAAUGUUUCCAGUCAAUUCACUUACAAAUUUCAAUCUCUUGGCGGUUUGAUUUUAUGAAUUAGUAAAGGAGAUUAUGAGUGUCUUUUUUUACAAUUUAUUUUCCAAAUUUAGAAGAAAACGCAGUAAAGAAACCAAUAAUUUGUUUUUCAAGUUUUGCAUUUUCUAAAUUUAUGAUAUUUUUUUGGUAUUAAUUAAAAGAUAUAUUUUGAAGAGCUCACUUCCAAUUAUGAGCUCUCACCAUCGCCAUUAUCAUUGGCCUUCAAAACAAUCAAGACGUACUUGAAGAGAGGGAUGAGGGUGAGGGUGAGGGUGUAGAAGAUGAGAGAAAGAACCCCCAGAAUAUCAUCAUUAUCUUUGACACCAUCAGUGAGAGUGCUUGCAAAUGAGUACAAAGGCGAAGUGCCAAUCUCCCCAUACACUAUUCCAAUGCUCUGAAACGCCAGGUGCAGUAUCACAGACCAGUCCUUGGUAUCCUUCAAAACAGAAAUUCAAAAGAUAAUAUAUAUAUAUAUAUAUAUAUAUAUAUAUAUAUAUAUAUAUAUAUAUAUAUUUCUUUUUCCCAAUUGCCAUGCAUGCAGAUACAUAAUAACAAGAAAAUGAUAUCAGGAAGGGGGGGGUGCAGACCCUGGAGCUAUGGUGGCUUUGGCCAUGGACAGUCCCGGUCUCCAUGUCUAAGGAGUCCAUACGACGUAGUUCUCCCCAUAAGAGUUUCUUUGAUUUGAGGCCUUGAACAUGGGUCUCGUCAGGGCUGUUUACUACAUCAGAAGACAUUUUCUAUGAUCUAUGAUCUGAAAAGGCUUUUAAUCAAACUACUUUCUGGAUGGUUUGCAGAAGGUGGAGAGGCGCCCAUUAAAGGCACAGAAAGGUCUGAAAAGAGUGACGAAGAAACGUGAAGUUCAAGGUGGGAGAUGUUGAUGGGCAACUAAAUUUUAUGCUUCUGGGUAGACAAUGGCGCGGUUUGAUUUUAUGAAUUAGUAAACGAGAUUAUGAGUGUUCUUUUUUACAAUUUAUUUUUCAAAUUUAGUAGAAAACGUGUCAUCUAAUUGAAUUUAUUUCUUGAUUGAUCUCAGAAACAGCAGGCCUCUGUGUCCAAAAAUGACGUUUGCAUUAGCACAAGUAGACGUGAGUCUGUGACCAGGCCUCUCUGUACAAAAAUAAGACUGUGCAAACACUUAGAGCUCAGCACAAACAGCUGAUUAAGAAAGCAGAGAAAGCAGAGAGUAGCAAUGGUAUCUUCAAAUUUUGCCAUGCUUUCAUUACUUCUCAUCAGCUUGAGGGACAGCUUCAGAUGCUUUUGCUUUUAAAAAUAGAGAGGUUGUUCUCCGAAUCUUGUUUUUAUUUUUAUUUUUAUUUUUAUUUUUAUUUUUAUUUUUAUUUAAGUUAUAACUUCAAAACAAUUGCCAAACAUGUAAAAAAAAAAAAUUUUAAAGUUGUUUUCUAUUUUUUAAAAACCGUUUUUAAAAAUUUCAACAAACAUGCUCUUAAUCUUACAUAAUGUUUUCAAUUUAAAAUUGUAUUUGUACUGUUUUAUUUUUUUAAUUACUAUAUAUUAUUUUGAAAAUUAGAUCGGACCCAACUGAUCGAUCGGUGGACUUUCCGAUUUGGUCCUCUCUAUUAAAUCAGACAUUUGAACCAGCCCCAAAACCGUUGAACCAACGGUUAAACCGGUGAACUGCCUGAAUUGGGUGAUUCCAUAUGACUUGAACGAUUCAAUAUUUUUUGAAUGUGGGAAUGAUUUAUGAGCUUUGAAACAUGGGGAAGGAGAUGAUCAACAAAAUGUCUCAUUAGUAUCAAGUGAUAAGGCUGCUUGUAGCUAGCUAGCAUAGCUAAAAAAAUUGUAGCAAGAGUAAUUCUCUUCUCAAGCAUGUACAGCUAAAAUUCAACCAGAAAGGCUUAGUUACAAGAAAGAAGUUUGUAGUAAAGGUACAGAUGUGGAAUGGGAAUUUAUAUUAAUUAUAUUUUGGACUUUUUAUGAUAAGUUAAAUAUAUAAAACAAAAGUCGUUUUCUUUAAUAUUUUCUUAGCAGAAAAAACAUUGGAGGUGGGAAACGGGCAGGUUUUUUAGAGUCCUCCAUUGGUUUCUCCUCGGAUAUACGGCUCUAUGCAUUUUCAAAUAUCCCCAUUGGNNNNNNNNNNNNNNNNNNNNNNNNNNNNNNNNNNNNNNNNNNNNNNNNNNNNNNNNNNNNNNNNNNNNNNNNNNNNNNNNNNNNNNNNNNNNNNNNNNNNAAGUACUCUUGCUACAAUUUUUUUAGCUAUUCUAGCUAGCUACAAGUAGCCUUGUCACUUGAUACUAAUGAGACAUUUUGUUGAUCAUCGCCUUCCCCAUGUUUCAAAGCUCAUAAAUCAUUCCCACUUUUAGCAUACGUUUGUAUGGAAUGUCAAACACCUUCUUUGUCUGUCUCAAAUUCUGCUUUAAGAUAUUUUAGCCAACAUUUAUUAGAACAUUUUUUCCUAAUUUGGAGCCCUUCUCCGCCAUCACCUCGAUCAUUCUCACCAAUCAAGUGUACCCCACCCGCUCGUGUCGCUAUGUUAGUUGCUUCAAUAUCUUUGUCAACAUCGUCUUGGUGCCUUUCUUCAUCAAUUUGAUUUGAUUCUUCACUCUCAUUCUCACCAUCAAUCGACCCAUCUUGCAGCUCUCUAGAAACCAUGUCUUGUGUUAAUGUCAAGGUCAUCAUCAUUUUUUCUCUUAUAAACUCCUUCAAUCUUUCAACCAACAAUCUCUCAAAAGGCUCUUCCUUGCACGUCAGUGUACCCAUACCUCACCACACACCAAAACACAAAGAUCGUCUGGGUCUACCCUGCGGAAGAAGAAUCGUCCCUCCAUUGAAACCUUGCUUAAAACUCACCUAAAGGAUUUGAUAUUAGGUAAAAGCCCAACCCAAACAACCCUUAAUGUGUCAUACCUUAAUUUAUGUGUUCUCAAGACCUACAACCUAGCAAAACACAUAGAAGGCCACUUAGGUUGCAUGCACUUUAUCACUUAAAAUGAAAAUAAAAAAAUGUAUAUGUUUCUAAAAUAUUUAUAUUAUUAAAAAAUAAUAUAAUAUUUUCUAAAAUUCUAAAAUUAGUUAAAAUUAAAUAAUUAAUUUUUCUUCAUUUUGAAUAUAUUAACGUUUAAAUAUUAUACAUAUUUCAUUUAAUAAAAUUCAAAAUAAUAAUAUAUUUAUACUUAUUUUUUAUAAUAUCAAAGAUAAAAUUUUAUUAUUAUUAAUAAUUUAUUUAUUUAUUUAAAUUUUUAAUUCUUUUAAAUUUUAAUAAUAUAAAUUAUAUAUUUAUGACAUCAUCAAUUCGACUAGACCAUCGAUCUGAUUACUAAACCAUGAACCAUAACUUUUUCGAUUUAAAGACCAAUCUCUAUCUAUCUCAAAUUCUUCUUCAAGAUAUUGUAGCUAACAUUUAUCAAAACAUUUUCUCCUAAUCUAGAGCCCUUCUUCACUAUCACCUCAAUUUCAUCGAUCAAGUGCACCACACGCGGUCCUGCCGCUCUGUCAAUUGCUUAAAUAUCUUUGUCAACAUCCUUUUGGCGCAUUUCUUCAUCAAUUUGCUUUGAUUAUUUGCUCUCAUUCUCACCAUCAAUCAACCCAUCUUGUAGCUCUCCAAAAACCAUGUCUCCAUUACUGUGUUUUAAUGUCGGGGUCAUCAUCAUCUCUUCUCUUAUGAACUCCUUCAUUCUUCCAACCAUCAAUCUCUCAAAAAGUUCUUCCUUGAAUCACACGUCGGUGUACCCAUACCUCACCACACACCAUAACACAUAAGAUCAUCUAGGUCUACCAUGCGGAAGAGGAAUCAUUCCUCCAUUGGAACCUUGCUUAAAAGUCAAACCUAAACACCCUCUCAUGUGUCAUACCUUAAUUUAAGGUGUUGUAGAAGUGGCUUGUUGAGUUACCAAUUAGGUUUCAUGAUUUUAAGGAUUGGAACUCAAGACCUAAGACCGAGCAAAACACAUAGAAAACCACUUAGGCUACGUGCACUUUAUCACUUAAAAUGCAAAUAAAAAAAAUGUAUAUGUUUCUAAAAUAUUUAUAAUAUUAAAAAAAUAAUAUUAUAUUUUCUAAAAUUCUAAAAUUGGUUAAAAUUAAAUAAUUAAUUUUUCUUCAUUUUGAAUAUAUUGACAUUUAAAUAUUAUACAUAUUUCAUUUAAUAAAAUUCAAAAUACUAAUAUAUUUAUACUUAUUUUUUAUAAUAUCAAAGAUAAAAAUAUAAUAUUAUUCAUUAUUUAUUUAUUUAUAUAUUUUUAAAUUUUUAUUAUUUUUAAUUUUAAUAAUAUAAAUUUUUUAUAUAUGACAUCAUCGGUUCGACUAAACCACCCGUCUGAUUACUAAACCAUGAACCAUAACUUUUUUGGUUGAAUGACCAAUCUCUGUUUGUCUCAAAUUCUUCUUCAAGAUAUUGUAUCCAACAUUUAUCAAAACAUUUUUUCCUAAUUUGGAGCCCUUCUUCGCCAUUACCUCAAUCACACCUGCUCAUGCCGCUUUGUCAAUUGCUUCAUUAUCUUUGUCAACAUCCUUUUGCCGCAUUUUUUCAUCAAUUUGCUUUGAUUCUUCGCUCUCAUUCUCACCAUCAAUCAACCCAUCUUGCAGCUCUCUAGAAACCAUGUCUCCAUUACUAUGUGUUAAUGUCGGGGUCAUCAUCAUCUCUUCUCUUAUGAACUCCUUCAAUCUUUCAAUCAGCAAUCUCUCAAAAGGCUCUUACUCGAAUCUCACGUCGGUGUACCCAUACCUCACCACACACCGGAACACGUAAAGAUCAUCUGGGUCUACCUUGCGGAAGAGGAAUCCUUCCUUCAUUGGCACCUUGAUUAAAACUCACCUAAAGGAUUUGAUAUUAGGUAAAAGUCCAACCCAAACACCCUUUUAUGUGUCAUACCUUAAUUUACGUGUUGUAGAAAUGGCUUGUUGAGUUAGCAAUCCACAUCCCACGUAGGAUUCAUGAUUUUAAGGAUUUGAACUCAAGACCUACAAUCAAGCAAAACACAUAGAAGACCACUUAGGUUGCAUGCACUUUAUAUGUUUCUAAAAUAUUUAUAAUAUUAAAAAAUAAUAUUAUAUUUUCUAAAAUUCUAAAAUUAGUUAAAAUUAAAUAAUUAAUUUUUCUUCAUUUUGAAUAUAUUGACAUUUAAAUAUUAUACAUAUUUCAUUUAAUAAAAUUCAAAAUACUUAACAUAUUUAUACUUAUUUUUUAUAAUAUCAAAGAUAAAAAUAUAAUAUUAUUCAUUAUUUAUUUGUUUAUAUAUUUUUAAAUUUUUUAUUCUUUUUAAUUUUAAUAAUAUAAAUUUUAUAUAUAUGACGUCAUCAGUUCGACUAGACCACCGAUCUAAUUACUGAACCAUGAACCAUAACUUUUUUUGGUUUAAUGACCAAUUUUUGUCAAUCUCAAAUUCUUCUUCAACAUAUUCUAGCCAACAUUUAUCAAAACAUUUUUUCCUAAUUUAGAGCCCUUUUUUGCCAUCACCUCAAUCAUACCUGCUCGUGUCACUCUGUCAAUUGCUUCUUUAUCUUUGUCAACAUCUUAUUGGCGCAUUUCUUCAUCAAUUUGCUUUGAUUAUUCGCUCUCAUUCUCACUAUCAAUCAACCCAUCUUGCAGCUCUCUAGAAACCAUGUCUCCAUUACUAUGUGUUAAUGUCAGGGUCAUCGUCAUCUCUUCUCUUAUGAACUCCUUUGAUCUUUCAACCAACAAUCUCUCAAAAGGCUCUUCCUCGAAUCGCACGUUGAUGUACCCAUACCUCACCACCCACCGAAACACAUAAAGAUUGUCUGGGUCUACCGUGCGGAAGAGGAAUCAUUCUUCCAUUGGAACCUUGCUUAAAACUCACCUAAAGGAUUUGAUAUUAGGUAAAAGCCCAACCCAAACACCCCUUAAUGUGUCAUACCUUAAUUUAAGGUGUUGUAGACAUGUCUUAUUGUGUUAGCAAUGCGCAUCCCAUGUAGGAUUCAUGGCUUGUUGAGUUAGCAAUCCACAUGCCACAUAGGAUUCAUGAUUUUAAGGAUUUGAACUCAAGACCUACAACCAAGCAAAACACAUAGAUGGCCACUUAGGCUGCACUUUAUCACUUAAAAUGCAAAUAAAAAAAAUGUAUAUGUUUCUAAAACAUUUAUAAUAUUAAAAAAAUAAUAUAAUAUUUUCAAAAAUUCUAAAAUUAAUUAAAAUUAAAUAAUUAAUUUUUCUUCAUUUUGAAUAUAUUGACAUUUAAUAUUAAACACAUGUCAUUUAAUAAAAUUCAAAUUAUUAAUAUAUUUAUACUUAUUUUUUAUAAUAUCAAUGAUAAAAAUUUAAUAUUUAAAUUAAUUGCAUAUAUAUACAUGUGUGUGUGUAUGUAUUUUGUUAUUUUAAAAUUUUUAAAACUAUUAUAUUAAUUAAUUUAUAUUAUUUUUAUAUUUAUAAUUAAUAAUUAUUAUAUCAAUAAUGGUAGAUAUAAAUAUUCAUAUUUAUUUAAAUGUUCUAUAUGAUAAAAAUUUAAAAAUAUAUACAUAUUUUCCAUGCUAUUGACCAAAUAGCUUGUAAGUUGGUGGUCCUCCAACUCAUUAUGUAAACCACGUCCCAGGUUUCAAUUCUACAAAGCAUUUAUGUAGUAUUUAUACCUUCACAUCACAGGAGAAAGUAAAUUGCCAUAGAAUACAGGCUUGGAAUGAAGCGAGAAAUGAGCUAGAAAAUUGUGGAAACCCAUGUGGAAUUUUGGUUAAACCAUAAUUGACUGGUUCGUGAAAAACCUGCAGACAGUUUGUUCGAUUCAGCGAUUGAACUAUCGAUUCAUUAGGUCCAACAAGGGUUCAACCUCUGGACAGUCUAUUUCAUCAGAUCGGACUGAAAAGGCCAUCAGUCGAUGGUUAAACUGGCCGGUCUGAUCCUGUUUUCAAAACAAUAAAAUUAGGGUUGAAUGACACGUGAAAAAUAAUUUAUACAAUAUAAUGCUUCACUUAUAUUUAAAAUAGAACUCUUUCUCGUUCAAUAUAAGAGUUGAAAGCCACUAGAUAUAAUUUGAAUACUGAUUGACCAACCAAUUGAUCAACUGCUAAUCAUCAAGGUUACCAAAUCCUAACUAAUUCAACCGAUUGAGACCUAGGUUACAUAAAACAAGGCUAUAAGAAGCCAUGAUGAACAUAAGGAUUCAAAGAGAGUUCUAACAGUAUUUACCUAGCUAUGAUGAACAGACAACAAAAGCAUGCUAGUUGCAAAAGAAACUAUGAUUCAAGAACAUUUUAUGAAUGAGUUUUAUUUACAGAUAUUGACAGAAAACACCAGGAACUGUAUGUUAAAAGUAAUACAACUCCAGAAAUAUAUUGGCCAUUAUUGGAAUGAAUGACCCUUAUAAAAAAAUAAAAAGAGGUGCUGCAUUCUGUACUCUUGCACCUUGUUCAACACCCAAGAAAUAAAUAAAUAAAAAGGAAGAAGAGGAAGAAGGAGAAGAAGAAGGAACAAAGAUAUUCAGAACAUAUUUCUACAAUUAAAAAAUUUAACAGUCAGAUAUCAAUUCCCAUCUUAAGCCUAAUGCUAGAUAAUAGGCAAAAACAUAAUAUACAAAAGAUAAUAAUUAACAUUUUGAAGCCAAAGGCUAAUAUAAGAUUAUCACUCAAUUCGAAAUUUUACCACUUAUUACUUAUGACAUUAUUUUAAUAUUGGAGAUCAAAGUUCUGAAACAGGAUAAACUACUUAGUAUUUUAAAACAUUAUGCAGUCUUUAAUGGAUGUUGUCUCACGUAUCUCUCCCCUUUAAAAAAGCCAAUUAUUUUGCUGAACUGUUAGGUCCACGAUGACUAAUGAUUGCACUUAGCACUCAAUAGUUCUUGCUUUAUGUUCUUUAUCAAACAGCCAAUAGAAGAAGAUGAUCAUUCUUAGUUAUCAGACAAACGCUGAACCUAAAAAUACAAAAUAAUAGAACUUGAUGCUUACACUGAAUUUAAUGGGGAGAAUAACCUUAUUGAAAUGGACACGACUCAUUUUGGGACUGAAACGCUAAUAGAUUUUCAGUGGUCAUGGAUAAAGGUUUACAUUAGACAAUUUGAAGCAAGUUUCAUCCUUAUUAGGUUCAACCAACUAUAGCAGCAAUCAUUUAUAACACACAAAAUCUCCAAGCAUAUGGAGACUAGAAGGAUCAAGGUCAGUCAAAAUUCAUAUCUGAACUUUAAUCUGGAAGUUCAGAUAGAAGUUAGUCUUUAAUGAAUUUGUUAAAAAGUGUGUAGUAAAAAAUCCACACAUUUCAAUCAAAUUGACAACCUCUCAAUCAAGAACUUUCAUUUCCAAGAAAAAUCAAAGAUACAGCCCUUUGAAAUGAAACACAAAUAAAGUUACAUGAAAUACACCAGCAAUCUCAGAUAUUAAAAGUCUCAGGUACAUAUAAUGGCUAUAAACCAUUAUUAUAAAAUUUUCUGCAUAUAAGAACACCUAUAGUAACAGAAACAAGAACUGAAAAAGCUCCCUGCCUUGAAAGCCCAAAUUCAGUCCAUGUCAAGGGCCUUUUGACCUGAAAUAAUACAUUCUGGAACAGUUCAUUCAGAUCCUCCAGCGACCCAGUGUUCUCCUCUUCAAAUCCAGUGACAUCUGGGCAUUUAUCCUGUUUCUGGCAUCCUCCUCGGACGUCCUAUCCCUUGCCAACAGUCGCUGAAGUUGUGUUUCAGGAUCAACCCAUACAACAAUAAUGGGUUUUGUCCAGCCGUCCAUCUUGGCCUCAAACAACAAAGGGACAUCAAGAACAAUAACCUUAAACCCCUUCAUCCAUAGCUUGAAAACUUCCCAAAAAAUACCAGAUGAUAUAAAAGGGGCCAGUAGCCUAAAAAUGUAUAUAAAAACAAGAGUAAAAACUCAUAUAAUUGCAUCUUCAUUACAAGUUAAGGCAAUGAAUUAUGAUCAACUGACACUCAAAAAGAUUUAUUGUCUGCAAAUUGAUCUAUGAAAAUUCCAAACUCUUAAGAGAAAAAAUACACUAAUUCCACUAAGUUAUCUGAGUUGAAGUAUUUCAAUAGGUUAUAAGACUAAUACUUCCCUAUCAUGCAAUUAAGAAAAGAUUGGAUACACAUCUCUGUUGCAUAGAAUUGUAAACAUUUAUCAUUUUUAUCUUCAGGCAUUCAGAAGUAAACUUCGGUGGCGUUUGUUUUUUUGGCUUUUUGCUGAAAACAAUUUGCUUUCAGAAUUUAGGUUGUUUGUUUUUUUAAUUUUUGAUGACUUAUUACUGAAUUUUUAAAAUUUUUGACUAAAUAAAAAAAGCUAAAAUAUUUGGCUUUUUCUAUUUAGAAAAAGCCAAUUUUUUAAACCUUUACCAAAUGCGAUUGAACCCGAACCCGACGCCCAAACCUACCCACCCAUCCCUUGUAGCUCUCUGCAACCCCGAUCCUCAACCCUCACCUCAUCCCAAAGCAAUAAUUUCUUCAUUCUCCUCCUCCAUCGCUCUCCUUCCGGGACUAUAGAGUUGGAAAGAAGCUCCUCUUUCAUUCAGCAUCGUUGAUCUAAUCGAAGGUAACUGACCCAAAUUUAUUUUGGUUUUAGGAUUUCAAUAGAGCAUUCGAGUCUCAUUUUCCAGUACUUCUCUUUCUAAAACUCUCAUUUUCAAUAGAGCAUUCUGGUUCACGUGUUGCAGGUCCGUUUAUUUUUUUAGGAAGAAAAACUUUGUUUGGUGAUAUCUUAUUAUUUAGAGCCUAUUUGAUAUGGUUGUUGUCUCGUUGUUAAUUUGGGUUUGUUUGAUUGUUGUGAUUUUUGUGGUUUGUUGGGUUAUUUUUUAAGGAAGAAAAAUGUUGGGUUUAAUCUUAUUGAUUUCAUAUUAUAGUUUGUUGAGUAGAGCAUUUGUGCUCAAACUGUUUGUUAGAAUGCCCAUGAGAGUUCUUAAAUAACGUGGAAUACCCCCUCCAAAUGAUUGAACGCCAUUGAAAGUUGUUGCAGAGAUGAAAGGUUUCCCUGAAUGUUGGGGGUUUAUAGGAUUUUUUGAGUCCUCUUUGUAAGGUUGGAGGGGUUUGGAUCAUCCAAAAAUGGCUCCUACACUUGCCUACUGCCAAGCUCUUUGUAAGGUUGCAAUCGCCUUGAAAAGGGAUGAUUCCAUUUUCUUAGCUUUUGCUCCCUGUCCCUGAUGAAUUUUUCAGAGGAGUUUCAGCAAGGAUGAGAGCCGAUGCUUCACAGCCCUUCCAGAAACUGGGAAUAAAUAGAGAAAUUGAGUGUCAAAUGUGGGGAUGACAAGACCAAGUUUUCUUCCCGGAGGGAAAGCAUCUAACAGCUUCUCAACAUUUUCUAGGAAAUCAUCCAUCAACCAUUCAGCAUCUUCUUAGCCAUUGACCAAACUUCUACUUCAUUAGCCGUCGUAGAUACAAUGACAUACAUGUUGACUUGGUCAAUUGUUCAAGCUUAACCUAUGACUUUGGUUUUAAUUUAUUGUUCAAGAGAUUUUGAUUUUAGAUAAAUUAAAUUGGUUGGUGGAAUGAUGAUAUGUUAGAGCAACAAUAUGUUAGAGCUAGAGUGCCAAAAUUGGAGAUGUCCUGUGCCAAAAUUAGAGCAACUUCUCUAAUGUCCAGCCAUGUGACUAGCAGACAAGGACGACUCCUCUACCAACCAUGAGUCCAGCCAUGUGAACAUCUAGCAUAGUGACUUAUCAAGUGAGCAAACGCUAAGAAAAUGGAAUCAUAAUCUGUUCCCCACUCCAAUGCCAAGCUCUUGUUACCCUGUUUUACCCUUCCUUAAGUCAUUAGCAGCUGGAUUUUUAAGAAUGGUAUGCCUCCCAUUGCCAAAGAAAUUGGUAAUUCAAAUCAUUCCUUUCUUUUUCCACAAAGAUCAAGAUGGCUUUACAGUUCCUGUGAGCCCAGAAACCAAUUAUAGAGGAACCUAAUUCUAAAAUAAUUUGGCAUCUGAAAUGUUUAGUUUUACAUGAGCAGUGAUUUUUUUAUACAAUAUCCACUCAAUUUGCUGAGAACCCAAUUUGUUACCAAGAAGCAAUGAGGUUCCAGAAUCUUAAAGAUGGAUCAAAGGCAUGAGGCUCAAACAGAGCAUCUCCUCAUAUCAUUUUCUUCUUAAACCCCAAUGCUGAUUUUGGAGUUUUUAACAUAAUGCCAGGGUUUCUAUUGAAAAUGAGAAAUCUUGUGCCUCCUCUCUGAUUGUGGUCCCAUUUUUUUAUUUCUUUUUUCCUUUUCAGUCCUCUAACUUGUAAUUAUUAUGCCUCAGCUGUUUAAAGUCUGUUUAGUAAAAUCCAGUAUCUUUUUCUGUUGCUUAGUUGCUGUCUUACUUACCAUGCUUUCUUACUUCCCUAAUUCAACCCUAAAUCCAAAUUUAUCAUUUUCUAUUAUUAUUGUUAUUAUUUGUUAUUCCAACAUUAGUCAAAGGCCCUCACAAUAAAUAUAUGGAAAUUCUCAAUUCAUAAUAACUCUUUUGUUCUUUUAGAAUAACUAUAAAACGCAAUAGAAGGGUGGUAGAUGGUAGGUGGUGGUGUACGAGUGCCACGAGGCUAAGUGGCAGACAAAUAUUUAAAAAGAUAAAAAUUUAUCUUUUUAUCUUUUAGAAUAACUCCUCUUGUUCUUAUGAACAAGGCAGGAUAUAUAAAAAAAAAAAAAAAAUGAAGGGGAAAAAGAAAGCCUCCAUUAAUUCACACACUUAUCAGAUCCUACACAUUCAAUUCACCCUCCCCACCCAACAAGGAAAAGAACAUACACGACGAUUAUGGCAGAUUAUACACAUGGACAACACAGGCAGGAUGUGAUUCUUGCUGUAAACAUACGCAACAUCACUUUUACUCCAAGUUCCAAUCCAAAAUAGAUCCUCAAAAUGAGCCAUAUAUGCAUAUGUACCUAUCACCUCUUCUUCCGCCUAUACAUUAAAUAGAAGCUCCAUCAUUUACAAAGAAACAAUCUACAGAUCUCUGUACCCAAAACUUAGGUCCUGGCAGGUUAAUCAAUGCAGAUGGAAUGAGAUCAGCUGUCAUAGGUGUAGGGACACGCAGCACGUGUUAUCAGCCGAACCAUCAUCAUCUGGAUUCCCUUAAGGAUACGCAUGAUGAUGGUUCUCCUAUCCGGACCGCCUCAAGGAAAAGCACAUGACGUUUCAGCUUCUUCUGUCCAAGGAAGAGCAAACGACGCUGACAGAGCAUAGACAUCCGGACAACCUUCAUAAUGUAUCCGCUCCACUAUACAAUCCAGAUAGUCAGCAUGUGACCAUCCGGAUUUAAUCGUCCGGAUCAUCAAUUAAAGUAAAGCAAGUCUUACACGCUAUCACGACAACCAGCCAUGACCCACGUCCCAUCAUCUGUAGAGUGAAAGGACGGGUCGAGGUGACAACAAGUCACUUCCCGCGAUCAUUCUACAUGAUCAUUUCCCACGAUAUCUAGACAGCAGCAUCACCUACCACGGUUUCUGACAGCCGCCAGUAGGGUGGUGAUGACCAUGCUGCCUCCGAAUGUCAUCAUGACAAACAUAAAAUAUCUCAUCGCCAUUAAUGAGAGGAACAGUACCCCUGAAGCUGUAUAUAUAUACCUUCGCACGAAGAAGGAAGGGAUCCCCCCCUGAUAACUUCUUAAUACCUGGUAAAAGGCCAACUGAUUUGUACCUCUCGCUCUGAUCAUGGCUAACAAAACCAUUGGAGGGUGCGUCCGGACACCUUGUCCGGAUGCCUUCUUGCAGGUAUAACGACUGGAUCAAGAACCUGUAUAAGUUGAAAUCACGCGUCCAUCCAUCUGGCAACUACGUGGAUCCUCAAACACGCGAGGUAACAACAUUGGCGCCGUCUGUGGGAACUUUUCUUUACUUUGAUUCAGUCACUAAAAAAAAAAAAAAAAAAUGGCCACACCUUCCCAAAGUCGUUCAUCUGGUAGGGGAGAGGAUGAUAAUUUUGAAUGGCGUCUAGUCAUCGAAAGGAGACAGCUGGCAAGCGAAAGACAGCUAAAAGCUCUCCUUCAGGAGACAAAAAGAUUGAGAGAAGAAAACGUUGUGUUACGUAUCCAGGCUUCAACAUCAGAGCCUCCUCGACGUCAACGUUCGAGGGGCCAAGUAGCAAACUCAAGGCCUCAGCAAGAACCGGAGUCAAUAUACCCUGGGACAACAGGGGCAAUCCCAGGGGCAUGCAACGUGAGGCCUCAUGAACCACGCACGCCUAUGCCUCGAGCUCCCCAUGAGGAAAGCUCAGACUCUACUCACUUUUCAGCAAAAAGGCAACGUGAUAAAAAGUCGCGGUUGUCAAAUUCGAUGCGUGCAAGACUAGGCCCGCAAGAGCCUAGAAGAUCAAGGCCACCUAUGGCCACAACCUGGGCACCACGCCCUGACCCCAUGGCAACCCCCAUGGUGCAAAACGUUCACCCGCAUCGUGACCCCAUAGUCACCCCCGUGAUGCGGAACGUCCAUCUGCACCCAGCGGAACAGCCAACUGGGAGAAACAUCCCAAACGGGCCACCCGUUGGCUCCAUCAGCAAAAGGUUGGAUGACAUGCUCUUCACGCCUUUCUGCUCUCAUAUCAUUAACUAUGAGCCCCCAAGGGGAUUCCUCGUACCAAAAUUUUCCACAUACGAUGGAACCAACGAUCCCUUCGAUCACAUCAUGCAUUAUCGACAGCUCAUGACGCUCGAUAUUGGCAACGAUGCGCUGCUAUGCAAAGUAUUCCCCGCCAGCCUACAGGGACAGACCCUCUCAUGGUUUCAUCGCCUACCUCCCAACUCUGUUGGCAAUUUCAGGGACCUGUCCGAAGCUUUCGUGGGACAAUACUUGUGCUCCGCUCGACACAAACAGAAUAUCAGCACCCUCCAGAACAUAAAAAUGCGAGAUAACGAAUCCUUGAGGGAAUUUGUGAAACGAUUUGGCCAGGCCGUACUUCAAAUAGAGGCUUGCAGCAUGGACGCGGUCCUACAGAUCUUCAAACGAAGCAUCUGUUCAGGCACUCCAUUCUUCGAAUCACUGGCCAAAAAACCUCCUACAAUAAUGGAUGACUUAUUCAGAAGAGCCAACAAAUAUUCAAUGCUCGAAGAUGACGUACGUGCAGCCACCCAACAAGUUUUGGUUGCCGGACGGCCAUCCGGAAGUAAUACGGAGAGAAAUACCAAACCUCCGGAUCGGCCAAAGCCAUCUGACCGAAGGCAGGAAGGGCCAAGUCGCCCGGAAAUGCCGCCUCUCACACCUCUUUCUAUAUCAUAUGAGAAACUUCUCCCAAUGAUCCAAGGCUUGUCCGACUUCAAGUGGCCUAGACCCAUUGCAACGGACCCAUCUACAAGGGAUCGUAGCAGGAGAUGUGCCUUCCACAAGGAUCAUGGCCAUACAACAGAGACGUGCCGAUCUUUCCAGUAUUUGGUCGAAAGACUCAUAAAAGCUGGGCAUUUGAAGCAAUACCUCCGCAUGGAUACUGGGGGUAGGGACGUUUCCCAGCACAACAACCCUGGAGCCCCUAGGGCCCCAGUUGCCACCAAGGUCGUUAUCAACUAUAUUAACGGAGGACCAUCUGAAGAGGAGUAUGACUCCAGGCGGAAAAGGCAAAAAUUGUUGCGGGCUGCAUCAAUACGCGAACGCAUUAAUUCCAUCCGGCCGGGUCUAACUGGAGAGGGGCCUCGCCCCAUAGAUGGAACAAUAAUUUUUCCACCAGUAGAUCCCACCCGGACACUACAACCACAUCGCGACGCCCUCAUCUUGUCCUUGGAAAUUGGGGACUUCGAUGUGCGACGUAUCUUAGUUGACCCAGGCAGUUCGGCCGACCUGGUGCAAGCAUUAGUCGUUGGCCGCAUGGGACAUAGUCUCGCGGGCCUUGAAAACCCAGGACGAAUCUUAUCUGGAUUCAACGGAUCAUCAACCACAUCCUUGGGAGAUAUCAUACUGCCAGUCCAAGCUGGCCCAGUCACUCUCAAUGUACAGUUUUCAGUAGUACAGGAGCUAUCACCCUUCAAUGUCAUUUUGAGGCGCACAUGGCUCCACUACAUGAAAGCUAUCCCCUCUACAUACCAUCAAAUGGUGAGUUUUCUCACCAACGAUGGCCAAAUCGACCUAUAUGACAGCCAAUUAGCCGCUCGCCAAUGCUAUCAAAUAGCACGCGAAGCAGGGGCUAACCAGGAGGAUGUAUCUCCCCCUGAACCCAGCAUUGCACACGACCAAUAGCAAUUAUUGGGUCCGACGGACAAAGAUCCCCCGGCAGUAGAUCCCUUACAAACAAUCCAAAUUUCGGAGGAAAACGACCACCUCACGAACAUCAGUUCCCUCAUGACACAAGAAGAAACUCAAGGCAUGCAAAAUAUCCUCAGACAGAACCAUGACAUCUUCGCGUGGGCACAUUCUGACAUGAAGGGAAUUCAUCCCUCCAUUGCAUCUCACAGGCUUAACGUCUUUUCAACUGCCAGACCCGUCCGACAGAAGAUUAGGCGCUUCCACCCGGAUAGACAAAGAGUCAUCCGGAACGAGAUUGACAAAUUGCUCGAAGCCGGAUUCAUCAGAGAGGUUUCUUAUCCGGAUUGGUUGGCAAACGUAGUCGUGGUACCCAAAAAAGAAGGAAAAUGGAGAGUUUGUGUAGAUUACACCAAUCUCAACAAUGCGUGUCCAAAAGACAGUUUUCCCUUGCCGCGAAUAGAUCAGAUUGUGGAUUCCACUUCCGGGCAAGGGAUGCUCUCUUUCUUGGAUGCCUUCUCCGGAUAUCAUCAAAUCCCCAUGUCCCCGGAUGACGAAGAAAAAACAGCAUUCAUAACGCCACAUGGCCUCUAUUGUUAUAAAGUCAUGUCAUUCGGACUCAAAAAUGUUGGCGCCACUUAUCAAAGAUUGAUGACUAAAAUCUUCAAACCUCUGAUAGGCCACUCGGUAGAGGUAUAUAUUGACGAUAUCGUAGUCAAAAGCGAAACUCGAGAACAACAUAUCCUUCAUUUGCAAGAAGUUUUUUACCUCUUACGAAAGUAUGGCAUGAAGCUAAAUCCUUCCAAAUGCGUCUUUGGCGUGAGUGCCGGCAAAUUUCUAGGAUUUAUGGUCAGUCAAAGGGGCAUAGAAGUCAGCCCGGAUCAAGUCAAGGCAGUCAUGGAAACACCUCCCCCCAGGAACAAGAAAGAGUUACAGCGCCUCACAGGCAAACUCGUUGUGUUAGGGCGUUUCAUAGCCCGCUUCACUGAUGAGUUGCGACCCUUCUUCUUGGCGAUACGAAAAGCUGGAACGCACGGGUGGACGGGCAAUUGCCAAAACGCUUUGGAAAGAAUUAAACAUUGUCUUAUGCAACCACCCAUAUUGAGCAGCCUCAUCCCAAAGGAGAAAUUAUACAUGUAUCUGGCAGUGUCAGAAUGGGCAAUCAGUGCCGUUCUAUCCCGCUGCCCAUCACCCAAGGAGCAGAAGCCCAUCUACUAUGUCAGCAGGGCAUUGGCAGAUGUGGAAACCAGAUAUUCAAAAAUGGAGCUAACAGCCUUAGCCCUUCGAAGCGCUGCCCAAAAGCUCCGGCCCUAUUUUCAAGCCCACCCGGUGAUCGUGUUGACUGAUCAACCCCUUCGCAGCAUUCUGCACAAGCCAGAUUUAAUCGGGAGAAUGCUACAAUGGGUCAUCGAAUUAAGCGAGUUUGGAAUAGAAUUCCAACCAAGGUUGUCCAUGAAAGGCCAGGUAAUGGCUGACUUCGUGCUAGAAUAUUCCCGAAAACCCGGCCAGCAUGAAGAAUCAAGUAAAAAAGAAUGGUGGACUCUGCGAGUUGACGGAGCCUCACGUUCAUCAGGCUCUGGAGUUGGGCUCCUACUACAGUCCCCAACUGGGGAACAUUUGGAGCAAGCCAUCCGGCUGGGAUUUCCUGCCUCAAACAAUGAAGCAGAAUAUGAGGCCAUCCUGUCCGAAUUGGACCUCGCCCUUGCUCUAGCCGUCUCCAAACUCCGGAUCUUCAACGACUCACAACUCGUGGUAAAACAUGUCCAGGAGGAAUAUGAGGCUAAGGACGCACGCAUGGCGCGAUACUUAGCUAAAGUAAGAAACACCUUGCAGCAAUUCACUGAAUGGACAAUCGAAAAAAUCAAGCGAGCUGACAAUAGGCGCGCUGACGCUUUGGCCGGCAUAGAUGCCUCCCUCCCUAUCAAGGAAGCCAUUCUACUGCCCAUACAUGUGCAAACCAACCCCUCUGUCUCAGAAAUUUCAAUCUGCAAUACCAUUAAAGCACCCCAAGCGGACGGCCAAGAAUGGAUGAAUGAUAUCACAGAAUAUAUCCGGGCAGUAACUCUACCCGGAGAUCUCAAACAGGCACACAAAAUCUAGGUGCAAGCUGCCCGUUUUACCUUAAUUGGGGGGCACUUGUACAAACGAUCCUUCACAGGACCAUACCUUCGGUGCCUAGGACACUCAAAGGCCCAAUAUGUGUUGGCUGAGUUACAUGAGGGAAUAUGCGGAAAUCAUUCGGGAGAACGAUCUUUGGCACAUAGGGCUCAUUCGCAAGGAUACUAUUGGCCAACAAUGAAGAAAGACGCGGCAACAUAUGUCAAAAAAUGUGAUAAAUGUCAAAGGUACGCUCCCAUUCCACAUAUGCCAUCAACAACGUUAAAAUCAAUCUCAGGUCCAUGGCCCUUCGCACAGUGGGGCAUGGACAUAGUGGGACCUCUCCCAGCUGCACCUGCCCAAAAGAAAUUUUUGCUUGUUGCCACAGAUUAUUUCAGUAAGUGGGUGGAAGUUGAAGCAUAUGCUAGCAUCAAAGACAAGGAUGUCACCAAGUUUGUAUGGAAAAAUAUUAUCUGCCGUUUUGGAAUUCCCCAAACCAUUAUAGCCGACAAUGGUCCACAAUUUGAUAGCAUUGCAUUCAGAAAUUUCUGUUCGGAGCUGAAUAUCCGGAACUCAUACUCCACACCACGGUAUCCUCAAAGCAAUGGGCAAGCAGAAGCCACAAACAAAACCCUAAUCAAUGCCCUAAAGAAAAGGCUUGAGCAAGCUAAAGGGAAGUGGGUGGAGGAGCUACCCGGUGUCCUAUGGGCCUACCGAACUACACCCGGACGGCCAACAGGAAAUACUCCUUUCGCUCUUGCAUAUGGAAUGGAUGUCGUCAUUCCUACCGAAAUAGGUCUCCCUACUAUCCUGACCGACGCAGCAAAACAAAAUGAUGCAAACAUGGAAUUAGGAAGAAAUUUGGAUUGGACGGAUGAAGUGAGGGAAAGUGCGGCCAUCCGGAUGGCAGAUUAUCAACAAAGGGCAUCAGCACAUUACAAUCGUAAAGUGAAGCCAAGAAGCUUAAAAAAUGGUACGCUAGUCCUUAGAAAAGUUUUUGAAAAUACUACUGAAGUGGGUGCAGGGAAGUUCCAAGCCAACUGGGAAGGACCUUAUAUAGUGUCUAAAGCAAGUGACAAUGGAGCAUAUCAUUUACAAAAGCUAGACGGAACUCCAUUACUUAGACCAUGGAAUGUGUCUAAUUUAAAGCAAUAUUAUCAAUAAGAGAGCCAAGACGAGUUCAGAUGAGAAAAGAAAUAUUUUUAUUGAUAUAGCUAAAAAUAUGUACAAAGAGGUCUCCGGACCACAAAAAAUACAGAAGGAAGAUUACAGAAGAAGUUACAAAAAGAGAUAAACUAUCAGGGAGCAGGCUUGUCAUGUAGUUUCUUUUCUUCACCCGGAGGAAUUGAAGGCACGUCCCGCCUGAUACAGUUCUUCUUCAUGCAGCACCGAUACCCAAAGAUGAACGUAUCAUCCACUUGUUUUUGAUAUUCUGCUUCAAUUUCCUUCCUCUCUGCAGCAAACUCCCGUUCUAGCUCCUCUUUUUGUGCAACCAAGCGCAGCUGCAAAUCUUCCCUCUGUUUCCUUUCGAUAGAAACUUCUGUUCGGAGUUGCCUCACCUCCCCCUUCAGACCGACCACCUCAUCUGCUGCCUCAAGCAGACGGGCAUCCAUUGAUUCCUCCCGGGUCUUUGCGUCAGCCAAAUCUGCCCGGAGGGCCUCAUUCUCCCUCCGGGCGGUGGAUAUGCUGGCUUCAGCCUCCGCCAGUCUCAGACGCAACUGAUCUUCAGCAUCUUUGUGCCAAGUGGCGAAGGCCUUCACAUAAUCAGUAGUCCGGAGCAAGUCAGUGAAAAGAUCGUACUGAUUGGCCAUGCCACGAAGACCACUCACCAGCUGCAAACAAAUAGCCAAGCAAGAAAAGCAAAGUUAGAAAUCACACAUCAGAAUGACAAUCAAAAAGCACAAAAACAGUUUUACCGUUUCCACCAUCUCGAACAUCUGGGCUGAAGGCUUGACAAGGGGCAAGCCGGGUGGAAUAUGUUUUAGCUUCUCUUCCAACUCCGCGUAGCUAAAAGGGUUAGCAGAAGUGCAAGAUGCAUCAUUAACAGGAUUCCCCUCCGAUGAGGCAAGAGAAGAUGACUCUUGUUCCGGAUUCGGGACCUCAACAUUUACGGCCGGAUGGGCAUCCUCGGGUGCAACCUCAACAUUUCCGGCCAGAUGGACCUCCCCCGAUGCAACCUCAGCUGGGACCUCCGUCGGGACGGCUGCAGUCUCAGUUACCAUCUCCACUUCACCCCCCUCCGGAUGAGCGUCGUGGGCGGAUGUGCAACUGACUUCAAUCUCUUGCUGCCGCUCUUGAAGCCGCCCGAGGAGUCCGGACCUCAGGUUGCGCACCGAGCGAGGCUUCUUUGAGGGUGGCCCCGUCACCAGAACAAGAGCCAGCCGGUCCGGAUCGUCAGAGGGCUGACUCUGGCUUUCUGCUCCCGCUUCCUCCAUGGGGGUCGCGCAAACGGCCUCAGCUGCAUCGGCAUCCGGAUUGCGGGAGUCCGGAUGGUUGACAGACGCAGCUUCCUCAGCCAAAUUCGCUAGACACGCAACCGCUGCCAAGGAGGUGCUUGAGUGGUUCAGCCCCGCAAGGUGUCUGGACCCGCUUGAGAUGGAAUGAGGGGCAGCGUUCACUGGCUCCUCUAUCAUUACCUCCGCCUCAUGAAUAAUGGGCGGAGGAGCAAAUUCCAUGGGAGGACUGGGUUCCUUCAAGUCCUUCCCAUUUUUCUUCACCAGCUUCCUCCUUUUCGCUGGAAUUUUCUCUGGAGGAGAGUCUGCGUGACGAUUCUGUCCGGGAGCCUUCCGAAGGGUCCCUUCGUUCUUCUUCUUCUCCCGAUCCUCCAGGAGAAGUGGGCGUUUUUUAGCGUCAACCUCUUUUAACGCCUCGUAAAUCGGGAAAUCCUUCACAGUAUAAUGCUCCCCAGGAACAACUUCCUUUGGCAUCUUCCUGGGGAGAAUGUUGAUGACAUAUUCUCAGGGCUCCCGGACGACCGCCGUCAGGUUCCGCGCGGUCAGCAGCGUCUUGCACUGCCUCUCCUUGGCGUCUAUCUCGAACAAUUUGCUGAGACAGCCAAAGGACGCCUUCUCCACCCAGUCCACAAGGUGGCCCCUCAAUUCCGGACCUACAUUAACAGCAACAAAAGAUGAGAAUGCCAUCCGGAAGAGUCAACAAAAAAUCAACAAAGUAAAAACCGGACAAUAGUCACAAAAGCAAACUUACCCGGAACCUCCAAGGAAUAGUUUGGGUUGAAAGGCCUCGCCGGAUGCUCCAAAAGCCCCGCCCACGCACCCCGGACCACCACGUGUCCCGUCGCCCCUCCCUUUGUCGAAUCUGGCAGCUCUGUCACCAGUUGGAGGGAGGGCAGGUGUGCGGACAUGCUGAAGAUGUCAUUUUUUACCUUCUUCAAAGAAUACAAAAAAAACACCUCCAGCAGCGUGAGAUCGAGGUUGUACAGCAUGUUUAUGAUGCUGCAUCCCAUCAACACCCGGACGAUGUUGGGAUGAAUGAAGACGGGUGGAAUCUUGGUGAAGUGGAGGAACUCCUUGAACAACGCCGGCAGAGGGAACCGGAGCCCCGCGUUGAAUUGUUCCUUCGAGAAAAUGAUAGUUUUUUCUUCUGCUUUCUCAGAAGGCACAAGUACCCUCCCAUUCAGCAGUUCGAUAGUCACGUUAUUCGGGAUGCAGAACCGUUCCCGGAAUUCCUUCGCAUCCAGCUUAUCUAUCGCCUUUCCACGAACUUCGCUAGCCCCAGAAGAUGAAACAGUCUUUUUUGCAGCCAUUUCUUACCACAAACACAAGCCCAAACCUACACACAAGAAGCGCAAUGGGUAAAACACAAGUAACCCAGAAAAUACACAAACCCUAACCCAAACAAAUCAGAAACCAAAACCAAAGAACCAACAAAACGCAACAAAAGGAACAGCAAUAGCAAAGGUACACGUACCAAAUGAAGCUCUGAAGAAGAAAGGUCGUCGUUUCGAAUACAAGAACACCAGCAGCAAACAAAUGUCGCGACACAAAGUCACCGGUACAAAAGUAUUUUCGAGUUUCUUUACUCAGAAAAAGCAAAGGACGCAACAAAAGCAAGAAGAAGAAAGGCUCUCAGGAAAAUGCAGUAGAAAAAAUGAAAAAGAAGGUACAGUACGCUAUUUAUAGGGAGACCAGCCCUCGGAAAGCCAAACGUCCAAACAGCGCUAUCAUUGAAACAACAUGCUGCCUGGAAAUUCCCAGAGUCGGCGGCUCAUCAUAAAUGCCUUUUAUGGCUUCCGCACCCCCUCUCGCCACGUGGCCCAAUCAGACGAAGAGACCUCUUCAAAAUUCAAAAAGCCAGUUAUUUUUUAACCCGCCCAUUUUUUGGCAAAAUAGGCAAGUUAAAAAGGGGGGCAAUGUGGGGACCCCUCCCUCUGGGAAACACGUGGCACGCACCUCACAGUGACACGCAGCACGUGUUAUCAGCCGGACCAUCAUCAUCCGGAUUCCCUUAAGGAUACGCAUGAUGAUGGUUCUCCUAUCCGGACCGCCUCAAGGAAAAGCACAUGACGUUUCAGCUUCUUCUGCCCAAGGAAGAGCAAACGACGCUGACAGAGCAUAGACAUCCGGACAACCUUCAUAAUGUAUCCGCUCCACUAUACAAUCCGGAUAGUCAGCAUGUGACCAUCCGGAUUUAAUCGUUCGGAUCAUCAAUUAAAGUAAAGCAAGUCUUACACGCUAUCACGACAACCAGCCAUGGCCCACGUCCCAUCAUCUGCAGAGUGAAAGGACGGGUCGAGGUGACAACAAGUCACUUCCCGCGAUCAUUCUACAUGAUCGUUUCCCACGAUAUCUAGACAGCAGCAUCACCUACCACGGUUUCUGACAGCCGCCAGUAGGGUGGCGAUGACCAUGCUGCCUCCGAAUGUCAUCAUGACAAACAUAAAAUAUCUCCUCGCCAUUAAUGAGAGGAACAGUACCCCUGAAGCUGUAUAUAUAUACCUUCGCACGAAGAAGGAAAGGAUCCCCCCCUGAUAACUUCUUAAUACCUGGUAAAAGGCCAACUGAUUUGUACCUCUCUCUCUGAUCAUGGCUAACAAAACCAUCGGAGGGUGCAUCCGGACACCCUGUCCGGAUGCCUUCUUGCAGGUAUAACGACUGGAUCAAGAACCUAUAUAAGUUGAAAUCACGCGUCCAUCCAUCUGGCAACUACGUGGAUCCUCAAAGACGCGAGGUAACAACAAUAGGCUGAUAUUCUUCUUCGCUUGUAGCACCUGUAAUAGCCAUCACCAUCAUCUCUGCUCGCCUUAUGAUUGUCACCAUCCUUAAGCAAGCACUCUAAAAUGUUUUCAUCAUGAUUGUCAUCCUUAAGCAAACCCUCUAAACUGCAUUCAUCAUGAUCAUCAUCCUUAAGCAAGCCCUCUAAACUAUUGUCAUUAUGAUUAUCAUCCUUAAGCAAUAACUCUAACAUGUAUUGCUCUCUCUUUCCACCAUUUAUGAGUUGCUACUUCCCUCAAAAGCACCCCUUCACUUUCUCCCACUUUACAUAUAAUCCUUUUUAAUAUUUUUGUUAGAAAAAAUUAUUUUCCUUUUCUAUUUAGACAUACCAAACCAACUGAAGUUUAUUUUAUUUUAUUUUAUUGUCUUUAAUUGAAAAUUGAAAAUUAGUCAUUAAUGUUGGUUGGUUUUUUGUACAGUAAUGAGUCAAAAUAUUGAGAUUAGUAGGGCAAAUUGGACUGACCCCAUCCAAAGAAAGCACUUUAUUGAUCUUUGUCUUCAAGAGGCAAACAAAGGUUUUAGAUCAGGUGGAGGUUUAAAGUUUAGUGCUUGGCCUCGAAUUGCUGAAAAGUUGGAGAAGUUACUUAGAAAACGUUAUACUUCAAAACAACUUAAGAAUGGGUGGGAUUACAUGAAAAGACAAUAUCUCAUUUGGAGUAAAAUGAUGACUAUGACAGGACAUGGUUACAACUCUGUAACCAAAACUUUUGAUUGGCCAGCUGAAAAAUGGGAAGAAUAUCUACAAGUAGUUUUUUUUAUGGAUUUGAGUGAAUUUUAAAAAUAAUUGUCUUAUAUAUAUGUAUAUAUGACUAAUUUGUUGUUUAUCUUGUAAAAUAGAAAUAUCCAGAAACUAAACAAUUCCGUUUUAAACCAUUAGCAAAUGUGGAAGAAUUAGAGGCAUUGUUUGAAGGGGUGUUAGCUACUGGGUCUAAAAAUUGGAGCUCUGGGGGAGUGAUAGCUUCUGGGGCUGAGGAAUCAUCAACACAUUCUACAUCUAUGCCUAGCGAAACUUCAAUUAGUUUAGAAGAAGAUGAGGAUUUGCCAAGAAAUACUAAUGAUGAAGCAGAAGGUUCUAAGAAAAAACAGAAGAAAAAAUAAUUAUUCAUAAAUACUUCAUAAAUACUUCCAUGAGGUUUUAGUGGCCAUGGUGAAUUUCUCAAAAGAGAUGAUUACUCCUCCAUCAUUCAAUGAUAGUUCAAAUGGUAUCUCCAAUCGUCGGCUAAGACAAAUUUUUAAGGUACAUUAUUUUUUAUUUCUAAUUAUUCAUAUCAUAUUUGUAUUAUUCUCAUAUAAAAAUAAUUAUUUAUAUUUUAAAGAAUUAUUACCAUGUAGGAUGCUGUUGGUGCAAUUGAUGGAACUCUUAUCCAUGCAUGUAUUCCCACUAAUCAACAAGUACCUUAUCGAGGUCGUGGGAGAGGAGAGUGUUUUCAAAAUGUUAUGGCAGUUUGUGAUUUUGACAUGAUAUUUAGGUUUGUUGUUGUUGGAUGGGAAGGAACAGCUCAUGAUUCAAGAGUCUUGACAGAAACUAUUCGUAACCCGUAACAUAAUUUUCCAAUGCCCCCAUCAGGUAAAUAUUUUAUUUUCAUUUUAUUUAAUAUAAUUUGUAUUUAUUCAUUAUAAUAAUCAACUCAAUCCUUUUUUUUUCAGAAAAAUAUUAUUUAGUAGAUGCAGCAUACACACACACUCGAGGUUUUAUGGCACCAUAUCGUAAUGUGCGCUAUUGGUUGAGUGAUUUUCGUAGUAGUGGUAAAGCUGUAGGAAAAGAGGAGAUAUUCAACCAAUGUCAUGCAAGAUUAAGAAAUGUCAUUGAACGUGCUUUUGGUGUUGUUAAGGCGCGUUUUCCAACCUUGAAGAGAAUGGCACCUUAUUCGUUUACUACUCAAACAAAAAUUGUCAUGACAUGCUUCUCCAUUCACAAUUUUCUUCGACAAAUCUCAAUUGCGGAUAGAUUAUUUUCCGAAUAUGACAAUGAAGUGGAAUUGGAAAGUGACAAUGCCAAUCAAAAUCAAAACUCAACUACAAGCAGUUUUUUUGCAGCAUCUGAUCAAGAAUUCAUGCAACAGUUCCGAAACCAAAUCGCAAAUGAACUCUUUCAAGUGUUUAGUUAACUUGUCAUUUUUAGCUUUUUACCAUUGUAAGAAAUGCAAUGUUUAGAUAUUAGCAUAAAAUGUGAUGUCUUCGGAUAUUUGAAAAUAUGUACUUGAAUUGUUAUGUUUUUUCUUUAAUUUGAUUUAGGUUUUAUCAAUCUAUUAUUUUUCAUAUUAUUAAGUUUAAAUAUUUUAUUUUAAUUAUAUAAAAAAUAAAUAUAUUAAUUAUUUUUUGUAAGAAUGAUAAUGAUAAAUUAUUUAUUAUAACAAUUUUAUUAUUUUGAACUUUUUAAAAAUAAGUUAAAUUAUAUUUUUUUAAUACAUUAAAAUAUUAAGAUAUUGGUUUUCAGCAUAUAAAAAAACAAACAGCUUAAUACUUAAUAGAAAUAAAAUUUUAAAAAAACAAACAACUUAAUGCUUAAUGCUAUUAAGCAUUAUUUAGUAUUAAGUUAAAAAAAAGUUCUAUUUAGAAUUAAGCCAAAAAAACAAACGCCACCUUAAUCUAGAAACUCACAUAAUGUGAGAUGAAAAAGAUCAAAUCAAAUCAAAUUAUUUAUUCUUCCACUGAGUGGCCUUCCAGACCCACCAAAUGUAAAAUAUGGAAACAUUUCCUUUCUUCAAAAACAAUGGUUAGGCAAUGUUUAAUAUGUCAAUUGUGUUUGGUACCUUGAGUAAAUUCUGGAAUUGCAAAGAAUAGCCAGGAAGAAGCGGCAGCUUUCCCUCUCUAAGAUUCAAAAACCGAUAUCGUGAUUCAGGCAAAUGUGAGCCUCUAAUAAGUUCAUAGAUAGCAGCUCCCAAGGAGAACAUGUCAACGUUGUCAAGAUGGUCAUACUUGUCAUUCAAGAUUUCUUGUGGCAUAUAACGUGCAUCACCUUUCAUCAAUUGGAAGGCUUCUAUCAAGAAGAGUUGCACAACCAAAAUCACCAAGUUUGUAAACACCAUCUUUGACAUAAAUGUUACCAGGUUUCACAUCUAGGUGAGCUAUUCCUUUCUCAUGUGUAAAUUGCAAGGCCUUGGCAAUCUGUAGAUAAAUUUCAAGUGAAAAGAUGUUAACAAUAACUGAAAACUAAGGUCCUAGUAGAUAUUCAGAUGUUCCAGUUUCCAGUUUCCAUAGCAUUUUGGGCACACCAUUAGAAAUGGAGUCAUCAAAACAAAAAUGGAGCCAGAAAAAAGAUUAGAUUUAUCACAAAAUAAAAUAUUUUAAAAAAAAAUUAAAGAAAAACAAACAAACAAACAAAAAUGUGGUGUCACUUCUUGACACCCUGUAACUGGUCACAAAUUACAAGAAAUAGAUUUGUUAUACACAAUAUGGAAAUAAAGUAAAAAUAACUUGAAAUGCCACAGUAAACUACUAGAUACAAUUUAUCAGGAAACAAAUUUAGGACAGAGUCUAAGAGAAGGGUAGGAAAAUUGUUGAUUGAGUACUCAAAAUAUCUAUAGGUGCUCUAUAUAUGAAAUGAAUAUUUAUUAUUUUUACUUGAAAUGCCAUGGUAAACUACAAGAUACAAUUUAUCAAGAAACAAAUUUAGGACACAGUCUAAGAGAAGGGUAGGAAAAUUGCUGAUUGAGUACUCAAAACAUCUAUAGGUGCUCUACAUAUGAAAUUAGUAUUUAUCUGGCACAUUAGGCCUUUGCCAUAAAAGAAAUUAGAACAGACAAUUGAUUUUGGGCCUUUGGUUUUGUUCUGCUACUUUAGGUAGCAGUUGUCCAAAAUCAUCCUCUUACUUCGACUCUCAGCAUACUCUCUUCUAUGGGUCGCUCCAGUAUACAUUAGGUCUUUGUCAUAAAACAAAAUUAGCUUAGUCGGUUGGUUUUAGGCUUUUGUCUUUGUUUUCCUACUUUAGGCGGUGGUUGUCCAAAAUCAUCCUCUUGACUCUUGGCAUACUCUCUUCUAAGGGUCAUUCUUAUAAUCUGUUCUCUACAUGUACCAUAUGUUACAUCAUAUCACUUAUGGACUCAUUUUUAUGACAUGGGAGUCACAUAUGUAUCCUUGAAAAAAUACAUAUCAACCUUAUGCAUAGGUUCCAGGACUUCCCCUUCUGUGAACAAGUGAGAAGAUCUCUUGAUGGAUAAGCUGUGAUCACAAAGUGUAGUAACCUACAAUCAUUUCAUGAGAGGAACAAAGGAAAAAUGCUGAUUUUGGUUAGGAAAUGAACAAUGCCAAAUUUGUGGAGAAGAAAUUGUAAAAAGUGUAAAACUUAUGAAAGAUUUUAUACAGACCUAAAGCUGCCAAAGCUUGAACUUCCAUCAAAGCUUUCCUCCUGCAGAUAUUAUUGCAUAAGAAAGCUGCUCAGACAAAUACUACAAAUACCAAGCAUGAAGAAGCUACCUUUCUGUGUCUUGAUGCAAUGGUCUUGUGCUAUGUUUCACUGCAUACAUGCAACCAUCAAUUCUCUUCAGAACCUUGAAAACACGACUGAAGUUCCUGUCACCGAUUUGAUGGGGAAAAAACAUUUUAAUUGCAAAAUAUCCAAGCCCCAAAAGCUUGACCAUAUAGAUUGUGAAUACUAUAAAAAAAAAACCUAAUACUUCCACUUAAGUAUAGAAAUACUUGGGGUUUGGUUAGAUACCUCAAUCUCAUGGAAAUCUGUGUGAUAUCGGGAAAGGCUAUCUCCACCAAUAAGUGCAGGGAAAAAACCUGUAGAUUGCAGCCUUAUUCAAUUAAACCCAAGAUAUAAAAAUGAAACCAGAACAGACACUAUGAUAAUCAGCAGUAACCCCACCCAACCCCCAACUAAGUUAAAGAAAAAGGAACGAGAAGUUCCUGGAGAUAUCAGAUGAUAAGAAGAUAAUACUACGACUCUAAAUAUUUCUUAACUUUGUGAUGCAAUAUCCGAAUGAUACAAUCCACUCUAUUCUUCAUGAGCUCAUAAAUGAAUCCAUUUGUUGAUUUAUAGCAUUACAUAGAUGAAUUAAAUUUUUCAUUCUUCAGCACUAUAAUGUAAAAAAUAAACGAAUUGUCCCCAAUUUCAGUGAGUUUUGCACAGAUACAAAAAUAAUAAUCAAAUUGAGCUUGCAAUUCUCCAAUCAAAAUACGCCAUUCAAAAACGUGAAAUUUACCAGAAGAAGUCUUGGCUCAGAAUGAAAUCUUUGUUAUCGACAUCAUCGUCGAUGUUGUCGGCGGCGGUUACGGAUUCCAGAAGAUUCUGGAAGCGAGAAACUUGACCUAGCUGAACCGUCAAAUGCCUUCCUAGGGUACCCUUCAUUUCGUUCCUCUGUCUCCUCCUACUGCUUCUCUCUAGGUUUUUCUCUUUAUCAACAGAGCUCUCCCUCUCUCUCUCUCUCUCUCUCCUCUCACUAAAACUCUCUCUGUAAAUACGUUCCGAAAAAAUGGAGGUUUUGAAAUUUCGGGAAUUAAAAAAUAGUGAAAAUUUAAAAAAUGCGCGAGUUUGGCAGAGAUUGUAUGAAUCCAGUAUUGUUGAGCUUAAAAUGCACCCCGCAUCUCCUUUUGACACGUUUCCAAAUUUGGGGAUUGAGGAAGUGGGAGAGUAUUCAACGGUUUGGAUUGGUUCUUGUGGUGAAGCAAUUUAUGAUGGUAGCGUACCGCGUCAGCCUUGUAGUUUUGUGGUUAUAUUGAUUUGAUACUUCCAAGGCAGUGCGGUUGUAGUGGGCCGAAGCAUAAAGCCCACUACAAAGGACGGCCCACAAAUUUCAAAUUGCUUUUGUGUAUGGCAGGCAAAGUUGCUGUCUAAAUAUGACAACUCUUUCGUCGUUAAUUUUUUUAAAUUAUUUUUAUUAUAAACUGUAUUAUAAUGUUUAAUUUUUUUUCCAACAAUCAUUUUAGAAUCAUAUAAAUUGUUAAAAAUCUAUUGAAAUAAAAAAUAAAUUAGUUAAAAUUUGAUUAGAAUUCUUUUUCUUUUUUGGUUCUUUUCUUCUAGUUAAACUUUAUUUUUAAAUUAAUAAAUUAUAAAAUAAUGUUAAAUAUUUUUAAUUAAUUAUUGACUUAUUAGAUAUAAUUUUUAUUUAUUUAUUUAUAUGAAAAUUUUCAUGUGAUGAACUCUCAUUUAUUAGGAAAUUAUGAAAACUGUAAUUUUUUUAAUUUUUAUGAUCUUAAAAUUCUCAAAUGGACCUUAAUUUGAAUGUUAUUAAUUAUUAAUUUAUUUUUUAUUACUGUUGUAUACUGUAUGUAAAUAAGUAGUCUUCAUCCUUAAAAAAAAUUAUUUUGUUUAUUUGUAUUUUAGAAUAAAGAUAUUUGAAAAACAAUUAAUUAAAAUAAAAUUAAUUUAAUAAAUUGUAGAACAUCCUAAAAUACCAAAAUUUACUCCGUUGUUGUUUCAUAUAAUAAAGAAAAAUAUUUGAAAAUUAGUAAUUUAAUAUAUUUCUAAAUAUCCUAAAAUAUCAUAAUUGGAUUGUAAUACAAAAGUUUAUAAUGAUGAAUGAUAUGAUAACUUAAAAAAUUGGUAAUAAGAUGGUAAUUAGGAUUUCUAAUUAUGUUCAGUUAAGUAAAAAACAUAAAGUUUUUUUAUGUCAAAUUCUAUUUAUUAGUAAUUACUCCGUGUUGUGUGUGUAUAUAUAUAUAUAUAUAUAUCAAAUUUAGAAAAUUGUGAAUUUUUUUAUAUUGACUUUUUAUCCAAAUUAACUAAUUUUUAUUUUAUUAAAUUUAUGUUUUUAGUAAUAAUUUUUUGGAAAAUAAAGAAAAUGACAAAAAAAGAUUAAUUAUAUUCUUUUAUUUCUUAGGAUAACUUUAUUAAUUUAUGACAAAUUUAUUUUUGAGUCAAAUGUAUAAAAUUUAAGUAUGACCUAGUUUUUUAUUUUUAAAAUAAGAAACUUUUGUACAAAAGUAGAGAUAUUAAUGAGUCAUUGAACUAUCCAUAUGGUUGAGAGUUCUUACCAAUGUUUUUAGAAUCGAACCGAAUAUUGAACCGAAAAAAUUACUGGUUCACGGUUCACUAAUCGGACCGGUAGUCAAACUGGUAAUGUCAUAAAUAUAUAUUUUAUAUAUUUAUUAAAAAUAAAAAUAAUUAUAAAAUAUUUAAAAUAUAUAAUUAAAAAUUAAAUAAUAUUUACAAUAUUAUUUAUUCAUUUUUAUAUACAUGUAUUAAUGGUUUAAAUUUAUUAAACAAAAUAUAUACAAUAUUUAAAUACGACAAUAUAUUCAAAAUGGUAACUAAAAAAAAAGUUGUAUUUAUAUAUGAAAACAAAUUGAAAAUGAAAAAAAAAACAUAUGUGAUAUAUAUAUAUAUAUAUAUAUAUAUAUAUAUAUAUAUUAUUUGAAAUAGACUAUGUAGUUAUUUUCUGUUAAAAAUUAACACAAAUGAGCUUGUGGUUCUAGGUUCAAACCCCCUUGUUGUAGUCCGUAGGAAAAAAGUUGAUUUUUGCUUUUAAGUCCUUUUACCUUAUCCCACAUUGGAAGUAAGAGGAAAAAUAAAGUGCUUUACAAAUCUCUUCCCAUGUAACUCAAGUUGGACAGUCAAGCCAAGUGGUUGUUGGGCCUUAUGGCUCAACUCUUGAUUAAGGGUCCAUUUUACAGGAUGGGUGUGGGCAAUGAAUGUUAGGCCGGGGAGAGGAUACAAUCCGUUUUGCCAAAAAAAUGGGUAGGCCAACAAUGUUGGGUCGUGAGGGAAUGGACUAAAGUGGCCCACUUAGUCAAAUAAAAGUUGGGGUGUUGAACCGUUCGGUUCUCCAAAAACCGUCCGGCCCGCUAAUUGAUAACCGGCCUAAAAGGGGGAACUGGAUUGGAACGGUUGUACCGGCCGAUUCGGUCCGGUUUUUAAAACACUGGUUCUUAUAACUUUGGCACAACACAAUUAUAAGGGGCAUGUUGUGCCACCGAGCUAAUAGUUCAUCAUACAAGUCUUCCAUUAAGGACCCACUAUACCAAGAGCAAGAGAAACUUCAUCAUUAUUUUGUCUUUUUUGGGCUUCUAUGUCACCACAUAAAAGGGUACAACAUAAUAAUGACAUGAGUUUGGUCUUACUUCACCUUAUAGGUGGUGAAUAUGGUGAUGGUCAUUUUUGCAAAUUGAAGCUUAAAUAAUGUAAGUGACAAUAUAGAAAAUGAUAUAAUAAAAAUCAAUAUAAGAACAAAUUGCAAAUAAAUAAAGAAAAUGAGAGGGGGGAGGGGGAGGAGGGAAUACAAACUCAAAAUUUUACAGCAAUUUGACACAACUCAACUUACAUUUACUCUCCUCAAGUUUUCAAUCGAGUGACAGUUUUUUUAACAAGGCUUCUAACUCAAACCUUCAAGUUUACAAUGGACUAUAGUUCCAAUCAACUUUCUUGGACUUCUAGCUCCAAAUACCUUUUUGGAUUAUUGUUUUAAAUAUACUUUAUAACAAAAAAUUUCAAUAUAAAGCAUUGUUUUCAUAAUCAAACCAGUGACAUCAUAAAUAUAUAAUUUAUAUUUUAAUAAUAUUAAAAAUAAUGAUAAGAAAUUAUAUAUAUAUAUAUAUAUAUAUGUAUGUAUGUAUGUAUGUAUGUAUGUAUGUAUGUAUGUAUGUAUUUUGUUAUUUUAAAAUUUUUAAAACUAUUAUAUUAAUUAAUUUAUAUUAUUUUUAUAUUUAUAAUUAAUAAUUAUUAUACCAAUAAUGGUAGAUAUAAAUAUUUAUAUUUAUUUAAAUGUUCUAUAUGAUAAAAAUUUAAAGAUAUAUACAUAUUUUCCAUGUUGUUGACCAAAUAGCUGUGUAAGUUGGUGGUCAACCACUCGUUAUGUAAACUACAUGUCCUAGGUUUCAAUUCCCCUCCAUGUGAAGCUUAUUUUAUUAUUAUUAAGGCCUAACCUAUCUCACAUUGAAAUUCCUACAAAGCAUUUAUGUAGUAUUUAUACCUUCACAUCACAAGAGAAAGUUAAUUGCAAUAGAAUAUAGUAAAUGAGCUUGGAAGGAAGUGAGAAAUGAGACAGUUCAAACUCUAGACGGUCUAUUUCACCAAACCAAAUCGAAAAGGCCAUCAGUCGAUGGUUAAACCGGUCGGUCCGAUCAUGUUUUCAAAACAAUGAAAUUAGGGUUGAAUGAUACACUAAAAUGAAAUGCAAGUUUAAAAGUAAAUGCAGAUCUAAAAACAUUCUCUUAAUGCUUCAAAUAUAGUUAAAAAACAAUUUAGAACUUGUUAGCCCAAGGGUUCUCCUAAUCGAGUUUUGAUAAUAACAAAUCAUGGUUAAGUGACUAAUUGUUUUAAAUGGUAAAGAAUCUGAGGUAUAAAUUCAGAAAUUCAUCAAAUGACCAAAUGGAUACAAGAUCAAGACUUUGGGAAGACUUUUGAUCAUAGGAAAUGAAUGUAAGAUGAAUGCAUGGGUGCACUUAGGAUUUUCAUACCGUUUCAUGCAUCUUAGAAAACUUGGUUUAUCCUUUAAAACUUCGAUUUCAUUAAAACCCAAGUUUUAACAAAUGUACCUUGGGCAAAAAGUUUUAAAAUUGACAUAUUAUUUCACCUAAAGACCUUGCCCAAGUGUUAGAAAAGAAAGGAAUUGAAAAAGAUAGGUUUUCGGGGCCAAAAGACUGAACCGGUCGAGACUCUGGCCAAACGGCUCAACCGGUUGUCCUUGUCCGGUCGAGGUCCAGUCGAGGAGUGCCAAAAACACUUUCUCUCAUCCAGUAACUUCAUCUUCCCAGUUGAGGUCCGGUCGAGACAACGAUAACCUGCCAAACAUUAAAUGCUCUAACGACUAGUGAACCAGUUGAACCCUAGCUCGACCGGUCGAGGCUCUUUUUUGCUGUUUUUGGCUCCCGAGCUUAGAAACCUAUAAAUUGAGAGCUCCACUUCAUUUAUGAAUAAGAGAACACUUGCAAUCAAUUGUCUACCUACCUGUUCUUAACCAAAAAGCUUUCAUUUCUUUCUUAGUGCAUUAAAUCAUCACUUGCAUAUCCUUUAAUGCACUCUUGUGUGUCAUCCUAGCUUUGUCUUGUAUUUGAGUUAUCUUUAAGCUAGGUUGAGGGAUUCAUUCUUGUAAAAACUGAGUGUUAAAGCCUUCAAGAGGUUUGAAUCUUGAAGAGAUUAUGUAAGAGCCCAUUAGAGCCGAAAUCCAAGUGUAAGAAGAUUGGAAGCUUGGUUGAAGCUUCAAGUUAGUGGAACCCUUACUCAUUUAGGAGAUUGAGGAGAGUGGACGUAGGCAAGGAAGUUCUGAACCACUAUAAAACACGAGUUUGAAUUCUCUAACUCUAUCUCUUUAUUUUUGUUUAUAUUGUGCUAGAACUUGUUGUGUUUGAAAAGAUAUUAAAAAACCUAAUUCACCUCCCCCAUCCCUUUUUGGGUGUUUUUCUUAAUUAAGCAUAUCCUUUAUUUUCUCAUAACUCUUUCUUGUUCAAUAUAAGAGUUGAAAGCCACUAGAUAUAAUUUGAGUAUUGAUUAACCAACCAAUUGAUCAACUACUAAUCAUCAAGGUUACCAUUUCCCAACUAACUCAACCGAUUGAGACUUAGCCUAACCUUGUUGAACCAAGGUUAUGCCAGUGAUUGGAGCUAAAUAUGUGCUCCAAUAUAAUAUAAUUUAUACAAUAUAAAAAGUUCAAAUCAUCAAACUUAACUUAAAUUGAUGCUAAGAUCCUAACUAUGGAUCUAACUUCCAUUUUUGAACCUAAUUCUAGAUUUAAGGGGUAAAAAGAAUGCUUAGUACAAAUUUCAUUCUCAACCAAGGGAGUAGAAAAUGUUAAAUAUACAUAAAUGAGAGACUUUGCUCUUGUGAACCAUAAAAAGUCCAAAUAAAAGCAUAAUGAGAAAACCAUAGGCAUGAGAUACUAGCAACGAAUAUUAUGAAAUGAGAUAAAAGGCAAGCAAUCAUAAUGAAAGAAGUUUGAAGCAAAUACAAUCAAAUUCACAUGGAAAUUUGGAACUCAAAAAUUGGCCACAACAAGCACUCUAAAUUUGAGGUGAAAUUUAGAGUACUUUCCAAAGUCAUUUUUGAGCAUGUUAUAUUUCAUUUCAAAGUUUGGGAAGUCAAGAGUCCAACACUUCAUAUUAUGUGCAAAUCAAAGCUGAAAUGAAAAAGUUAUGUGUGUUAGAAGCAAAGUAGUAGUAGGUAAGUUCAAAAUUCAAAAUGAAUUAUGAACUCACCAUGGUGAUUUCAAAUUUGGCACUUUUUUUCCACUUAUGAGUUCAAAAUUGAUUUGUGUUAAACUAAGGUUUGGUUAAUCUCGAUUUUGAUGAUAACAAAAUAAGGUUUGAAACUAAUGAUUAUAUUUCAAGUAUGAUUAGGAAAGACGAUUUCCAAAGUGGCAAUUACAAAAAUAAAAUCAAGUCAAAGAGAAAUCAAUUAGAAAAAGAAGACCUCAAAGAUAAGUGUUUUUCAAGACUUAAGUUUCAUAGGAUCUCUUUAUAAAGUUGUUGGUGCACUAGGUCUUUCAUGCAUUACAUUAUUAAUUUAUGCACCAAAAUCAUCCAGAAGUAAUUUUGUUUUAAAUCCUUUAAAAUCUGAUGAUUUCAUGUUUUCAACUAAAACAUUGUAUUAAAUAUUUUUCAAACUUGUUUAAAAGGUUUUAAGUUGAAAAUGAUAGUUGUUGAGCCAAAAACAACUCAAUCGGUUGAACCAAAUGAGGAAUCGGUCGACCUAUUUAGCUCAACUGGUCAAAUGAUACAAAAACUUUCUCUUUCUUCUAUACGGUUGUUUAACUAGUUAAGGUUGAACCUCAACCGGUUGAAGUUUGGUCAAAGGGCGGUCAAGGUCCAACAGUCACUUGCCAAGUAUUAAAUAUUAAAGGCUAGUCAAUCGAUUGACCCCCUACUCAACCAGUCGAACCCCCAAUGGCUAGUUUGGUCGUUUUCUUCUAUAAAAAGGCUUCAAUCUUUAUUAUUUCAUGAGCUUAACCUUCCUAAACAUUUCUUGAAUAUAUUUGAGUCUUGGGCAAGUGUUUUUUAGUACACUAUUAUUUUAAAACUUGCAUAUCAUUAGUGCAUCAUUCAAUCCUAUUUUUCUUGUAUCAUUUGAGCCUUAAAGUUUUGUACUAGGAUUUUGUGAGAUCAUUUAUUAUCUUCAUUUGUAAAUCUAUGAGAAGAAAAGUCUAAGUGUAAAGUAUCACUUUGGGAUUCUCAAGUGUGGGGUAUCACUUGAGGGGUUGUUCAAGAGUGGGGUAUCUCUUGAGAAGUGUAAAGGAUACUUAGAGCCAAAAGUCCAAGAGGGUUGAUUGGACCCAUAAUUCAAUUGUAUUGUUUGAAGGUUUGUUUUGGAAGCCUUGAAUUAGUGGAACCUCAAGCUUAGGAUUGAAGCUAGAGGAGAGUGGACGUAGGUCGGGUUGCGCCGAACCACUAUAAAAUCUUGUGUUUGCAUUCUCUUUUUCCUUACUCUCUUACCUUAUAUGCAAUUAUUUUUAUAUUAUUUUAUUAUGUAUUUGCAUAUAAUUAUCUCUUGCAUUCACAUAAUUUAAAUUUGCAAAAAGAGACUAUCACCCUAUUCACCCCCCUCUAGGGUGAUUACCAUAGGUUGGAUUUGCCUAAUUUUUCUAACAAUUUGGAACUCACCUCAAUUUCGAAUUCAACCAUUGGUGAUCAAGUUUUGAGCUCUAAAACAUACCAAAAAUGAGUUCCAAAUGCCUCAAUCUAAUUCAAAAUGCAUUUUACUCAUUUGGAACUCAUAAUAUUUAGAGUUUUUUUUAGGUUUUUUUUUUAUAAUUUUUCUCCAUAAUAAGUGGACAAUGGAAGUGUAUCACAUGUUAGGAUAUUGAAUUUAUUAAACUCUUUUAUUUCUAGGUUUUGAAGGAGGAAAAGAGGAAGAUAGAAUGUAGGGAGUGAAAUCUCCUCUUAAAAGUCUUUAAUAGAGUUUUAGGUUUUCUUUUCUUUUUCAAUCUUUCUAUUUUAUUUUCUUGGCAACCAAACAUGGGUUGUAAAAAGAAACCCUCUAUCAUGUUUGGCUAACUUGAUUGAUCCAAAUCUGAUAACAUGAUGAAGGUGAAGAAUCCAAAGAAAAGUAGCAAGAACAUGACAAAAUAUGGUUUUCUUUAUGUUUUCAAGAUUUAAUUGAUAAGAAUAAAUCUUUUACAUGAGAUCACUAUAGAUAAAUUACAAAUGAUUCUUAUCAAGAUAGUAGUCAUUCUUGAGAAGACAUUGAUCACUAAUUACUAUAAUUUGGUCUUACUAUUAACGAAUUUAAGGGUCAAAUCUACAAAAAUGGAUAUAGGCUUUGAUUGAAUAAAAUUGAAAAUCAAAAUUGACCAUCACCUAUCAUUGUGAGUUUGUGUUGGGGAAUGAUAUAGUAGAUUAUUACCUAAUACUAGUGAUUUUUGGUAACUUUUGAUCAUUAGUUAUCUUAAUCUUCUUUAUCGUUAUUUUUUCCUAAAAUAAAGCUACAAGGAGUAGGAAAUGUUAAAAAGUCAAACUUUGAACCAAUAAUUAACUUUUAAUCUCAUUCACUUGAUGGUUUUAGAAAUAUGUUUUAAAAAGAAAAAAAAAAGUUUUGGAUGUAACAUUAAUCUUAGGAUUCAAUUUGGUUGUGGAUUGACUUUCAUCCUAAACCCUAGAUUUUAUAAUGCUAUCCUUCUAAGAAUUUGACACUAGAUUAUGAAACUCUCUAGAACAUUCUUUUUUUAAUUUGAUUUAUUUCAUUUAAUAUUCAAGAAAUCUUUAUUCUUAUUUAUUUAAAUUAGGAUUUUAUUAUCUUAAACAAAUAAUUAAUCAUUUUAAUCUAAAAACAAAUAAACACAUUAUAGCUAAUUCCAAAGGACCACACCCCAAAAUAUUACUAAGUCAUGGUAAUUCUAUCUCUGUUUUUUCUUAGCUAGAGUUAUCUUACAAUAAAAUUGAGCAUUUUUUAUCUCCUUAAUUAGCUGAGUCUAACCAAAUUAACUAGUUCUCUUGUACCUCAAUGGAUUGCACAUUUUUAAGACCGAAUUAAGGUUGGUAAACCUCGAUUAAUAGCUCCUCAAUCUUUCAAAAACCUUUCAAAAUAUUUUACUCACAUUAAAACUUAGAUUUUUUCCUUACAUCAAUUGUUUUCAUCUAAUUUAUAAAAGAGUGCAAAACAAUUUAGCACUUUAAUGACUUUAGGUGCUUAAGUAAAAAUGAAAUGUAAUAUGAAUUAAUGAACCAAUAACUUUACAAACAGAUCUUAUAAAAAUUAACUUUAAAUACCAUUUUUAAGGUCUUAUCUUUAUUAUUGAUUUAUUUUCGACUUGAUAAUUGUUUUUAUGAAUAUAUAUAUAUAUAUAUUCCGCAUCUAGUCCUUCACUAAAGACCUCUUUCUGUAGUUGCAUUUUAACUAAGCCUCCUUGAAAUUUUGUUUUCAAUAAUAAUUUAUGUGUUGAAUUUUGGCUAUACAUGCUUGUGAAGAGAAGUAUUGUUGCUACAAUUAUUUAGCUAUUCUCGCUAGGCACAACUGUUUUUUUUUUUUUUUUUUUUUUGUUUCGCUUGAUGCUGAUAAGACAUUUUGUGAUCAUCUCUUUCUUCAUGAUUCAAAGCUCAUAAAUCAUUCCUACUUUCAGCAUACGUUUGUGUGGAAUGUCGAAUGUCUUCUCCUUCUGUCUCAAAUUCUUCUUCAAGAUAUUAUAGCCAACAUUUAUCAAAACCUUCUUUCCUAAUUUGGAGCCUUUCUUUGCCAUCACCUCAAUCUCACCGAUCAAGUGUACCACACCUGCUUGCGUUGCUCUGUCAAUUGCUUCAAUAUCUUUAUCAACAUCUUCUUGGCGUCUUUCUUCAUCAAUUCGUUUUGAUUCUUCAUUCUCAUUCUCGCCAUUAAUCAACUCAUUUUGCAACUCUCCAGAAACCAUGUCUUCAUUACUGUGUGUUAAUGUCGGGGUCAUCAUCAUAUCUUCUCUUAUGAACUCCUUCAAUCUUUCAACUAGCAAUCUCUCAAAAGGCUCUUCCUCGGAUCGCACAUCAGUGUACCCAUACCUCACCACACACCGGAACACAUAAAGAUUGUCUGGGUUUACCCUGCGGAAGAGGAACCGUUCCUCCAUUGGAACCUUGCUUAUGGGGAGAGACUUGAUUGAGACGAAAACAAGAACUGAAUGCAAUGCAGACACAUUUUCCAUGUAAUGCUUGAAGAUGGGCGGGAUGCCAUGAACAAGCUCAGAGUAGAAGAUGGCUAGUCCUGGUAUUCUACUAAAGUUUGUGCUCGCUACUAAUUCCUUCACCAUCUCAGGAGAAAUCUUGUGAUCCAGAUCAUAAUAGUAUUUCCUCCGGUACACAUCAUUCCAAAUGUACAUUAUGGUCAUCAGAACUAAGGCAAAGGCCAAGGGUAGAUACCCGCCUUGAUCAAACUUGUAAAGGACUGAACUUAGAUACAGAAGCUCAAUGCUACCAAUGACCACAACAUAUGAGAUCACAAGUAGGAUAUGGGUUUUCCAUAUCAUGAUCAUCACAAGAACCAGAAAUGAUGAGGUGAGGGUCAUCACGAACACCACCGCAAUCCCUACACCAACAAAGACUCACAAUCAUGAUCAUUUCGAAAUAUCAUGCACCAAGCUCGAAAAAAGUUGAAAAAUGAAGAUCUGAAAGAAGGAUGGGUGGAUUACCAUAUGCAUUUCCAAUCUUUGUGGUAGUCUUGAACCCAACAGUGACCCCUACACAAGCCAGCAUGAGAAGGUAAUUGACCUCAGGAAUGUAUACUUGCCCUUCAUACUUAGUCGAUGUAUGCACAAUCUUCACCCGAGGAAAGCACCCCAGCGAGAGCGACUGCUGGAUAAUGGAGAAAGUCCCGGAAAUCAUUGCUUGACUGGCAAUGAUUGAUGCGGACACAGCCACAACAAACAUCGGCCAGUACAGACCAUCUACACCAAAGAAAUUAACCCACCUAAAUAAACCAAUAAAAGAACCAACAAGAAGACAGAAAACAUACUCUAAUGCAAGAAUGCUUACGUGGUAUGGACUUAAAGAAAAUGUCACCAACAUCCUCAUGGUGUUUCCGAAGAAAAGAGGCUUGACCAGUAUAUGCCAAUACAAGAGCAGGGUAUGUGAUAGUGCACAUACUUAUCUGUAUCGAUUGAACUGUGAAGUGGCCAACAUCAGCAAACAGCGCCUCCGUCCCUGCAUUUCCCGAAAACAAUCUGAGAAAUUUCUCAAGUUAAUGAUGGAGGAGAAUUGAUUAAUGAUCCACAUCCAAACCUGUUAUGGAGAGGACGACCCCACCAAGGGAAAUCCAGGCUUGUUUCUUGUUCCUUCUGAAGUAAUCGAUGAUGUACUUGGGAUUAAUGGCUUUAACAACUGUUGGAUCAAACUUGAUGAAGUUGUAGACCCCAAUGCCGCUAAUUAACGCGAACCAAACACAGAUUAUUGGAGCAAAACUGUAUCCAACUUUGUCAGUUCCAAAUCUUUGAACCAUGAAGAGGCAUACCAAAAUGACUACUGAUAUCCAAACAAUCAUAUCUGUUUGCACAAAGGAAAAUGGUAUUGAAAUUAAAAUAAAAUUUAUUUAUUUUUUCAAAUUGAGGAACAAAAAUGAUCAAUAACAUGCUUAUGUAACCAUUUUUUUUAAAUUAUUUUAAGAUGAUAAGACACUUUUAUUGUAUUUAAUAAGUUAGACUAUUACCUUUGUAUAUCUGCCAUGACUAAGGAAGUGGACAAGUCAAAAUGUUAUUAAAAAUAAUUAUAUGAGGAUGUUAUUGUAAUUUGAAAGGAUUAUUUUAAAUUUGUCAACAAUGCAAAGUUGCAAACCAAUUGGUUUUUUUUUUUUUUUUUUCCUUUUUGUUUACUUAAAAAAAGGGGAAAGAUUCCAAGUUAAUGUGGCCAGUUGAGAUUUCCUAAAGUUAUUUAUAUAAGCCAUUGGAUUCAACACUUUUGUCCACACUUUAGUAGUCAAAAUUGUACGAUCUCAUUUAUUAUCAAUUAAUUUGGUCCAAUUCAAUUUCUUUUUUUAGGGUUAUUUAAUUAAAAGAAAUAAAAUAAUUACAAAAAUACCAUUCAUUUUUAUUUUAUUUUUUGUAAAAAUAUUUUUUUAAAAAAAUUUAUAAAAAAUUAUCCAAAUAUUAAAUAAAAAUUUAUUUUAGUAGUUGAUUUUAAAAGUUGAGAAAGAUUACCUUGUGUCAUUGAAUCCAAUGCUACCUUGAUGCCACCCACAGCUGAUAAAACUGUGACAUGCAAAGUCAAAUGUCAAAUACACAACAUGAAAGUGAAGGAGGAAACCCAUUUUCCUUGUCAGCUAAAAUCCAACUAAAUUAAUUUGCAUCACAAUUUUGGUUUUUGUGAAAGACGCCAAUCCUAAAUAUUCCUACCCAAUAAGAAAACUUAAUAAUAAAGAAGAAAGUUGAAUGCAUAUUCCCCCAUAUAUAUGUUUUUUGGUAACAAAAAUUUGUGAAAGGAAAAGCCAUUUAUUAUGAAAGAAGGAAACCUUUUAAUCUCAAACUAAAAAGGAUGAUGUAAAUUAUGGUGGCUUUUUACUUUCCAAAAGUAAGAAAAGUAUUUUCAAAUUAAAAAUUGUGAUGUGAAAACAAAGAUGAAAAAAAGAGCUCUUUUAAAAAAUACGUUAAUAAGGGGGAAUAAAGCAGAAGUAUUUCAUUAAAUUUGUAUGUAAAUGUAAAGAAGAAGGAUAAAAACUAAGCUAACCUGAGAUGCAAGGAGUGAGGACACCAUCACCAAUCACCAUGGAAGUGCCAAGCAUUGUGGCAAACAACAGAAAGAGCUUAGCAAAGUUGCUCUUCUCUAGCUUGGACUUGAGCUUUGAUGCCAUCUGCAGUCUUUUACUAGGCAGCUCCAACCGGAAAUUGGAGACUUCUCUGUCCUCAGCCUGUUGACUAGGGAUCAGCCCCACCUUGGCAUAUCGGCAUAUAAGAGAAUACAAAGCAAAUGUCCCUCCUGAAAAUAAUAAUAACACAAAUGUGAUAUUCAUCACCUAAGCUUAAUGGGUUAUUUUCCUUUUUCGGAGUUAUAAUGUGACCGUAUAUUUAGAGUUGAAAGGGAAGAAAAGAUUAUAAAAAAGAUUCAUUGGAUUGAGAGCACAACUGUUGAUCAUUGAUUAAGCACAUAAGAGGGAAGUUUCCCUUCCCCAUUUGGAGCCUGCAAGGUUAUUUUAACGGCUAAGUCACACAAUUUGUUCCAUCACAGUUGGCCUUCAAAGGUGUUUUCCACUCAUCCCAUCAAUGAUCAAGACUAGCAAAAAUGGCAAGAAAAGAAAAGGGAAAAAAGAAUCACAGUUGGUUUGGAAAAGUUUUAAGAUCAAAGUAGCAUCUUUCUAAUAAGAAAAGAUGAUGGGUUCAAGCCAUAAAAGAAAACAAAAAAAGGAAAAGGAAAGAUAGAAAAAGAAGAUCAAAGUAGGAUUCAUUUGAAUUAAAAUCAAAGGUCAUUCAUGAUGAUGAGCUCUCACCACCGCCAUUAUCAUUGGCCUUCAAAACAAUCAAGACAUACUUGAAGAGAGGGAUGAGGGUGAGGGUGUAGAAGAUGAGAGAAAGAACCCCCAGAAUAUCAUCAUUAUGUUUGACACCAUCAGUGAAAGUGCUUGCAUACACGUACAAAGGCGAAGUUCCAAUGUCCCCAUACACUAUUCCAAUGCUCUGAAACGCCAGGUGCAGUAUCACAGACCAGUUCUUGGAGCCCUUCAAAACAGAAAAUAAAAAGAUAAAAAUAAAUAAAUAAAAUAAAAUAAAAAAUCAAAUCUUCUUUUUCCCAGUUACCAUGCAUGCAGAUACAGAAUAACAAGAAAAUGAUAUCAGGAAGUGGGGGUGCAGACCCUGGAGCUAUGGUGGCUUUGGCCAUGGACAGUCCCGGUCUCCAUGUCUAAGGAGUCCAUACGACGUAGUUCUCCGCAUGAGAGUUUCUUUGAUUUGAGGCCUUGAUCAUGGGUCUCGUCAGGGCUGUUUACCACAUCAGAAGACAUUUUCUAUGAUCCGAAAAGGGCUUUGAUUAGCCUGGAGGUUUAGCAGAAGGAGGAGAGGCCAAUUUAAAGGCACAGAAAGGUCUGAAAGAAGUGAAGAAGAAACAUGAAGUUCAAGGUGGGAGAUGUCGAUGGACAUCCCCCAAAUGUUUGCUUCUUGGUUUUACGCUUCUUACCUUCCUUGCCCUGCCCUGACUUUUGGUUGACAACCGCAUGGUUGAUUUUAUGAAUUAGUAAAUGAAAUUAUGAGUGUCCUUCUUCCCCAUUUAUUUUCCAAAUUUAGUAGAAAACGCGUCAUCAGUGAAUGGUUGAAUGGUUGAUAUCAGAAGCCAAUAAUUUGUUCUUCAAGUUUGGCAUUUUCUAAAUUUAUGAUAUUUUUUAUGGUAUUAAUUAAAAGAUAUUUUUCAUGGUGAUAAUUAAAAGAUAUUUUUGGAAAGAUGACUUCCAAUUAUAUUCCUUUACAAAUUUGAAAAUAUUUUUUGAAUUAAUAUAUUACUAUAUUUAUUAAAUUCCCAUCAAAGAAGCCAUGUUGCUACAAUUUUUUUGGCUAUUCUAUCUAGCUACAAUUGAUACUAAUGGGACAAUCUUUUGAUGCCUUCCCAUGUUUCAAAGCUCAUAAAUCAUUCCCACUUUCAAUAUACGUUUGUGUGGAAUGUCAAACACCUUCUCUGUCUGUCUCAAAUUUUUCUUCAAGAUAUUGUAGCCAACAUUUAUCAAAACCCUCUUUCCAAAUCUGGAGCCCUUAUCUGCCAUCACCUCAGUCUCACCGAUCAAGUGCACUACACCCACUUGUGCCGCGCUAUCAAUUACUUCAAUAUCCUUCUUAACAUCCUGUUGAUGUCUUUUUUCAUCUAUUUGCUUUGAUUCUUCUCUCUCGUUCUCACCAUUAAUCAACCCAUCUUGCAGCUCUCCAGAAACUAUGUCUCCACUAUUGUGUGUUAAUGUCACGGUCAUCAUUAUCUCUCCUCUUAUGAACUCCUUCAAUCUUUCAACCAGCAAUCUCUCAAAAGGCUCUUCCUCAAAACGCACAUCGGUGUACCCAUACCUCACCACACAUCGGAACACAUAAAUAUCAUUUGGUUCUACCCUGCGGAAGAGGAAUCGUUCCUCCACUGGAACCUUGCUUAUGGGGAGAGACUUGAUUGAGACGAAAACAAGAACUGAAUGCAAUGCAGGCACAUUUUCCAUGUAAUGCUUGAAGAUGGGCGGGAUGCCAUGAACAAGCUCAGAGUAGAAGAUGGCCAAUCCUGGUAUUCUACUAAAGUUUGUGCUCACUACUAAUUCCUUCACCACCUCAGGAGAAAUCUUGUGAUCCAGAUCAUAAUAGUAUUUCCUCCGGUACACAUCAUUCCAAAUGUACAUUAUGGUCAUCAGAACUAAGGCAAAGGCCAAGGGUAGAUACCCUCCUUGAUCAAACUUGUAGAGGACUGAACUUAGAUACAGAAGCUCAAUGCUACCAAUGACCACAACAUAUGAGAUCACAAGUAGGAUAUGGGUUUUCCAUAUCAUGAUCAUCACAAGAACCAGAAAUAAUGAGGUGAGGGUCAUCACGAACACCACUGCAAUCCCUACACCAACAAAGACUUGCAAUCAUGAUCAUUUUGAAACAUCACUAAGCUCGAGAAAAGCUGAAAAAUGAAAAUAUGAAAGAAGAUGUGGGUAGAUUACCAUAUGCAUUUCCAAUCUUUGUGGUAGUCUUAAACCCUGCAGUGACCCCUACACAAGCCAGCAUGAGAAGGUAAUUGACCUCAGGAAUGUACACUUGCCCUUCAUACUUAGUCGAUGUAUGCAUAAUCUUCACUCGAGGAAAGCACCCUAGUGAGAGAGACUGCUGGAUAAUGGAGAAAGUCCCAGAUAUCAUAGCUUGACUGGCAAUGAUCGCCGCUGACACAGCCACAACAAACAUCGGCCAGUACAGACCAUCUGCACCAGAGAAACCCCACCUUAACCAAUAAAAAAACUAACAAGAAGACAGAAAACAAACUCUAAAGCCAGAAUGCUUACGUGGUAUGGACUUGAAGAAAAGGUCAGCAACAUCCUGAUGGUGUUUCCGGAGAAAAGAGGCUUGUCCAGUAUAUGCCAAUACAAGAGCUGGGUAUGUGACAGCGCACAUACUUAUUUGAAUUGAUCGAACUGUGAAGUGGCCAACAUCAGCAAACAGCGCCUCCGUCCCUGCAUUUUCCCGAAAACAAUCUGAGAAAUUUCUCAAGUUAAUGAUGGAGGAGAAUUGAUUAAUGAUCCACAUCCAAACCUGUUAUGGAGAGGACGGCCCCACCAAGGGAAAUCCAGGCUUGUUUCUUGUUCCUUCUGAAGUAAUCGAUGAUGUACUUGGGAUUAAUGGCUUUAACAACUGUUGGAUCAAACUUGAUGAAGUUGUAGACCCCAAUGCCGCUAAUUAACGCGAACCAAACACAGAUUAUUGGAGCAAAACUGUAUCCAACUUUGUCAGUUCCAAAUCUUUGAACCAUGAAAAGACAUACCAAGAUGCCUACUGACAUCCAAACAAUCCUAUCUGUGUCCAAGAAAAAAUUUAUUUGAGUUAGAAUCAUUAUUUAAAUAAAAUUAUAAGAAAUGUAAGAAAUAAAAUUUAUUUACUUUUUUCAACUGAGGAAAAAAAUAAAAAAUAAAAUAAUAAUAAAGAAAGAAUGGUUAAUAAUUUAUUGUAUAUAAUAAUAAUAAUAAUAAUAAUAAUAUGAUUACAUAUAACCAUUUUUUUUAAAAAAAAUUAUGAUGAUGGGAAAUUUUUAUUGUAUUUAAUAAUUUAAACUUUUACCUUUUCAUCAGUCAUGAUUAAGAGGACAAAUCAAAAUAUUAUUAAGAAUAAUUAUACGAGGAUGUUAUUGUAAGUUGAAAGGAUUAUUUUAAAUUUGUCAACAGUGCAAACCCAUUAUUUUAUUUAUUUUCUUUUUCCUUAAAGAGGGUAAAUAUUCCAAGUUAAUAAGCCAUUGGAUUCAACACUUUUUUCUACACUUUACUAGUCAAAAUUGGACAAUCUGAUUUUUUUAUCAAUUAAUUUGGUUCAAUUCAAUUUUUUUGUAAUUAAAAGGAAUAAAAUAAUUAUAGAUUUACAAAUCUUUAAAAAAAAAAAAAUGACCUACAAAAAUACCAUUCCAUUUUUUUUUGAAAAAAUAAUUUUUUUUAAAAAAAAUUAUAUAAAAAUUAUCCAAAUGUUAAAUAAAAAAAUUAUUUUAGUAGUUGAUUUUAAAAGUUGAGAAAGAUUACCUUGUGUCAUUGAAUCUGUGACUUCCUUGAUACCACCCACAGCAGAUAAAACUAUAACAUGCAAAGUCAAAUGUCAAAUAUAUAUACAAUAAAAGACUGAAGGACAAAACUCAUUUUCUUUGUCAACAAAAAUUAAUAAUAAAGAAGAAAGUUGAAUGCAUAUUCAACCAUAUACGUAUAUCUACUUAAAUUAGUCAUAAGUAAUUUUCAAUGAUAAUAAAAGAUAACUUUAGAAAAAGCUAAGCACAAGAUGUUUUUUGGCAACAAAAAUUUGUAAAAGGAAAAGACAUUUAUUAUGGAAGAAAAAAACCUUUUAAUCUCAAAUUAACUAAAAAAGGAUGAUGUAAAUUAUGUUUGUUUUUUAUUUUCAGAGUAAGAAAAGCAUUUCCAAAAAAUGGUAGUGUGAUGUGGUUUUUAUUUUCCAAAGUAAGAAAAGUAUUUCCAAAAAAAAUGAUAUUGUGACAUGGUUUUUAUAUGAUUUUUACUUUCCAAAGUAAGAAAAGUAUUUCCAAAAAAUGGUAGUGUGAUAUGGUUUUUACUUUCUAAAGUAAGAAAAGUAUUUUCAAAAAAUAUAUGUGAAAACAAAGAUGAAAGGGAAAAAAAAAAUCCCUUUUAAUAAAUGCAUAAGGAAAAAUAAAGGUGUAUGACAUUAUGUCAUUAAAUUUGUAUGUAAAUGGAAAGAAGGAUAAAAACUAAGCUAACCUGAGAUGCAAGGAGUGAGGACACCAUCACCAAUCACCAUGGAAGUGCCAAGCAUUGUGGCAAACAAUAGAAAGAACUUUGCAGAGUUGCUCUUCUCUAGCUUGGACUUAAGCUUUGAUGCCAUCUGCAGUCUUUUACUAGGCAGCUCCAACCGGAAAUUGGAGACUUCUCUGUCCUCAGCUUGUUGACUAGGGAUCAACCCCACCUUGGCAUAUCGGCAUAUAAGAGAAUACAAAGCAAAUGUCCCUCCUGAAAAUUAUCCAUGGUGUUUAAAAGAAGUGUAUUCUAGGCUUAAUGAGCUAUUUUCCUCUUUUUUUGAGUUAUAAUGUGAACCACAUAUUUAGAGUUGAAAAGGCGGCAAGGAUUUAAAAAAAAAAAAGAUUCAUUGGAUUGAGUGCACAAUUGUUGAUCAUUAAUUGAUCAACCAGAUACGAGGGACCCCAGUAGGAGCCUGCAUGGUUAUUUUCAAGGGCAAGUAUCACAGUUUGAUACAUCAAAGUUGGCCUUCAAUGGUGUUUUUCACUCAUCUCAUCUAUGAUCAAGACUAGAAAAAAAUGGCAAAAAUAAAAAUAAAAAUCAAGAAAUUAAUAAACCAUUUUGCCUUGUUGGUAUGGAAAAGUCUUAAUAUGUGGCAUAUUUCUAAAAAGAAAAGAUGAUGGGUUCAUGCCAUAAAAGAAAAGAUAGAAAAAGAAGAUCACAGUACGAUACAUAUAAAUUAAAAUCAAAGGUCGUUAAUGAUCAUGAGCUCUCACCAUCGCCAUUAUCAGUGGCCUUCAACACAGUCAAGACGUACUUGAAGAGAGGGAUGAGGGUGAGGGUGUAGAAGAUGAUAGAAAGAACCCCCAGAAUGUCAUCAUUAUGUUUGACACCAUCAGUGAAAGUGCUUGCAUACACGUACAACGGCGAAGUUCCAAUGUCCCCAUACACUAUUCCAAGGCUCUGAAACGCCAGGUGCAGUAUCACAGACCAGUCCUUCGUAUCCUUCAAAACAGAAAUUCAAAAAAAAAAAAAAAAAAAAUCAAAUCUUCUUUCUCCCAGUUGCCAUGCAUAAUAACGAGAAAAUGAUAUCAGGAAAGGGUGGGGGGUACAGACCUUGGAGCCAUGGUGGCUGCGACCAUGUACAGUCCCGGACUCCAUGUCUAGGGAGUCCAUACGACGCAGUUUUCCCCAUGAGAGUUUCUUUGAUUUGAGGCCUUGAUCAUGGGUGUCGUCCGGGCUGUUUACCACAUCAGAAGACAUUUUCUAUGAUCUGAAAAGGGCUUUGAUUAGACCGGAGCGUUUGCAGAAGGUGCAGAGGCCAAUUUAAAGGCACAGAAAGGUCUGAAAACCGCGUGGUUUGAUUUUAUGAAUAAUGAAUGAGUAAACGAGAUUCCGAGAGUGUUUUUUUACCAUUUAUUUUUCAGAUUUAUUGGAAAACGCGUUAUCAGUAAAUAAACUUCCCCCAUAUUAGUCGGAUGGUUGAUAUCAGACCUCUUCUUGCCUUUUCUAAAUUUAUGAUAUUAAUUAAUAUUUACUUUUUGAAGAUACGACUUCUUAUUAUAUUCCUUUACAAAUUUGAAAAUAUUUUUUGAAUUAGUAUAUUACUAAAAAUAUUUUUUAAUUAAUAUAUAUACUUAUAUAUAUUUUUUAAAUCCUCAUGCCUACAAUAAAAAUGAUAUAUCUUCAUGUUUAAAAACCUUUUUCUAUUCUUACGUUUUAAGUGCAAAAACAAUUUUAAUAUUUUUAAUAUUUAAAUAUAAAAAAAUUCAAAUGUUAAAAAGAUUAAAAAAAAACGUUUUUUAAAAUCACUAUGAUUCUAUUUUUUUUUUUACUUUGUUUUCCAUUUUAAAAAUAAAAAUAAACAUUACAAUAAUUCUUUUUUUAAUAAUUAAGUUGAGAAAAAUAUUACAUUUAUAAUUUCUUUCAUCAUUAUUUUUUUUCUAUCAUCACAUUCAUUUAAUUAAUAAAAUUAGAUUUAAUUAAAUUAAAAAAUAAUAAUGAUUUUAAAAAAUAUUUUAAAUCUUUUGUAGUUGGCUAUAUUUAACUGCACAUUAAUAGAUACCCAAAAUUUAUUAUUUAAAAAAAGGUAAUAAAUUAGAGACAACGACAGCGCAACCCUACUCUUGGCUGUGGAAAGGACCAUGUACUCACGUGAUAGAAAGUUGAGAGGUGUCCAACAAAAGACGCGAGUGAAUUGUCCACAUGCAUGGGGGCGAGUAGAACUUUCCAAUGGGGUGAAAAUUCUAAAGCAUCACGUUCAGAUCGGUCAUAGCCACGUGUUACACGCAUUCUUUCUGCAUCAUCACAUAUCACAGGAAGCCUAUCACAGGUUGACCCUAAGACGGAUUGGGUAUAUUCAUGGGCCUUGUUUGGAAAAUAUAAUAUCAAAAAAAUCACAGCAAUCUGAGUUUAAAAAAUAUAAAUUUAAGUAGCUUUUUAAAAAUAAUUAGGAUCUUAACAUUUUAUACACUUUGGUGUACAACCUUUAUCUUUAAUAAUUCAGAUACUACUUUUUAAUGGGAUAAGUUUUAUCUAUUAUAAUUUUAAGUAUCAUCUAUUUUAUGAUUAAAAAAAAGUUAAAUGAACACAAUAGAUAAAGUGAUAAAAAAAAAAAGGACCAUGAAAUGAAACUUCUCCAUAUAAGAAGAUGCAUAAAAAAUAAUAAUUAAAAAGAUAAAAUUAUUGAUCUCUCUCCUCCCCUUCCUAAAAGAGGAAAUUGAUUAUUGUUCUUUUACAUUAUAAAGAUAGAAUUCUUGUCAGAUUUAUGAACAAAUAUAAUAUCUAAUUUUUUUUUCAUAAUGGAAAAGGCGCUCUCUCUCUCAUCCAAAGAAGAGAACAUUGACUAUUGCUCCUUUACAUUCAUAACGAUAGAAUUCUUUAGAAUUCAUUAACUAAUAUAAUGUCUAAUUCUUUUCCAAAAUGGAAAUGGUGGAUUGAAACGUUACCCUACCAAUGCCAAAACUAUCAAAUAAAAUAUGCCUCUUUUUCUCUCUUUCUCAUCCCCUUACUAGAAAAGGAAACUAGUUAUUGCUCUUUUGCAUUAUGGAGAUAAAAUUCUUAUCAAAUUCAUGAACUAACAUAAUGUCUAAUUCCUUUCUGUAAUGAAAAAGGCGCUCUCUCUCUUUCAUCCAAAGAAAAGAACAUUGGUUAUUACUCCUUUACAUUCAUAGAGAUAGAAUUCUUCAGAAUUCAUUAACUAAUAUAAUGUCUAAUUCUUUUCCAAAAUGGAAAUGGUGAAUUGAAACGUUACCUUGCCAAUGCCAAAACCGUCAAAUAAAAUACGCCUCUUUUUCUCUCUUUCUCAUCCCCUUGCUAGAAGAGGAAAUUGGUUAUUGCUCUUUUAUAUCAUAGAGAUAGAAUUCGUGUUGGAUUCAUAAACUAACAUAAUGUCUAAUUCCUUUCAAUAAUACGUGUCAACAGGGGAAUAUCAUGGACGAAUGAUAAAUGUGCACGUUUAUGUGUUUUUGUUUGAUGUCAGAAACUUAUUAGUCAUCUAAUACAAAGAAGAAAUGGUCACAACCUAAUGCAAUCUACGUGCCAAACCUAGAAACCUGGAAAUUGUAAACGUACAAACCUUGAAAUUCAGAACUUCCCAGAUUAUUAGGAAAAUAAAUUACUGGCAAACCUGUAUUGAAGGGACUUCUUGAAUGCUAUCCUCACUGUCAACCAAACUUUAUCGCUGAUAUCUGUUUCAUGUCACAACCAGCUACACCAAAAUGAAAGUGACUUCUUCAUUAGCACUGCAUUCCAUCACAAUAAAAAUUACAGCGUCCUCAAGAUUUUCUUUGACAAUUUACACAAUCUGCACCAUGCUGAGGGGAAGAAUGGUGCAUACAGUGGACAAAAACCUAUUGCCAAAAUUUUUGUGACUUCAUAAUCUUUUCCAUCCCUUGUUUGCUGGACCAGAAAAAUAUAAGUGUUUGCAUAUACGAUCUCUUAAUCAUAGCUUCCAGUUCCAUUCAAAGUUCAAUUGUUGCAAAAUGACCUUACUUGGUUUUGGCAUUUCUUUGGAGCCUGUCAAAAAUUGGAUUUUCUACCAGUUCUUUAGCUGAAGGCCGCCAAACUGGAUUUGGAUCCAGCAUUGCCUGGUAGGAUUAUAUAGGUGCUCUACAAAUGAAAUGAGUAUUUAUCUGGCACAUUAGGUCUUUGCCAUAAAAGAAAUUAGAACAGACAAUUGAUUUUGGGCCUUUGGUUUUGUUCUGCUACUUUCGGUAGCAGUUGUCCAAAAUCAUCCUCUUACUUCGACUCUCAGCAUACUCUCUUCUAUGGGUCGCUCCAGUAUAUAUUAGGUCUUUGUCAUAAAACAAAAUUAGCUUGGUCGGUUGGUUUUAGGCUUUUGUCUUUGUUUUCCUACUUUAGGCAGUGGUUGUCCAACAUCAUCCUCUUGACUCUUGGCAUACUCUCUUCUAUGGGUCAUUCUUCUAAUCUGUUCUCUACAUGUACCAUAUGUUACACCAUGUCUAAGGAGUCCAUACGACGUAGUUCUCCCCAUGAGAGUUUCUUUGAUUUGAGGCCUUGAUCAUGGGUCUCGUCAGGGCUGUUUACCACAUCAGAAGACAUUUUCUAUGAUCCGAAAAGGGCUUUGAUUAGCCUGGAGGGUUAGCAGAAGGAGGAAAGGUCGAUUUAAAGGCACAGAAAGGUCUGAAAGAAGUGCAGAAGAAACGUGAAGUUCAGGGUGGGAGAUGUCGAUGGACAUCUCCCAAAUGUUUGCUUCUUGGUUUUAUGCUUCUUACCUUCUAUGCCCUGCCAUGACUUUUGGUUGACAACCGCGUGGUUGAUUUUAUGAAUUAGUAAAUGAAAUUAUGAGUGUCCUUCCCCAUUUAUUUUCCAAAUUUGUGAAUGGUUGAUAUCAGAAACCAAUAAUUUGUUCUUCAAGUUUUGAAUUUUCUAAAUUUAUAAUAUUUUUUAUGGUAUUAAUUAAAAGAUAUUUUUGGAAAUAUAACUUCCAAUUAUAUUCCUUUACAAAUUUGAAAAUAUUUUUUGAAAAGAUAUAUAUAUAUUAAAUCCUCAUUCCAUAUCUAUACCUUCACUACAAACUUCUUUCUUGUUACCAAGCCUUCCGGAUUGAAUUUUGGCUAAUACAUGCUUGAGAAGAGAAGUACUGUUGCUACAAUUUUUUUUUAGCUAUUCUAGCUAGCUACAAGCAGCCUUAUCACUUUAUACUAAUGGGACUUUUUGUUGAUCAUAGUCUUCCCAUGUUUCAAAGCUCAUAGAUCAUUCCCACUUUCAACAUACGUUUGUGUGGAAUGUCAAACACCUUUUCUGUCUGUCUCAAAUUCUUCUUCAAGAUAUUAUAGCCAACAUUUAUCAAAACUUUUUUCCCUAAUUUGGAGCCCUUCUCUGCAAUCACCUCAUUCUCACCGAUGAAGUGCACCACACCAGCUCGUGCCGCUCUAUCAAUUGCUUCAAUAUCUUUGUCAACAUCCUCUUGGCGCCUUUCUUCAUCAAUUUGCUUUGAUUCUUCACUCUCCUUCUCACCAUUAAUCAACCCAUCUUGCAGCUCUCCAGAAACCAUGUCUUCAUUACUGUGUGUUAAUGUCGGGGUCAUCAUCAUCUCUUCUCUUAUGAACUCCUUCAAUCUUUCAACCAGCAAUCUCUCAAAAGGCUCUUCCUCGGAUCGCACGUCAGUGUACCCAUACCUCACCACACACCGAAACACAUAAAGAUCGUCUGGGUUUACCCUGCGGAAGAGGAAUCGUUCCUCCAUUGGAACCUUGCUUAUGGGGAGAGACUUGAUUGAGACGAAAACAAGAACUGAAUGCAAGGCAGGCACAUUUUCCAUGUAAUGCUUGAAGAUGGGCGGGAUGCCAUGAACAAGCUCAGAGUAGAAGAUGGCCAGUCCUGGUAUUCUACUAAAGUGUGUGCUCGCUACUAAUUCCUUCACCAUCUCAGGAGAAAUCUUGUGAUCCAGAUCAUAAUAGUAUUUCCUCCGGUACACAUCAUUCCAAAUGUACAUUAUGGUCAUCAGAACUAAGGCAAAGGCCAAGGGUAGAUACCCGCCUUGAUCAAACUUGUAAAGGACUGAACUUAGAUACAGAAGCUCAAUGCUACCAAUGACCACAACAUAUGAGAUCACAAGAAGGAUAUGGGUUUUCCAUAUCAUGAUCAUCACAAGAACCAGAAAUGAUGAGGUGAGGGUCAUCACGAACACCACCGCAAUCCCUAUACCAACAAAGACUCAUAAUUAUGAUCAUUUCAAAACAACAUUAAGCUUGAAAAGUUAAAAAAAGGCCAAGAAAUGAAGAUAUGAAACAAGGGUGAACUGUGUGGACUACCAUAUGCAUUUCCAAUCUUUGUAGUAGUCUUGAACCCGAGAGUGACCCCUACACAAGCCAGCAUGAGAAGGUAAUUGACCUCAGGAAUGUACACUUGCCCUUCAUACUUAGUUGAUGUAUGCACAAUCUUUACUCGAGGAAAACACCCCAAUGAGAGUGACUGCUGAAUUAUGGAGAAAGUCCCAGAAAUCAUUGCUUGACUAGCAAUGAUCGACGCGGACACAGCCACAACAAACAUCGGCCAGUACAGACGAUCUGCAACAGAGAAACCUCACCUCAAUGAACCAAUAAAAGAACCAACAAGAAGACAGAAAACAGACUCUAAGACCAGAAUGCUCACGUGGUAUGGACUUGAAGAAAAGAUCACCAACAUCCUCAUGGUGUUUCCGGAGAAAAGAGGCUUGUCCAGUGUAUGCCAAUACAAGAGCAGGGUAUGUGACAGUGCACAUACUUAACUGUAUCGAUUGAACUGUGAAGUGGCCAACAUCAGCAAACAGCGCCUCCGUCCCUACAUUUUCCCAGAAACUAUUUGAGAAUUUUCCGAGUUAUUGAUGGAGGAGAAUUGAUUAAUGUAUAUCCAAACCUGUAAUGGCGAGAACGAUCCCACCAAGGGAAAUCCAGGCUUGUUUCUUGUUCCUUGUGAAGUAAUCGAUGAUGUACUUGGGAUUAAUGGCUUUAACGACUGUUGGAUCAAACUUGAUGAAGUUGUAGACCCCAAUGCCACCAAUUAAUGCGAACCAAACACAGAUUAUUGGAGCAAAACUGUAGCCAACUUUGUCAGUUCCAAAUCUUUGUACCAUGAAGAGGCAUACCAAGAUGGCUACCGAUAUCCAAACAAUCCUAUCUGUUUGCACAAAGGAAAAUGGUAUUUAAGUUAGAAUUAUUAUUUAAAUAAAAUUAUCAUAAAUAAAUUUAUUUACUUUUUCAAACUGAGGGAAAAAAUGAUCAAUAGCAUGCUUAUAUAACCAUUUUUAAAAAAUUAUUUUCUAAUAAGACAUUUUUAUUGUAUUUAAUCAUUUAGACUUUUACCGACUAAGGAAGUGGACAAGUCAAAAUAUUAUUAACAAUAAUUAUAUGAGGAUGUUAUUGUAAUUUGAAAGGGUUAUUUUUAAUUUGUCAACAGUGUAAACCCAUUGGUUUUUCUGUUUUUUUUUUUGUUUUUUCCUUAAAAAGGAAAAGAUUCCAAGUUAACGUGGGCUGUUCAGAUGUCCAAAAGCUAUUAAUAUAAGCCAUCGGAUUCAACGCUUUUGUCUACACUUUACUAGUCAAAUUUGGACAAACCUCAUUUAUUAAUUAAUUUAUUUACAAAUCUUGUAAAAAUAAAAAAAAAAUAUGUACAAAAAUACCAUUCUUUUUUUUUCAAAAAAAAAAAAUUAAAAACUUAUAAAAAAAUUAUCCAAAUAUUAAAUAAAUAAUUAUUUUAGUAGUUAAUUUUAAAAGUUGAGAAAAAUUACCUUCCGUCAUUGAAUCUGUGGCUGCCUUGAUGCCAUCCACAGCAGAUAAAACUGUGAUAUGCAAAGUCAAAUGUCAAAUAUAUAAUAAGAUUAUGUUUGGUUCCAGAAAAUUUGAAAGAAAAUAUACGGGAAAGAAAAUAUAAAGAAAAAAUAGAAGAAAAAAAAAUGAAGGAAAAUAAAAAAUAGAUUAAAAGUUGAUAAAUUAUUUUUUUUGUUACUUCAAACUCAUUUUAUUUAUUUUAACUCAUUAAUAUAAAGAUUAAAUCAUUUAAAAAUAUAUAAGUUUUUAAUUAGUUUUAAUUAUAUAUAUAUAUAUAUUUUUCAUAAGACAACCAAAUAUGAAAAAAUCAUUUUCCUUUAUAUUUCUUUUUUUCUUAUUAUUUUUCGGAACCAAACACAAUUAAGAGAGUGAAGGACGAAACCCAUUUUUUUGGUAAACUAAAAUCCAACUAAAUUAAUUUUGGUAACAAAAAUUUGUAAAAGGAAAAGCCAUUUAUUAUGAAAGAAAGAAACCUUCUAAUCUCAAACUAACUAAAAAAAGAUGAUGUAAAUUAUGCUGGUUUUUUACAUUCCAAAGUAAGAAAAGUAUUUCGAAAUUAAAAAAUCAUCAUGUGAAAACAAGGAUGAAAAAAAAGAAAUAGGAUAAAGAAAAUAAAGCAGGAAAUAAAACUAACCUGAGAUGCAAGGAGUGAGGACACCAUCACCAAUCACCAUGGAAGUGCCAAGCAUUGUAGCAAACAACAGAAAGAACUUAGCAAAGUUGCUCUUCUCUAGCUUAGACUUGAGCUUUGAUGCCCUCUGCAGGCUUUUACUAGGCAGCUCCAACCGGAAAUUGGAGACUUCUCUGUCCUCAGCCUGUUGACUAGGGAUCAACCCCACCUUGGCAUAUCGGCAUAUAAGAGAAUACAAAGCAAAUGUCCCUCCUGUGAUAUUCAUCAGUGUUUAAAAGAAGUGUAUAAAUUCUAAGCUUAAUGGGCUAUUUUCCUUUCUCUUUUUUUUUUUUUUUUUGAGUAAUAUAAUGUGACCAUAUAUUUAGGGUUGAAAGGGCAGAAAAUAUCUUCUUCUUUUUUUAAAAAAAAAAAAAGAAAGAUUCAUUGGACUGAGUGCACAACUGUUUAUCAUUGAUUAAGCACAUACGAAGGAAGUUUCCCUUCCCCAGUUGGAGCCUGCAUGGUUAUUUUAAUGGGUAAGUCACACAAUUUGAUGCUUCACAGUUGGCUUUCAAAGGUGUUUUCCACUCAUCUCAUCAAUGAUCAACACUAGAAAAAAUGGCAAAAAAAAAAAAGAAAAAGAAAAAGGAAAGAUAGAAAAAGAAGAUCAAAGUAGGAUUCAUUUGAAUUAAAAUCAAAGGUCAUUAAAGAUGAUGAGCUCUCACCAUCGCCAUUAUCGUUGGCCUUCAAAACAAUCAAGACGUACUUGAAGAGAGGGAUGAGGGUGAGGGUGUAGAAGAUGAGAGAAAGAACCCCCAGAAUAUCAUCAUUAUGUUUGACACCAUCAGUGAAAGUGCUUGCAUACACGUACAAAGGCGAAGUUCCAAUGUCCCCAUACACUAUUCCAAUGCUCUGAAACGCCAGGUGCAGUAUCACAGACCAGUUCUUGGUGCCCUUCAAAACAGAAAAUAAAAAAAAAACAAAAAAAAACAUCAAUCUCCUUUUCCCUUUUCCCCAGUUGCUAUGCAUGCAGAUAUAUAAUAACAGGAAAAUCAUAUCAGGAUGGGGGGGGUGCAGACCCUGGAGCCAUGGUGGCUAUGGCCAUGGACAGUCCCGGACUCCAUAUCUAAGGAGUCCAUACGACGUAGUUUUCCCCAUGAGAGUUUCUUUGAUGUGAGGCCUUGAUCAUGGGUCCCGUCAGGGCUGUUUACCACAUCAGAAGACAUUUUCUAUGAUCUGAAAAGGGCUUGGAUUGGCAUGGAGGGUUUGCAGAAGAUGGAGAGGCCAAUUUAAAGGCACAGAAAGGUCUGAAAAGAGUGAAGAAGAAACGUGAAGUUCAAGGUGGGAGAUGUUGAUGGGUAUCUCCCAAAUGUUUGCUUCUUGGUUUUAGGGUUAUUUACCUUUCAUGCCCUGGCCUGACUCUCUCGAUUGGAAGCCGCGUAGUUUGAUUUUCUGAAUUAGCAAAUGAGAUUAUGAGAAUCUUUUUUUUUUUUUACCAUUUAUUUUUCAAAUUUAUUGGAAAAUAUAGUAUUUCGUAGGGUUGAAUGAUUGAUAUCAGAAGCCAAUAAUUUCUUCUUCAAGUUUUGCUUUUUCUAAAUUUAUGAUAUUUUGUAUGGUAUUAAUUAAAAGUUAUUUUUUGAAAUAUUCCUUUACAAAAUUGAAAAUAUUUUUAAAAUUAAUAUAUCCAAUAAUUUAGGGAAAGUAUAGAUUAUGUUCUUAUACCUUCUCAUGUAUGGAUCACAAAUUGAGGUGAUUUGUAGUUAAUAACUUAUAUUAUUAACAUAAGAUGUUGAUGUGUGAACAAAUGAAUUGAAUUCAUUGUCUGACAUGCAAAACCAAACAAGGAAAACCCAACUGCCAUUUUGAAUAAAGGGGUAUUUCAAUGCCAUUUAUAGUAAAGCAAAAUUGGACCUUUCUCUAUGUUUCUCCUCAAUUCAAAUUUUCUUGGCUUCACAUUUGCCCACCAAUUUUGACGGACUUUUCUCAAUAGUACAGCAAUUUAAAAAAGUUAUGCUUAAAUUACUGUACUGGCAGAAGUUAUUACAAAUAUAGGGUAGUUUUUGCCACAUAGGAGAGAGGAGAGAGGAAAGAGGAGAGAGGAGAGAGGAGAGAGGGUGAGAGAANNNNNNNNNNNNNNNNNNNNNNNNNNNNNNNNNNNNNNNNNNNNNNNNNNNNNNNNNNNNNNNNNNNNNNNNNNNNNNNNNNNNNNNNNNNNNNNNNNNNAGGAAAGAGGAGAGAGGAGAGAGGAGAGAGGGUGAGAGAGAGGAGAUAGGAGAGAGGAGAGAGGAGAGAGGGUGACUAAAAAAAAAGCAAACUCGUCUCUUGAAGAGACGAGUUCCAUGAAAGAAGAGAGGAAAGAGGAGAGAGGAGAGAGGAGAGAGGGUGAGAGAGAGGAGACAGGAGAGAGGAGAGAGGAGAGAGGGUGUGUAAAAAAAAGCAAACUCGUCUCUUGAAGAGACGAGUUCCAUGAAAAAAAAAAUAUAUAUAAUUUUAAAAAAAUUCUAAACAAUUAUUCAAGGGAACUCGUCUCUUGAAGAGACGAGUUCCAUGUAAAAAAAUCCAAGAGACGAGUUCCAUGUAAAAAAAAAAAAAAUUUUUAUUUUAAAAAAUCCCAAAUUUUAAAAAAAAAAAUUCCAAAAAAAAAAAAAUUCCAAAGGGAACUCGUCUCUUGAAGAGACGAGUUCCAUGUAAAAAAAAAUAUAUUUUUUAAAAAAUAUAAUUUUUAUUUUAAAAAAUCCCAAAUUAAAAAAAAAAAAAAUCCAAAGGGAACUCGUCUCUUCAAGAGACGAGUUCCAUGUAAAAAAAAAUAUAUUUUUUAAAAAAUAUAUAUAUUAAAAAAAAAAUCCCAAAUUAAAAAAAAAAAAAAAAACACACAAUUCCAAAGUGAAGAGACGAGUUCCAUGUAAAAAAAAAUAUAUUUUUUAAAAAAUAUAUUUUUUAUUUUAAAAAAUCCCAAAUUUAAAAAAAACAAAAAUAAAUUCCAAAGGGAACUCGUCUCUUGAAGAGACGAGUUCCAUGUAAAAAAAAAUAUAUUUUUUUUAAAAUAUAUAUAUUAAAAAAAAAUCCCAAAUUAGAAAAAAAAAAAAAAAAAAACACAAUUCCAAAGGGAACUCGUCUCUUGAAGAGACGAGUUCCAUGUAAAAAAAAAUAUAUUUUUUAUUUUAAAAAAUCCCGAAUUAAAAAAAAAAAAAAUUCCAAAGGGAACUCGUCUCUUCAAGAGACGAGUUCCAUGUAAAAAAAAAAUUAUUUUUUUAAAAAUAUAUAUAUAUUAAAAAAAAAUCCCAAAUUAAAAAAAAAAAAAUUAAUUCCAAAGGGAACUCGUCUCUUGAAGAGACGAGUUCCCAUGUAAAAAAAAAAAAAAUUUUAAAUAUAUAUAUAUAUUAAAAANNNNNNNNNNNNNNNNNNNNNNNNNNNNNNNNNNNNNNNNNNNNNNNNNNNNNNNNNNNNNNNNNNNNNNNNNNNNNNNNNNNNNNNNNNNNNNNNNNNNCCCCCUUGGAAUUUUUUUUUUUUUUUUUUAAAUUUGGGGUUUUUUAAAAAAAAUUUUUUUUUUUUACCAGGAAACUUGUUUUUUUCAAGGGGACGAGGUUCCCCUUGUAAAUUUUUUUUUUUUUUAAAAUUGGGGUUUUUUAAAAUAAAAAAUAUAUUUUUUUUCCUAAAGGAACUCGUUUUCUGAAAAUUUUUAUUUAAAAAAAAAAUAUUUUUUUUAGAUGGGAACUUGUUUUUUUGGAAUUUUUAGGAAAUGUGUUUUUUUUUUUUUUUUUUUAAAUAUAUAUAUAUAUUUAAAAAAAUAUUUUUUUUUACCUGGGAACUUGUCUCUUGAAGAGACGAGUUCCCUUUGGAAUUAAUUUUUUUUUUUUUUUUUAAUUUGGGAUUUUUUAAAAUAAAAAAUAUAUUUUUUAAAAAAUAUAUUUUUUUUUACAUGGAACUCGUCUCUUGAAGAGACGAGUUCCCUUUGGAAUUGUGUUUUUUUUUUUUUUUUUUUUUUUUUUUAAUUUGGGAUUUUUUUUUUUUAAUAUAUAUAUUUUUAAAAAAAUAUAUUUUUUUUUACAUGGAACUCGUCUCUUCAAGAGACGAGUUCCCUUUGGAAUUUAUUUUUGUUUUUUUUAAAUUUGGGAUUUUUUAAAAUAAAAAAUAUAUUUUUUUAAAAAUAUUUUUUUUUUUACAUGGAACUCGUCUCUUCAAGAGACGAGUUCCUUUUGCAAUUUUUUUUUUUUUUUUUUAAAUUUGGGAUUUUUUAAAAUAAAAAAUAUAUUUUUUAAAAAAUAUAUUUUUUUUUACAUGUAACUCGUCUCUUCAAGAGACGAGUUCCCUUUGGAAAAUUUUUUUUUUUUUUUAAAUUUGGGAUUUUUUAAUAAAAAAUAUAUUUUUUAAAAAAUAUAUUUUUUUUCCUAAAGGAACUCGUCUCUUGAAAUUUUAUAUUUAAAAAAAAAUAUUUUUUUUUAGAUGAGAACUCGUCUGUUAGGAAUUUUGAGGAAUUGUUUUUUNNNNNNNNNNNNNNNNNNNNNNNNNNNNNNNNNNNNNNNNNNNNNNNNNNNNNNNNNNNNNNNNNNNNNNNNNNNNNNNNNNNNNNNNNNNNNNNNNNNNUUUGGAAAUUUUUUUUUUUUUAAUUUGGGAUUUUUUAAAUUAAAAAAUAUAUUUUUUAAAAACUAUUUUUUUUUUUACAUGGAACUCGUCUCUUCAAGAGACGAGUUCCCUUUGGAAUUUUUUUUUUUUUUUUUUUAAAUUUGGGAUUUUUUAAAAUAAAAAAUAUUUUUUUUUUUACAUGGAACUCGUCUCUUCAAGAGACGAGUUCCCUUUUUGGAAAUUUUUUUUUUUUUUUUAAAUUUGGGAUUUUUUAAAUUAAAAAAUAUAUUUUUAAAAAAAUAUAUAUUUUUUUACAUGGAACUCGUCUCUUCAAGAGACGAGUUCCCUUGAAUAAUUGUUUAGAAUUUUUUUAAAAUUAUAUAUAUAUUUUUUUUCAUGGAACUCGUCUCUUCAAGAGACGAGUUUGCUUUUUUUUACACACCCUCUCUCCUCUCUCCUCUCUCCUCUCUCCUCUCUCUCACCCUCUCUCCUCUCUCCUCUCUCCUCUUUCCUCUCUUCUUUCAUGGAACUCGUCUCUUCAAGAGACGAGUUUGCUUUUUUUUUACAGUCACCUUCUCUCCUCUUUCCUCUCUUCUCUCACCCUCUCUCCUCUCUCCUCUCUCCUCUUUCCUCUCUCCUCUCUCCUAUGUGGCAAAAACUACCCUAUAUUUGUAAUAACUUCUGCCAGUACAGUAAUUUAAGCAUAACUUUUUUAAAUUGCUGUACUAUUGAGAAAAGUCCCAAUUUUGACUAGGUAAACAAAAAUUGGAACAAAAAAUGUGAUUGGUUGUGCACCCCAAUUGACCCAUUAACUGGAUGUGACCCAAAGAAUUAAAAUAUCCAGAUGUAUCGCACAUAUUGAGAAGAUAUAUAUGAUAUUUUUGGAUAUUUUACCCUCUUUUUUUUUUCGUUUUAUAUUUCAUCUAUAUUUUGGGAUAUAUUAAAUUUUUAAUUUUUUUAUUAUUAAAGAAAUAAAUUAUAAUUAUUUUAAAUUUAUAUUUGAUUUAAUUUAUUAUCAAAAAUAUAAAAACAUAAUUUUAUUAAUAGAUCUUUUUUACAUAUUUAUUAAAUAUAAAUAUUAAAAAAAAUACAUAUAUUAUUAUUUAUUUGAUAUCAUUAAAUACAUUUAAAUUAAAAUGGACCAUAAAUUUCAUAUUAAAUAUAUUUUAAAAUUAGACAUAUUAUCAUAAUAAUAUUAUAAAAUAAUCUAUGAUGCAACUUAAUAAUAAAUAUACAUUUAUAAAAUUUAUAUUUUUUAUCAACAUAAAAGAUAUUAUUAUCAAAUAUCAUAAUAUAUAUAUAUAUAUAUAUAUUUAAAAAAAAUAACUUUAAAAUAUCUACUUUUACUUCUUAUAUAAUUUUUUAGAUUUUUUUUUAAUAUUUUCAAAAUUUUAUUAAUUUUUACGGAUAUUUUAUAUUAAAAUAUUCAUAAAAUCGAAAUACCGAUAUAUUCAUAAUUAUUGAUAUUUUUAUUCUUACCUCUAUAUUAUAAUAAUUAUUUUUUUCUAAUUAUUAAUUUAUUUUUUAGAAAGAUAUUAUAUUUAUUAAUUUAUUUUACCAUUUUUUUUCUUCAAGCAUGCGUCUGCUAAAAAUAUUGGAUUCGGCAAGACUUAAUUACAUUUCAAAGCACAUUAACUAGAAUACCCAAAAUUUAUUAUUUAAAAAUAAGUAAUAAAAUCGAUAAUGGCAAUUUCCAUGUUCUAAGAUGAAUGAGGGGUAAAUUUGGAAAUAUAGAUAGUCCACAAUUACCACCCGUCAAAGACGUCCGUUUGCUACAGUUGGCAACAGCGUAGUCCUACUCUCGGAUGUAGAAAAAAAACUGUACUCCCUUCUUGCUAUUGCCACGUAGUAGAUUGUUGAGAGGUGCACAACAGAAGACGGCGAGUGAAACUUGAUAUGUAUGGGGGGAGAGUGGAGCUCUGAACUUUCUUGUGGGGUGAAAACGUGCAUAUCCCUCUUGGUCACUUGUGACACGUGUCAUCGAUCACAGGAUAUCUAUCACAGGGUUGACCUUAGAACAAAAUUGCGUAUAUUGGUAGGUCUUGUUUGGAAAUUAUAAUGAGUUAUUGCAGCUUUCAAUUUAUUGAAACUAAAGAUUUAGGAUCACAAAAAAUUCAAAAAAUAAAAUGAAUCAUUUAAAAAUUUUGGCUAUAUUUGGUUUAGAAAAAAUGCAAAUAAUAAACAUAUUCAAAAUCAAUAAAUUAUUUUUACAUGUUUUUUUAAAUUUAUUUCACUUUUUUUUUUUUUGCUAUAUAAAAAUUAAAUAAUUUUAGAAUAUAUAAAGUUUUAUUUGAUUUUCUUUUAUAUUUUAUACAAUAAAACUAAAUAUGAAAAAAAGGCAGUUUUUUUAAACAUUUUUGUCCUUGGUGUUUUUCAGCGUCUUAAGUAAACAUAUAAAAUAAAUUUUUUCCUCUUACAUUUUCUUGCCUUUCAAUUCACUUCCUAUUCUUUCCACCAACCUUUUAGGAUCAAAGAACUUCAAAAGGUGCAAUGCACGUGUGAAGUAAGUAAAAAAACAAUUGAUGGGUUGGCAGGGAGUGGAAAAACAUUAUAGAUAUAUAUUAACUUUUAAAUUUUUGGGUAUAUUUUAAUGACAAGAACAUUAUAUUUAUUAAUACCAUAUUUAAUUCCCAGAGAAAAAAAAAAGUAAUUAAAAUUAAUUUAAAAUUUAUAUAUUUUAAAAUUAUUUAAUUGAGAAAUAAAUAAAAUAAAUUUAAAAAUAUAUAUAUAAAUAAUUUAUUCAAUUUAAACUUAUUUUUUAUUUUUACCCGCUUUUUUUUACACUCUUUUUUUUUCUUUACAUUUUUCCUUGAGAGCCGAGGAAUGAUUUUAGGUAUCUUAUCAUAAAGUUGACAUUACGACUUAAAAAAAUUUCUAUGAAACUGAAUUGAUAAGACCUUUUAAUAUAUUUAAUUGAUUACAGAGAAGUUCAAUGAACACCACUGAGCAAUAAAAAAAUGGGAGCAUGACACAAAACUUCUCCAUCAAAGAAGAUUCAUAGAAAGGGAAAAAAUAGCAAUAAUUCAAAAUUUAAAAUUAUUGAGGUCGCUCUCUCUCUCUCUCCCUCUCCAUGACUCUAACCUCAGGGAAUAUUCUUACAGCAAUGCUUGACCAAUGAGUGGUUGUUCCCAUAAAUUAUUACUUAGCAAUAAUAGUGAGGCCUUGUUGGUGGCACAUCGGGGACAUCAACAAUAAUACAACUAAUGAGAACAAAUGACGCAUGAGAGUAAGCCAAGUCUGGCUGCCCUUUCGACAGAAAUCACAGAGAUUAAUCCAACACAGAAGGGCACAAAAUUGUAAAUGGGUAGGUAGAGCUGUAAGCCUCUGAUUUGGUAGUGGGGGUCAAGAGAGGCAGCUAUCAAGACUUCCAAUUGUGCAUGUGUUGUAUUGAAAUCAAUACUUUUGGGGCAUUGAAGGGCGGUGUAUGUGACCUCUUAGGUGUUCAAAUCAGUACCAUGUUUGUUUGACAUAACCUGCCCCUCUAAUUUGUGGUCCAUGAAAAUUGGGGGUGGAUUCAUAGGAUGCAACAUUUCAUUCAUUUUGGAUGACUAGCCCUCGUACGUUUUAAAACAAGUCUACACAGAUAUAGCAAACUUUUCUCCCCCGUGCUUUUAGGUUAUCAUGGUGGUCCCCCUCCAAAGAAAAAUGUGUAUGUGAAGACAUCAUAGGGUGACUAAUUACUAACAUUUUAUCGGAGAUUCUUGGAUCUGGUUUUAUACAAUUUGCAUUGACAUUCACACACCUAACAUCACAAAAAUUCUACUAGUUGCCCAUAUUUUUUUCAGGCCUUUUCUAAUUCAGUGAUAUCUAGUGCAGGAGAUACAGGUCCCAAAAGAGACUUUGUCUUUUUUCAUAGACAAAGGCGGAUUGAAUUAAGAAGACUUCAAAACACGAGACGCACCCCAUGUUUAGUGGCAGUAUACAAAAAGGGCCAAAACUAGAGAGAAAUAAAGCUAACCACCAUGUCAAUCAACCAAAAACUGAUGAGACCACUCUACAAGUAAACAGAAAAAGAGGUUCGCUUUGGUCUGACAACCCUUCCACUUGGAAAAUUCUUCGGUUUCGCUCUCCCAAAAUACACCAAAAAAAACAAAUGGGCGUCAAUCUCCAAACUGUUUCCUCUUCUUCCCUAGGUUCCCAAAAGAGACUAUUAAGUGCCUACCAGUGACAAUAAUUGAAUGCUUUGUGCAAGCAAUUAAAUUCUAGAAAACUACUAAAUAUACAUUUAUUUGAUAUUAAGAACAGCGACGGCUAGGCCAUGUCUCAGUUUUUAAUUCUCUCAUUCAUACUAGGUUCUGGGAUGCUUCAAACAAAGCCCCCAUCUGUUAGGUUGCAUAAGCCAAACAUAAGAUAUUGUUUUGACCAGGAUAACAAUUAUUGCACUUUUCUGAACAAAGCUUUGCUUGGAUUGCACGUUAAAAAUUUAUGGUUUAUGUUAAAUGUAGCUUUCAAACAUCUAAUAAUUCAUUAAACAAUGUGUUCAAACCAUGGGGUGUCCAAUGGCAGAAACAAACAGUUGAUAUGGUAAGGCAAAGGCAUAUAUGCAUGUCAAAAGGGGAAUAUUCGAGAUGAAUGACUGAAUAACAAAUGUGUGUUGUGUGUAUUUUGUUUGAUGUCAGAAACUUAUUAGUCAUGUAAUACAAAGAAGAAAUGGUCACAACCUAAUGCAACCAACAUGCCAACGCUUAAUUUGUAUUAUGCGCUCAGGUUUUUCUUACAGAUGAUUAAGCAAGAUUGGUUAUAUGGCUAACAGACAAGGCAUGAGGUUGAUGAAGAUGUUUAUCCAUUGGUUCUAGCAUUAUUUUGACAGCUUCUAUUCUAAAAGCACACAAGUAAUGAGGAUGAAAGCUCAAAAUAGAAGGCUACAAUUGUAAACGUACAAACCUAGAAAUGCAGGACUUUUCAGAUUAUUAGGAAAAUACAUUAAUGGCAAACCUGUAUUGAAGGGACUUCUUGAGUCCUAUCCUCAAUGUCAACUAAACUUUAUCACCAUAUCUGUUUCAUGUCACAACCAGCUACACCAAAAUCAAAGGGACUUCAUCAUUAGCACUGCAUUCCAUCACAACAAAAAUUACAGCAUCCUCAAGGUUUUCUUUGACAAUUUACAAAAUCUGCACCAUGCUGAGGGGAAAAAUGGUGCAUAUGGUGGACAAAAUGCUAUUGUCACAAAUUUUGGGAAUUCAUAAUCUUUUCCAUCCCUUGUUUGCCAGACCAGCAAAAUAUAAGUGGCUGCAUAUACAAUCUCUUAAUCAUAGCUUCCAGUUCCAGUCAAAGUUCAAUUGUAGCAAAAUGACCUUACUUGGUUUUGGCAUUUCUUUGGAGCCUGUCAAAAAUUGGAUUUUCUACUAGUUCUUUAGCUGAAGGCCGCUGAACUGGAUCUGGAUCCAGCAUUGCCUGGGAGGAUUAUCAAUCCAUUAGAUAAAUCAACCAUAUAGUGCAAGAUCAUCUUAACUAGUGGCUUUAAAAUAGCAUAAAAAGAAAAUAAUGAAAUGACGGUAAAAGUUAUCUUUUGAUAUAAGGGAGUGUCUGCAGGCAAUUCAAGAAUGAAUUCUAACCACCACUGGAAUGAUAUCUAGUCACCAACUUCAUUUCUUAUAGGUGUAAAGAAAUGGAGUUACAGACAGAUAAAUUUUCUUUUAAUUUCUAUAGUGAAAGUGUGGUACCUGCCUCAUUUUUUAUUACUCACAGGUUAUAACUGGUUCAAGUCAUUACAGGUGUGCUUAGAAGCUAGUCCAAGGUAGAAUGUUUCCAAUUCCCAUAAAUAAUGGAUUUUUUUUUUCAGACCAUAUUUAUCAUAGAUGUCUAUUCCCCAAAUAUUGUUGCAAAUCACAGAAAUCAGAUUAUAUUGAUAAUUUAGUACUAUUUAGUCUGAAAAGAAGUAGAAAGUCACAUUGACCAACAUAAGAAUUCAGAAUUGCAAGAUUUGGAACUUAAAAGAAAGAAAGAGAACUGUAGAAAAUAUAUUGGCCAGUAGAACUCAUGCACCCAUAUAUUUUAAUCUGAAUGCACCCUAUGCCAGAACUUAAUCUAGAUAAUUCACAUAAUGUGAGAUGAAUAAUGAAAUCAAAUCAAAUCAUUUAUUCCUCCCCUGAGCUGCCUUCCAGACACAACAAAUGUGAAAUAUGGAAACAUUUCCUUUCUUUAAAAAAAAUGGUUAGGCAACAUUUAAUAAGUCAAUUGUGUUUGGUACCUUGAGUAAGUUCUGGAAUUGCAAAGAAUAGCCAGGAAGAAGUGGCAGUUUUCCCUCUCUAAGAUUCAAAAACUGAUAUCCUGAUUCAGGCAAGUGUGAGCCUCUAAUAAGUUCAUAGAUAGCAGCUCCCAAGGAGAACAUGUCAACCUUGUCAAGAUGGUCGUAGUUGUCAUUCAAGAUUUCUUGUGGCAUAUAACGCGCAUCACCUUCAUCAAUAGGAAGGCUUCUAUCAAGAAGUGUUGCACAACCAAAAUCACCAAGUUUGUAAACACCAUCUUUGACAUAAAUGUUAUCAGGUUUUACAUCUAGGUGAGCUAUUCCUUUCUCAUGUGUAAAUUGCAAGGCCUUGGCAAUCUGUAGACAAAGUUCAAGUGAAAAGAUGUUAACAAUAACUUAAAACUAAGGUCCUAGUGGACAUUUAAAUGACAUGGUAAACCACAAGAUACGAUUUAUCAGGAAACAAAUUAAGGACAGUCUAAGAGAAGGGUAGGAGAAUUGUUGAUUGAGUACUCAAAACAUCUAUAGGUGCUCUACAUAUGAAAUAAGUAUAUUCUGGCACAUUAGGUCUUUGCCAUAAAAGAAAUCAGAACAGACAGUUGAUUUUGGGCUUUUGGUUUUGUUCUGCUACCUUAGGUAGCAUUUGUCCAAAAUCAUCCUCUUACUUUGACUCUCAGCAUACUCUCUUCUAUGGGUCUCUCUAGUAUGCAUUAGGUCUUUGUCAUAAAACAAAAUUAGCUUAGUCGGUUGGUUUUGGGCUUUUGUAUUUGUUCUCCUACUUAGGGAGUGGUUGUCCAAAAUCAUCUACUUAAGUUGACUCUCGGCAUACUCUCUUCUAUAGGUCAUUCUUAUUAUCUGUUCACUACAUGUACCAUAUGUUGCACCAUAUCACAUGGACUCAUUUUUCUUACAUGAGAGUCACAUACAUAUGCUUGAAAAAAAAUAUAUCAACCUGAUGCAUAGCUUCCAGGACUUCCCCUUCUGUGAACAAGUGGGAAGAUCUCUUGAUGGAUAAGCUGUGAUCACAAAGCUCCAUUUGAAUAUAGAGUUUCUCAUUUUCAAACCAUGAAGUGUAGUAACCUACAAUGUUUUCAUGAGAUCCUACAAAGGCAAAACGAUGAUUCUGGUUAGGAAAUAAACAGAGCCAAAUUUGUGGAGAAGAUAUUGUAGAGGUGUAAAACUUAUGAAAGAAUCCAUACAAACCUAAAACUGCCAAAGCUUGAACUUCCAUCAAAGCUUUCCUCCUGCAGGUAUUAUUGCAUAAGCAAGCUGCUCAGACAAAUACUACAAAUACCAAGAAGCAUGAAGAAGCUACCUUUCUGUGUCUUGAUGCAAUGGUCUUGUGCUAUGUUUCACUGCAUACAUGCAACCAUCAAUUCUCUUCAGAACCUUGAAAACACGACUGAAGUUCCCAUCACCAAUUUGCUGGGGAAAAAUGACAAUAUAGAAAGUGAAUACUAUAAAAAACUAAUCCUUCCACUGAAGUAUAUAAACACUUGGGUUUGGUUAGAUACCUCAAUCUCAUGGAAAUCUGUGUGAUAUCGGGAAAGGCCAUCUCCACCAAUAAGUGCAGGGAAAAAACCUGUAGAUUGCAGCUUUAUUCAAUUAAAACCCAAGAUAUAAAAUUGAAACCAGAACAGACACUAUGAUAAUCAGCAGUAACCCCACCCAACCCCCAACUAAGUUAAAGAAAAAGAAAAGAGAAGUUCCCGGAGAUAUCAGAUGAUAAGAAGAUAAUACUAUGGCUCUAAAACUUUCUUAACUUUGUGAUAGUAAUGCUUAUCCUUAGCAGAUAAAUAAAAUAUAGGAUCAUAUGAUUUGGUACAUUGCAAUAAGGCAUGAGAUAUACAGAAGCACUUCUAGUGUACCUCACCCACAAUCUUUUAGAUUGGACCCAUCAAUUCAACUUGCUUUCAGAAAGAAGACAAAUAUAUACCUGAAUAUUUUGAUCUUCGAUUUCCAAAAGGAUCUAUGUCAGUUUCAGAAGCAUUCUUCAGAUAUGGGUUCUUUAAGCAAGGAGGGGGCAUAACCCGACACCGUAAGGCAACUGCAGAUUGUGAAACAUAACUUUGAUUCUUUUGUGAUCCAGUUACUAUUGCUUUCUCCACCUUAACUUCAUCCGUACCAAAAGUGUCUUUUUCUAGCUCCAAUAUUGGUUGAUCAAACAAGGUGGAAUUGGGAGAAUCUAAUAAGGUAUCAUCUGCAAAAAUUAAUUGAAACUCAGUUACAAAUAAAGGGCAUUAAUUACAUAGAAAGUUUAAUGAACAACCAAACAAACCAAUAGAAAGUAGAAUGCAAGAGGUGAGAAAAAUUUGUAGGGAAAUCUGUCACUGCUCUGAGAUAUGUAAAACACAAACAUAAUGCCUACCUCCAAUUGCAAGAUACUGUAUUCACAUCAUUAAUUUUAAUUUCCCAAUUAAUUUACUUUCUAGUUGGGAUUAUGGAUUUCCAAGUAUAAUUACUACAAUAUUGCUGUGACCCAUCAUCUAUAUAUCUCGUUGAACCCUGGUCAUAAAUUUAAUCAAGUGCAUAAUUCGUUAGUUUAUGUAAAGUUCAAAUCAGGGUAUCUUCUAUUUGAAGACAAAGAAGUUUGAAUUAGAGAAAUUAACAUCAGGGUCAUCUGAAGAUGAUAUAUGUAGACCAUCUGGCCACAGUUGCUACUCAUGGCUGCCGCACUAUACAUUAACUUGAAUCAAAGUCAAAAGAGAUUGUGAUUCCAAAAAAAAAAAAGAGACAGUCUAGUGUGCUCCCUAAUCAUCAUCCAAAUAGUAAUUCUAGCAAUAUCAUCAGAAAAUAUCACAACUCAAACUGACUGUAACAAUAACCAAUCUUACCCUCUCUCUUCCUUUUGAUUCUUGAAGUCUUUAGCUUCUCCGGAGACUUGGGGCACGGGAUGUUAUCCUUUCAAAGCAAAGGCAAGAAGUGUUAAUUCUCUUAUCAUAAAUCAUACUACACAUAAUUUCCAAAGCCUCAAAAAAAAAAAAAAAAAUAUCACCUUGUUGCAAUCCAGACCAUUCAAAAUAUUUUGACCAUCAGGAGUGAUGUAGUCAGGAGUGCUGCAUUCACCAAAAAUCAACCCAUAAGACGGAAAGCAAUAUCGGAAUGAUACAAUCCAGUCUAUUCUUCAUCAGCUCAUAAAUAAAUCCAUUUGUUGAUUUAUAGCAGAACAUAGCUAAAUUACCUUUUUCAAUCUCUAGCGCUAUAAAGUAAAACAUAAGCAAAUUAUCCCCGAGUUCAGUGAGUUUUGCACAGAUACAAAAGUAAUCAUCAUAAUAAUAAUCAAAUUGAGCUUGCAAGUCUCCAAUCAAAAUACGCCAUUCAAAAACGUGAAAUUUACCAGAAGAAGUCUUGGCUGAGAAUGAAAUCUUUGUCGUCGACAUCAGCGUCGAUGUUAUCGACGGUGGAUUCCGAUUCCAGAAGGUUCUGGCAGCGAGAAACUUGACCUAGCUGAACCGUCAAAUGCCUUGCUAGGGUACCCUUCAUUUCGUUCUUCUGUCUCCUUCUCCUAGAGCUUCUCUCUAUGUUUUUCUCUUCAACGACAGAGAGCUCUCUGUCUCCCCUCUCUAAAACUCUCUGUAUAUAACUACGCUACAUAAAAAAUGAAGAUUUUGGAAUUUCGGGAAUUAAAAAUAGUGAAAAAUUCAAAAAUGCGCGGGUUUGGUAAAGAUUGUAUGGAUCCAGUACUGUUUAUCUUAUAAUACAUUCGUGUUUCUCCUUUUGACACGUUUCGUGAUGUGGAAUUGGGAGAGAAUUCAACGGUUUGGAUUGGUUCUUGUGGUGAAGCAAUUUAUGGUGGUAGCGUACCGCGUAAGCCUUGUAGUUUUGUGGUGAUAUUGAUUUGAUAAUUCCAAGGUAGUGCGGUUGUAGUGGGGCGAAGCAUGAAGCCCACUACAAAGGACGGCCCACAACUUUCAAAUUGGUUUUGUGUAUGGCACGCUAAGUUGCUGUCUAAAUAUUACAACUCUUUCUUAAUUAUUAUUAUUUUUAAUUAUUUUUACUAUAAACUAGAUUAUAAUUUUUUUUUUUCAAAAAAAUCAUUUAGAAUCAUAUAAAUUGUUAAAAAUCUAUUGAACAACAUAAAUUUUCUUAACUAAUCCAUUAUAAAAAUAAAAUAAAAUAAUUAUAAUGAUGAAUGAUGUGAUAACUUAAAAAAUUGAUAAUCAUAUGAUAAUUAAGAUUUCUAUAUAUGUUUGAUUAAUUAAAAACACAAAAAGUUUUUGAUGUUAAAUUCUAUUGAUUAGUAAUUACUCGGUGAUGUGUAUGUGAUAUUUGAAUUUUGGAUUAAAAUGUGUGUGUACGUGCGCACACACACAUAUAUAUUUAAAUUUUAGAAAAUUGUUUUCAAUUUUAGAAAUUUAUGAUUUUUUUUUUUAGAUUUACUUUUUAUCCCAAUUAGCUAAUUUUUAUUUUGUUAACUUUUUUUAUAGAAAUUUUCACAUUAAAAUUUCUUUAAAAAAUAAAGAAAAUGACAAAAAAAAAUUUAUAUUAAUUACAUUCUUUUAUUUCUUGGAUAAUUUUAUUAAUUUAUAGCAAUUUUAUUUUUCAGUCAAAUUUAUAAAAUUUAAGUAUGCAAUGGGAUACACUUCCUAGUUUUUUAUUUUUAAAAUAAAACUUUUGUACAAAAUAGGUAAAGUCAAACAGAGAGAGAAAAAAAAAAGGACUUUUUCUAUUAAGAGAAAAUUAAAAUUAAAAUUUUUAUCAGGGAAAAUUUAUUUUAAAAUAGGUAAAGUCAAACAGCUUGAAAAUGUCUUAAUUUUAAACCAGCUUGGUUCAAGAUUUAAGUUAAAAAUACGAACUGGGCUUAAUUUUGAAAUAAAAGAAAUCUUAUUUAUUUAUUUAUUUAUUUUUAAAUGAAGGGUGGUUUUGGGCCACAAAAAGAAGGGCCUAUACGGCCCAUCCCAUCCCAAGAAGGCCUUGGGUAUUUUCUCGCAUUUUCUCAGAGCUCCUCCUCGAGAAAAAUCGCAGGGGAAAAGGGUUUAAGUCAAGGGUUUAUCCAUCGAAAUGUUUCCGGUAAAUUCACUUACAAAUUUCAAUCUCUUCCUAGAUUUUCCCAUUUUUUCGAAAAUCUUCCAUCCACAUCAAUCCUCUGCCCUGAAAUCAUGCAGGAAAAUCCAGAGUCUGAUCAAAGCAUUUCAGGUGGAAUUGCUUGCAGUAAUGUAUAUAUUCGACUAUGAAUUUUGAAAGAAAACAAUCAUUAAACAAUGUUGAUUUCUUUUUCUCAGAAGAAGAAGAUUGGCCUCAGAAUUGUAUUUCAUUAGGUGGAGCUACUGAGAAGAAGGUUUAUGCUCUACUCUCACAAAUCAUUACAUUUCACUUCGAUUUUAGUCUACCGUAGUUGGAUUUCUACUCAUGUUUUUUCAACAGGAGUACAUAUUGGUUUGACAUAUUCUAAUUGUAGUCAUACUCUGAUAGGAGGGAUUUCAAAUUCAAUCACAGCUUGAGUUGCUCAUAGGUAUUCAGUUAAUUCUGAGCUUGAACUCAUUGUACCUUCAAGAAGCAUAUACUACUUGUCCGGUUCGUGAAGUUAAAUAUAUGCCUUGUUGAAGCAACAAGCCAUGAUUCUGUUCGAUUAUUGAUUAUGGAAUUGGGUUUUCAGGAUUCUAGGACGUUCCUUGUGCAGGUACAUAUGAAGCGGAUCACGGAAGGAAAACAGCAAAUUUGUCACAUGAGGCAUGUUAACCCGAUUGACUUGUUGUUUUCUUGUUUUGUGCUGAAGGUUGAGUUGGACUUUCCAUGGGAAUUGAAUGGUAACAGCUGUGCUGUGUGUAGAAUUUGAAGGGAGAACUCUAUUACUCGGAAUUGGGCCAUAAAGAAAAUGGAACUAUUGCAAUGUGAUAUGUUAUAGAAUAGUUUUAAGAUUAUAGGAUAUGUCAGUGCCACGAAUUCCCUAUCAGCAUCUGUGAUGAUGACUGUCAUUUUAUGAUGAAGGAUCCACUUAAAUUGAUGGCUUUCUUUGAAAAAUGAUAUGAUUAAUUAUAAUAGAACAAUUAAUUCCCAUGAGAUGUUCAAAAUCUCUUUAGUAAUCAAAAGAUUGCCCUUUGACAUUCAUAAAUUUGAUCAGAAGCAAACAGGUUUCUCUUUUGAAGAUGAUGAUGAAAUGUCUGUCUUCCACAAUGGGGGUCACUUGAUCCUCUCUCCAAGGAAGGGAUCUAAAUGCAACUCAGAAGAGAGGGUCUAUGAUGAUGAGGUACUCAGUAAGUUGAGAUGGUACAUGCCUAUUUUAUCUUCCUGUCAUGCAGGCUUUGUCUUUAUUACAAUGCUCUGUCCUUGUUGCAAGAAAUUGUGUUUUGUUGGUAAAGGGAAACAAAUUCUCAACUUUUCCCCUCAACUCUGGGGCUAAAAAUUUCCAGAAAGUUGAUCUUCAUAAAUUUGGAAGUGCAAAGCAAGAUGGAGACACAUGGUCUGCAGUAACUAAAGAAACUGAGGAACUAGUUCACUUAAAUGAAAAUGCUGGGUGUUCAUCAUCCCAUGUGUCCUAUUCCAGGGGAAACAAAUUCUCUAAAGGUACUUUCUCAUUUCUUGGUGGAUGCUUAACACUGAUGUAUCUUUUUGAUUCCACUCCUGAAUUUCAUAAUUAUUGCUGCAGGUGGCAAAACUAAAUCCAAGCCCAAAUUUUCGUUCCGCUUUCAGUCGAAUAAGGAAGAUUCAUUUGGGCCUUUUAUUACUAAUGAAAAAAGCAGCAGGUCAUCCAAGGUUGAUCAGGUGCCUGAAGGACUAGAAGCUAUUGAACAUAAAACCAUGGAAGGUGCAAUAGCUGAGUUUGUGGAUGGUUUUCAUGGAGAAAAGUUAAAGGAGACUGAGAUUCAUGCAGUGCAAGGUGACCAAACAGUUGGACAUGGUUGUAGCAAGCAUUCAGUGGCCGAGCUUCUAAAUGACCUCCAGGAAAAAAAUGGGCUGCUGGGAGGGAAAUCUAAAAUGGUUCACUUUCUUCUUUGACCUAUAACUUUUUGGUUUUACAGUUCUCUACUGCAAAUUUGAUUUGGUUUUUGCUCCAGUGUUGUAGAAGAAAAGGCAGAAGGGUACAGCUUGUUAUUAAGAAAAAUAUUUCCACAUCAGAAGAUAGAACCAUGCAAAAUGAAGACCCAGAUGAGCCUAUGGCUAGUGGACCAUCGAGUGAUGAUGAGGUACCUAUUUGGUGUGAUGGUUCUUUGAUCGUGUCUUUUUGUUAAUAUUAUGUGCUGUGUACUAGUUAUUUUACUUGGACAACUUUCAAACUCCAAUGCCAGGCCAAUAUGCAAAAUACAAGGCUUAAUGUCUCAGAAGCUGAAAGAAAAACUAUGGCAGAUAGAUUUCAUGAUGCUCUAGGUGCAGCCUCUGUAAAUGAUGAGGCUCCCCUUUUUGUGGUGCCUAAACCAUCGGGGUGAGUGACAUGGCUAGGUAUCCAUUUUUGUAGUUAUGUCGACUUAGUAAUUACAAAUUCCAUGUGAGAGAUAUGUUCUUACAACUCAUGCUUUUGUACUUUGCAGCACUGGGUUGUUUGGAAAGUUGCAGCGAGUAAUGCAGAGUGAAAAGGAAAGAGACAUGAAUUUCUUGAAGAAGUUACAAAUAGGAGCUAGUCCAAAUUGUAAAAGACUUAAAAUGAUCUAUUUUUUCCUCAAAGUUUUGUCCUAAGCAUAGUUUGAAGCUUGUUUACACAUAGAAACUAACAUGCAUUGACAAAGGUCUUAUGAGAUGGGGUGUGUUUUUGGCAUAUUUUUGCAUCCAUUACUCCUUUUUCUUUAACACCUCUAUAACCUUGUUUUCAGAUGAAGCAAGCUGCAUUGAUGUGAAAAUCCUGUCACGAUUCUUUGAGGCAAAGCUGACUGUUUGCAAUUGCUCUUUGGUUGAAAAUGAAGAGGUCAUUUUAUAUAUUUUUGCAUUGAGAUUAAGUUGAUGUGAAUGAUUCACAAAAUUUUGCUCAUUUAGCCAUCAAUUAUUGGUGGUGGCAUAUUAGUGGAAUAAGUGAGUAAGUUCUUUUAAAGUAAUCACUGACUUGUGAAUUAACGGGCAAUUUAUUGUUGCUAGACGCUUGUAAAUUUGGAGUUUGAUUGCAUGUUACUUUAUUUGGUAGUUUUGAACAUUAGCACCAUUUUUUACUUGCAAGGAUGACAUCUGCAGAUAUUCUGUAUGAAAUAAUUUCCUUGGAAAUUAUACAUACAAAAUAUUCAAUAUCAGGAGGUACAUGACAAUAAUUGUACUGAUUUCAGUGUCAUUUGGCAGCAUGCAAGGGCAUGUUUGGAAACAUCUUCAAGGAAGAAUGCCUUCCAAUGACCAUUGAUAUUAAUUUUGGCAGUGAUUGAAAGUAAUGUUAAAUCAUUUUAUAAUUUUGAACAAAUUGCUGUCUUUCAACCUCCAACUUGCCCCUAUUCAACUUAACAGAAUGGUGCUUAUUUCUCUCACAAAAUGACUUGAAACAGAUAAACUGCUAGAUUUUGUCUGAAAACAUUAUCAAGGAGUGUGAAAGAACAAUGUGUAUUUGUUUAUAACGAGUGUAGAUAGAAUUGAUAUUCUCUGAGUUGCAUCAAUCACUCCUUGAAGUAUCUUCUCUAUCUAGAGUGUGAAACAUCACUGCUUUUAUUAAUUAUAGGUUAAACCUACAUAAAAAUAUGAAAUAGUGUCAUUUUGCUAUCAUUGACUAAAUCUAUUCAAAAUAGUAUCAUUUUUCUGGUUAUGGCUGCUUAUUUUCAAGUGAUGUUGAUUGUUGUCUGGUUAUGAUCCUCAUAGGAGGAUGAUUGAAUCUGUAUUCUUGCUUAUGCAGAGUUCCCAACAGGGAGAGAGCUACCAAAUAUUGAAGGAAUGCCGAAGAAGGCUAAAUACAGUUAUCUUUAGCUCAAGAGCUUGUGGUGAUGUUGAGCUUGAGGUUGCGAAUUUGAUUCGUAUUCAUCCCGCCUGGUAUGGAUAGCAUGCCUGUUAUCUAUUGCAUGGACUACAUUUUCAAAACCUAAUGAGAGGAAAAUUUGAUGCUAGCUAAGGCUACGUUUGGUUCUUGGAAAAUUUAAGGGAAAGAAAAUAGAGAGGAAAAAUAGAAGGAAAAUAAAAAGUAAAUUUGAAGUCAAUAAUUUAUUUUUAUAUGCUACUUCAUACUCAUUUACUUAUUUUAACUUGUUUCACAUUUAAGUUUUUUUACUAAUUUUAAUUAUAUUUGAUUUUCUUUAGUAUUUUCUAUAAUAAAACCAAAUACGAGAUAAUAAUUUUCUCUAGCAUUCUCUUUUUCUUUGCCUUAGUACUUUCCUGAAACCAAACAUAAAAGAAACUUGGGAGUGAUAUCCGCACUUAUCAAUAGGAUCAAAUAUCAUUCUCAUAGUAUGCUUACUAUAAAGUUCUGACAUUUCCGAUGCCACUUUCAAAUGAAAGGUAAUACUCAUAUAUGUGUUGAUGAAUCAUCUGAACAGGAAAGAGGUACAAGUAACAGGAAGCGACAAGAUAAUCAUCUUGGCUACAUAUUUCUCCCAGAUGUCAAUUUGAUCAGUCUGGUUUCACCAAAGGAAAAAGGUGAAUGUAGUAUUCCAUUCUCUCUUUCAAAACACAUAUCUAAGCCUUCAACUUGGUUGAACACCUGAUCGAUCCGCAUUCUCUUCUCUUAGUUUCAAAGUACUUCUUGCAAAGAGUUGAAUGAGACACAAAAUUGUAACUUUACAAGGAUUGUAGCAUGACAGACCAUGAUGGUGUUGUACAAGAAUUCUACUAAAUCAAGGAGGAAUAAGAUAUUGAAGGGCAACACUUUACAUGGAUUUGCUCGAAAAGAUGGAGCAUCUCCUAAGAAGCAAUUCAAAGGCAUUGAGCUCACCCCAACUUGGAAAUGUCAAAUUUGGGUUGGGAAAUUUCAAUUCUGUAAUUUUGAAUAUCUCAUUCAACUUCACCAAACAAAGAAAUAUGCUAAUAUUUGAUGUAAUACAACUAUUUUCUUACAUUUCUAAUGCUUUUUUUUUUGUUUUUUUUUUGCUUAAAUAUUAGACUGGAGAAAUUGCUUCUUACGUCUGAUUUCUCACCAAGGAGUAGGUUAAACGUAAUAAAAACAUUUUUAUAAUUACAUUUGUUAAACAUAAAAUUUAAUGGUCCAUCCAAGAAUUAAAACCUUAUAGUAAAAAGGCCCUAAAUUGCUUAAUGACUAAACCAUUGGUAACAUUUCCAAAGUGAAGAUACUAGGUUUUUUUCAAUUAUUUUAUAAUUUUCAUAAUGUCAAUAAAAAAUGAUUAAAUACUUAUGUUAAUCUAAUCAACUAAAAAUUAAAGAAAUUUAAGAAAUUUUUAAUAUGAUACAACGAUCAAUGAGAUUUCUACGUCCAUAUAGUAUAUCAAAAUCUAAUAGUCAAUGGAAAAAAAAUUGAUAUAAUGAUGAAACACUCAUUUUCUUUUCAAUUGUAAGUGUAUUCUUUUAAAAAAUAAUAGUAUUCUUAAAAAAAAAUUAAAUGUUAAAUCAAUGGGUUAAAUAUAUAAUAAGGGAAAAUUUGUCAUUUUAUCAAUACAAAAAAAAAAACGGAUUAAAUAUACAAUAAUUGUAAGCUCAUCAUUUCAACAAUAUAAUUUUUUUUUUUUCCAGCAAAAGCUGCUCAACCAUUACAAUCGCGCAAUUCAAUCCUUAUGAACUUGACAUGAGUGCAACAAAAUUGAUUUAAAUUUUAUAAUCCAACAAAUCAAUCAUAUCUAUUUUCUAAUUAAAAUAAAUUUCUCCAAAUCAAAUUUUGGAGUAAAAACACAUCAUAUAUACCAAAAAAUGGUUUGGAAGUAAAGAAAAAGAAAGAAAAAAAUAAAAAUAAAAAUAAUGGAUGGAACAGUCCAUCCAACUUUACACUCCAUUGGGUUUGCCCAUUGACUAUUUGUUCACCAGGGUUCUUAAAAAUUAAUUUUUAAUGAAUAGUUUUUAUUUGUUUUCAUCAAUAAGAUCUACUCUGAGAAUUUUAAAUAUGGGAAUCGGUGUCUUUCAUCAAAUGCAUACUGAUGGGCAACACUCCUCGAUGUGACACUUUUUUCUUUUUUGUUUGGUUACUUUAAUACGCUUGACUUUUUCUUCUCUGAUUCUCUGCUGAAUGAAUCAAUAAUGACUUAUCGUGGCCUCAAAAGACGAAUCUUGGAUCUUUCUCAGCAAGCCUAUUUUCAAUUUUUUAAGGCUUCCAUCGCUUUUUAGUCUUCUAGGGUUUUGAUCAUUUCAUCUGAAAACUGAAAAAAAAAAUGUGCAGAUCACUGGAGAUAACCUUGGUCUCAGCGAAUGGUAUCAAAAAGGUCAAACACAUCUCCAAGAUGGAUGUGUACGUGGUGGCCACCGUCUCUGGCGAUCCUCAGAGCCUCCAGAAAACGCCGGUGCACAAGGACGGUGGGUCCAACCCCACUUGGAACUUCACUAUGAAAUUCACCAUCGAUGAAUCGCUGGCUCAAUUGGACCAUCUCAUGCUUAUUUUCCAGCUCCGCUGCUGCCGGCAUGUCCGCGCCGACAAGGAUAUCGGCGAAGCCAACGUGUCCGUCAAAGAGCUCCUCAACCACGCCGGGGACGACAUGUCCGCAAAGUAUGUCACAUACGAAGUUAAAAAGCCCUCUGGGAAGCCCAAAGGCAAGUUGAACUUCUCUUUCAAGUUCGGCGAGAGAUCACAUCCAGGUGCAACUCCGCAGGUAUGCUCGCCGGUGACUGCAUAUCCCAUUCACACAGUGUACGGAUCACCAUAUGCUCCACCCUCAGUGGCGGCGCCUUACCCAGAAACAACGGCGGUGGAAUUUUAUCCGCCGGUGGGUUUUCCUAAUACAGCAGAUGGGUAUCAUUCAAAUGGUGGGCAUUCGUCAAAGCCGCCGCAAGGGUAUCCUCCUCCGGAGCCGGAGAAUGGGUAUUCACCUGUGAAACAUGAGCUGCCGGAUCAGCAGCCGACGAAGAAUGAUGAUAUCAGUCUGGAAACGCUGGGGGCUGCCAUAGCUAUGAUUUUAAUGGGAGAUAAGGUGUCUGAUGCAGCUGUUGUUAGUAGCGAUCAUGAUCGUGUCUAUAACUCACAUGGUUUGGAUAGCUGAUCUUCGGUGUACUUUUGGAAAUUCUCCUCCUCUAUGCUUGUUUGGAUUCCAAGAAAAGUUGAAAUACCUUAAUGGAAAAACCUCUACUUCUGACAUGUAUUGAUAUUAAUUUAGUAUUCCUGUAUUUGAGGUGUCAUAGUUUUAAGGAUUGGGAAGCAAUGUUCAAAUUGUUAUGCAAUUUUCAUUGAAUUAAUAGCUUUCUUUCAAACCUCCAUAUUGCGCUAAUUCAAUCUCACCCAGAAAGCGGCUCAUCUCAAAAUCACUUGAAGUGAUAAUCGAUAGCUAUGAGUUAAUAAUUAACUAGAACUAUUCUUCUUUGGAGUUGUAUUGAUUUCAAGUACUUUGGAAGCUCUCUCCUCUCUCUAGGAUGUAAGGCAUUGCUGUUGUUGUCACUACUUUUAAUCUUGUAGGCCUAUUUUAAAGCCAGGAGGUCCUUUGUACCUAGAGCCGAGAAUGUCUCUACCUGUUUGACCUCCCUAAUCCCACGGGAGUGGUUCGUUACAAAACCCAUGUGAACUAAUGCCUUCUUUCUAUGCUUUUAGUUGACUGAAUGCAGAUGGUUGUAGAAGAAAAAUUGAAUGCGAAUAUUCUCUCCUAUCCACAGCUCCCAAAUAUCGAAGGAAUAGAUCAAUUAAGGAAGUCUACAUAUAAUCCAUAUAUCUUUAGGUAAAAGCAUGUGGUGAUGUUGAGAUGCACUUGAGAUUCCAUUGCUUCUUUUCUCAACUAAUUAAGUAUGAAUUACUUGUGGCUAAUCAAGGGGAAACUCCCGAACCUGUUCACAAUAUUGUAGCAUGAUACUCUCUCUUUCUAUAAGAACCUGAUUUUGAUGAAGGCUGAUGUUCUGCAAGGAUCAAAAGCGCAGUGGGAAACUCUCUCUUCUAUAUCUAAAUAAGAAAUUCGACUACAGAUACGUUUAGCUAUUUACACCAUACGAAAUUAAAAACUGCGAGGCGAGGUGGACAGAUUUAUUAUUAAUAUGAUUACUGAGUACAAAACAAAGAGAACACAGAUUAACUUCACACAUAAAGAGUAAUGCUAUAUAGAUGGCGGAAAAUGAUUCUCCGGCUCCGUCUUUCAAUGGAGACUGACUUGUUUUUGUCUUGUGUCUUUUAGAAAGAAGCAAAGGCCAUAUAAAACGUCUAGCUAGACAUGUAUCUUCACUUACAUAUGUCUGUCCACGUUGAAGCUGUCCACCAUCUAGAACCCAAACGGGUUCAGACCGAGGAUCGUAAGGGCAGCAAAGGCCACCCUAGCGACUUCUACACCUCCAAUCCCGCCGUGUCGCUGUUGUUGCGGCAGCAGCGGCUGCAUUGCAUAGCCGUAAUAUGGUGGAUGGUAAGGUGGGUAAUAACCUGGAUAAUAAGGAGGGGGAGGGGGCGGGUAGACCCAUUGAGCGGGAGGUGGAUAGGGCCACGAGUAGGGUGGAGCCGCCGAGUACUUGUUGCCGCCUCCUGGUGGCGGUGGUGGUGGUGAUGGAGGACCAUAACCGUAGAAAGGCGCCAUAGCUGCAAGCCUGCAACUUCUUAUUGCUAGAUCCCUAUACCCUUUUAUAAUCAAGUUUGAAGGUGAAUUAUAGCUUGAUAUAGAAGUAACCGUUAUGACUCCGUUUUCUCCGCGAAAUUUCCAGUGAAUUUAGAUUUGUGGAGGACUUGGCUCUCCGUUGGGUAAAGUCUCCGAAGACCGUCAAGUUGCAGGCACGACAGUGAAAUAGACACGAUUUUGUUAAAUCAAUAAUAUUACUUAAUAAUUUAAUUUAAGAUAGAUUAAUCUCUUUUUAAUAAAAUAAUUUAAUGUCGCAGUCAACACCUAAAAAUAAUAAUUUAAAAUAAAAUUAAUUUAUUUUAAAUUUUAAAUCUCUUUUAUCUUAUUUAUUUAUAACCAAUAGAGCUAUCUUUAGAGGAUGUUUGAUACGUGAGAAUAGAGAGUGAGAAUAAACAUUUCAUUCAUUUUCUCCCUUAUUUUUAUGUUUGGAUAAAUGUUAAGAAGAUUGGAAUAAAAAAUUAUCAAAAUAUUUAUCUUCGCUAGAAACCCAUUUAUCAUCCACUUCUAUACCACAAGUGAUUAUUUUCAACUAAAUCAAUCAAACUUUCCACGACAUUUAGAAUAUAAUUUAAAUAUUAUAAUAAAUAUAUAUUUGGUAAAAUGUAAUUUUAUAACAACUUAAGCAUAAUAAAUUAUUCAAAUUUUUAAUAAAAAUUAUAAUUGAAUAUUUGUACGUUAGGGUUAUAUGAUUUUUAUGAUUAAUUUUUUAUUUAUUAAGUAUAUAUAUAUUUUUAGUUUUAUUAUUUAAUAACAAAAAAACUUUCAAAUUUUAUUUUUUAAAAAUAAAAAUAAAAAUAAAAAAUUAUUUUAAAUUAUAUGGAAAGAUAUUAGGGGGUGUUUGGUACAUCGGAAUAGGGAAUGGAAAUAAUAUUUUGUUUCCUUUCCUAUUUCUUAGUGGAAUGGAAUGAAUUUGAUGAUUCCAUUUCUACCAUUUGGAUGAACUUAGGAAUGCAAGAUUGGAAUGAUUAUUUGUUUACAUUCCAAUGUUUGAUAAUAAUAGGAAUGGAAAUGAAAAAGAAAUAAAUUUACAAUAAUAUCCUUAUAUAUAAUUUAAAAUAUUUUUUUAUCUUUACUUCUAUUUUAAAAAAAUAAAAUUUGAGAGGUUUUUUGUUAUUAAAUAAUAAGACUAAAAAAUAUAUAUAUACUCAAUAAAUAAAAAAUUAACCAUAAAAAAUCGUAUAACCCUAAUGCACAAAUAUUCAAUUAUUAUUUUUAUUAAAAAUUUGAAUAAUUUGUCAUGCUUAAGUAGUUAUAAAAUUAUAUUUUUCAAAAAAAAAUUAUUUAUUAUAAUAUUUAAAUUCUCAAAGCUAGCAAAUGUUUUUCAGAACCUAGUUGCAGCAAACAAUGACGAAUCCUAGAUCCAAUAAUCAAAAUGAACAUCCAAAACCCUAUAAAUUAGAAAUUGAUUUUUUUUUUUUAAAUAUCGUGGAAGGUUUAAUUGAUUCAAUUUGAAAGAAUCACUUGUUGUAGAGAAUUGGAUGAUGAGUGGUCUCUAGCUUUGCAAAGAAGAUAAGAAGUGGAUGAUGAAUGGAUCUCUACCUUUACAAAGAAGAUAAACAUCGGAUUUGAAAAACAAGAUAAGAGGGUAAAAUAGUAAUUUAGGUUAUUUUAUAUUAUCAAAUAAGUUUAAUGAAUCAGAAUACCACCUACUUUUAAUGAAUGCAAAUCCGACUCAUAAGUUGAAUUUGAUUUCUGCUGGAAUAAUUUUUUAUUUCAUUUCCGCCUUCUUAACAUUUAUCCAAACAUAGGAAUAAGGGAGAAAAGGAAUGAGAUGUCUAUUCCCACUCCCUAUUCCCGUGUACCAAACACCCCCUUAUUGUAAAUUUAUUUCUUUUUCAUUUUCAUUCCUAUUAUUAUCAAACAUUGGAAUGGAAAUAAAUAAUCAUUCCAAUCUUGUAUUCUUAAGUUCAUCCAAAUGGUAGAAAUAUAAUCGUUAAAUUCAUUUCUAUUCAUUAAGAAAUAGGAAUGGAAACAAAAUAUUCAUUUCCAUUCCCUAUUUCGACGUACCAAACACUCCCUUUAAAAAAAUGUGUUUUGAUAAAAUAUAUGAAAAUAAAACUUAAAAUUUUUAAAUUAGUAUUAUUUUUAUCUAUUUAAAAUAUAGGUACUUUUUAAUAAUUCAUUUGACUAUUUCUUAAAAUGUCAAUUUUAUUUGUGAUAUCAUCCACGUCAAUUGUCGCGUAAAUAAUUUUGAGUAUACUUGUAAAAAUAUUUUAUUACUUUUACUUUUUUUUCUUUUCUUUUCUUUAAUUUUUUCAUUCUAUUUUUUUAUUAAAUUUUCCCUCAAAAAUUCCAAACACCAAACGUAGAGAUUUCCAAGAACUAAGCAUAAAGUAACAGGUGGUGUUUGAUAAAACUGAAAUUAUGUGUUGAAAAACUUCAGUUCUAAAUUAUAUGCGUUGAAAUUAAUUAUAUUAUUGAAUUAAUAAAAAAUGCAAAGGGUAAGUGUUGAAUUUAAUUUCUAUUAAAGUUUGAGAAUGAUUUUUUAUUCUAUCGAUUAAUGAAUUGAACCGAAAAUGGCUAAUUUAGUAAUUUCACUCCAAAACUCGUACCUAAAGCUCUCGUAUAAACCAACCUUUAGCAUCAUAUAUAUUGAAGAGCUUCAAAAAAAUUUUGCAAGUGUACCAUUCUUACAUUUGUUAAUCUUUCUUUGAUGCACUUUCAUAACAUCAUCGAUAUUAGACUUUAAUGAAUAAUUAUGAAAAAAUCAACAAUUUCAUGGAAAUUCAUUGGCAUAUUUAUUGGGGUUUAGUGUCUUAAAUCUUCCGUUGCUCUGUUAGAUGACUGGGAGUCUUCCAACCAACAACAUUCAAUGUGUCGACUCUAUAGCCAAAAAAGAAAAAUAAAAAAUAAAAAAAUAAAAAAUUCAUGUCUCAUGUUUACGUCAUGAGAAAGAAAGGAAAAAAUCAAACUAUGCGCAGCCUUAAAAAGCAAUCAUUCUGAACAUUACAUUUUCAAUUGAAUUCGAGUCAAUAUAAGAUUUUUCUGCAAAUUCAAGGUUUUAAAGAUUCAAUGUAGUUUUAUCAACUGGGAAGAGAGGUUUCCAGAGAGUUUCCCACUCGUUUAAAUGGUCAAGAAAGCAUGUACGCACGUUAUUAAAUUGUGUUUCUUGGACCAACACUCUUCACUCGUCACCAUUUUUUAAGACUUACAAUUAACGACAAAUUUCGUAUCACUUUCCUAUUGCGGCAGCUCUUAGAAAAAUCAUUAAUUAAAAUUAAUUUUUAAUUAAAAUAUGUAAUAAACUAUGUUUUAAAAAAAAUAUGUUUUUAAAAAUAAAAAAAUUAGCCAAUAAUAAAAAAAUAUGUUUUUAUAUAUAUAUGGAAAUAGUGUCAUACCAAGUCUAUUUAAUUUUGUCAGCAAGUGGGUGUUUUAUUUUUAUAUAUAUAUUUUUUUCCUUGACAAGUGGGGGUUUUAGAAAAAUCUUAUCCAAAAGAUGCCAUCUAUAAAUCUAUAAUAUGACACCUGUGUUGUGAAUUUCCAUGAAUUUUCUUUCUAUCCUCUCUCCUCUCUACCCGCUAUCCAUGAAGCAGCAUGGGAGCCCGUAAUUCAAAUUUUGAUCAUUUCAAACAUCAAUCUAAUACAAAGGAGCCGUGAAGCCACCAUAAAUUUCAGGACUCCUUUGGAUCUCUCUACAUCUCUACCUCUCUUGUCGUCCUCAUCAUCAUCAUCUCCAUCAGGCAUGGAAGAACUCUGCAGAUCUUUUGAUAUCACAGACCUUUCUGCAGAAGACCUAGAAGAUGUCAGGCUCAUCUUGAAGAUGAAGGUCUACGCCAUCGUCUCCAUCUCCGGCGACCCCUUCAUCGACCCCAACAGAUGGUACUCCACCGCCGUCGACUACCAAGGUAGGACAUGCCCCAGAUGGAACAACACCUUCUUCCACUUCACUCUCCAUGAUCCCUCCCUCUUCACCAACCGCCUCCACCUCAUGUUUAGAUUCUACUGCGAACGGACCUUCCACCACAACCGUUACAUAGGAGGAAUCAUCGUUCCAGUCAAGUGCCUGUUCGACCUUGCCGGAGUGCUCGACUCCUUCUACCAUGUCAGUUUUCCUGUGAAGCUCCCCUCAGGCGGUGAAAAGGGCUUUCUCAAGCUCUCCUUCCGGUUCGGGCAGUCCCUCCCUCGCCUCAUACGGCCGGCACCGCCAUGGCCGCCGCAGCAGCUGCCGAGAAACAACACCUUCAAUCAUGAAGAGCCACCUCAACUUUACAGUGGGUACCCUUCAAACGACCCCUGCAGUUACAUCCAUAGCCGUCAACAAGCCUGCAAUUAUGAUGAUCAACGACGAAAUGAUCUUCACACAAAUCAGGUCCAGUACGCUUCAUAUAAUUUCCGGUCAUCCAGUCUUCCAAGCGCACCGAGCUACGACCAAAUUAAUUCUAGCGGGUCUUUCCCGAGUUCCUUUGAACAUUAUCCAGAUAGCGAUAAAGAUGACGCAUAUUACUCUUCUGGUUCAUACGAUGAUGAAGCCGACCGGUGAAAAUAUCUCAGCCGCAACUCAACUUCAUCGAUACAAAAAAUGGAAAAUGUUUGAGUUUGUCUGGAUUAGGCUACAUGUGUAAUUAGCUUAGCCAGUCCAUUUGUGCAAUAUUAUUAUUAGGAAAUUAGGGUUUCGCACUCAUGUACCAUGUACUACUCUCUAGAGGUGUAAAUAUUGUGCCCUCUCUCAUCCAAAUUUCAAAAACACAUCCUUGGCCCUCAUAGAAAUUCUAAUCUCAUGUUGUUUAAAAAAUAUUGAUUGAUCACUAGUUUAUUAAUUGAUGAUAAAUAAUAACUUGCAAAAUAAAGAAUUAAGGGCAUAAAAUAUUGAACUAUAUAUAUAUAUAUCAUGCUCCUUAAUACCCUCGUGUAUAAAGAGACAAAUAAAAUUUGCAUACAUAUCUAACAAACAAAUAAGAGAAAUGCAAAUUAAAAAGAACGGGUUCAAGCGAUUUUCCGUUAAACUAAGUUUUGAUCCCAUAUUGAAUUACUAAUUUUUUUAAAAAUUUAAACUUGUAGAAUUUUAACUCAAUAUGCAUAUCAUGUUUUUUAAUACAUUUUCUCACCUAUGACUUUUACACAUGAAAAGACAAAUAAAAUUUGAUCAAAUCAAACUAAAAUAUCAUGUUAAUCUACCAAUUUUUCAAAGGACUCGAGAUUAUAAGAUGUAAUCUCAAUAUACAUGUCAUGUUUCUUAACAUAAAAUUUGAGUAUUUGCAUAUAUUUUUAUGAUCUCUCCCUUGAUGAUGGAGACUUCUUGUCCUUUGAUUGUUUCAUAUUUGUUAGAACAUCACCAUCCGUUGACUUAGUCAAAAUGCUCUUCUUAGACAAAAAAAAAAAAUUGUUAAAAUGAUCUUAUCAAACCUUUAGCCAAAGUCCAAGAGAAAGUCGAAAGUCAUUCUUUAACAUAAAUUAAAGUGUGACAGAGAUUAUUAGUAAGCUUGAUUUGUUAGAUUAAUUUUAAAUUUAUCAAAAAUAAUACAAAAGAAAAUCCACUAAUAUCUAAAUAAAUAAGGGGUAGGAGAGAUGGGUGUUGACUUCAAUCAUCAAGUUGGAUGGUUGAUCGAAUAUUUAAUUUAAUUUAAUUAGGGGAUCGUGCUCCCUUACCAACUUCUCUAAGUUUAAAUUAAUUAAUAGCAAACUUGUUUAAUCACACGAUUUCAUAAAUUAUCCUUUCUAAAUUGAAUCAUUUUCAAAAAAUAAAAAUAAUAUAUAUAUUUUUUUCCUUAUAUGUUCUUAAAUAAGCAAGCAUUAAUUCCAACAAUUAUUAAAAAUACUACAAGUCUCCCCAUUCACAUUACCAAGUGAAGUGAGCACUACGUGUUGGAUUAAUCACUGAUACCCACCUUUCUGAGCCAAUAGGGUCAAGACACAUGGCAAGCAGCAUGAAUAAAAAAAUUAAAAAAAAACCGAUUCUUCAGGUUAACCAAUCUUACCAACCGGUUGCCAAAGGAAUUAAUAUCAUGCACCACACGUUGUUAUCAUCUAUUACGAUAACCAAUUAUAAAAUAUGUUAAAAUAUUUAAUUUAAUUAUUACCUUUUAUGGAAAUUUUCUAUGAAGUAAUAAAAUAAAGAAAAUUUUGAAAUAAGAAUUUUAAGGAAAAGAAAAUUUGCUAUUAUUCCUAAUUCUAUGACCCUUUUAGUAUUUUAAUCUUUAAAUUUUUUUUGGAAAAUUCCAAUCGAAUGAAAGAGGAUAAGGUUGAAGUUUUGGAAAUUUUUAAAUUGAAAUGACGAUUUUACCCUCAUUUAAACACAUCUACGAAGUAUGAAGGUACGUUAUAAGGUAAAAUGUAAUAAACACUUAAUGUUUUUACACAAUAUUAUUGCUAAAUGAGGUAAAAAAAACUUUAAAAAUUAAAAAAAUCGUUUGAAAAGUACAAAAAAUAUGAGAAAAAUAUCAAGAAUGUAAGGAUGUUCUUAUACCCUCUUCACAUUCUUUGUACUAUUUUCAAUUUUUUAAUAUUUUCAUCUUUUUAUUUUUUCGGAUAUUGUUCAUAUCAAUUUUAAAGUGUAGUCCGAGUUUUACAAAAUAUUAUUACCCGCUUAAGUGAAAAAAAAAAUUAAAAAUUUGAAAAAUUUAGAGGGAACAAAGAAUUAAAAAUAUUUUUUUCCCUCUAUGUUCUUAAAUAAGCAAGCAUCAAUUCCACCAAUUAUUAAAAAUACUUGAAAGUCUCCAACGUACGCAUUACGUCCUCCAUUGACGUUAGCAAGUGAAGUGAGCUCUACGUCUAGCAUUAAUUGCGUAACCCACAUCUUCCCUUCGAGCACGUCUCCACAUUUUUAUUUCAAUGACAUAUGAAUAUUUUUUAAAUUAAAUAAUAAAUAAUAAUAUUAUAAAUAAUUAAAUAUAUGCCAUGCAUAAAUUCUCUGAUAAACUAACUAAAUUCUAGAUUUAUAAAUAAUUUCUAUUAAAAAUGAUAAAUUCACCAAAUUCAUAAAUUAUUUUUUAUCUAAAAAAUUAAAUCCACUGUUAUAUUGAAAGAGGGCAAUUAUAUUUAUAUAAUAGCCAGUAGCCCAGUAGGAAAAUGAAUCAGCCAAGAGCACGGAGGGGACCGAGUCAAGCAUGGGAAGACUCAGCUGAAGUCAAUUUCUGGUGUAAUUUUAUUUUAUUUCGUAAUUUGAUCACGUUGACUCACCCGAUCUGAACCUAAUCCAAUAUUUAUAUGGAUUUAAGUAAAUAUUUUUAAUACUUGGUUAAACUAGAGUUAAGUUUUCUUAAUUUGAACUCAACUUUGAUUAUGUUUGAGCUAAUGUUGGAACAAUCAGAGCCUAAUUCAAGCUCGAUUUAAUGUUUUUAUAAUAUUUAUUAUCCUAUAUAAUAAUGCUCAUUUUUUUUUUUAGGUUUUAAAAAUAUCAUAUAUUUUUUUCAUUUUUUUUAAAGACAUAUAAGUUUAUUUUGCUUUUUAUUGUUAUUUUAAAAUUUUAUCUUAUUUAAAAGUUUUUUAAAAACCACCAUGAAUGGAUUUUGAAAGAUGCAAUCCAAUAAAUCCAACUACCUUGAGUUUUACUUUAUUAACCUGAGUUUAACUCAACCAACCCAAGUUAAACUCAAUUAAUCUUAAGUUCAUUUUGACUUUAGAAAAAUGAAGUUCGGUUAAACUUAGUUGAGUAUUUAGGGUUACAUGUCAAACAUGGAUUGAAUUUCAAUUAAUUGUUUCUUAAUUUGGGUUUGGCUCUGGUUAGCCAUCAACCUAUCCAACCAGCCCAAAUUACAACCUAAGUAAUGUAGCCUUUGACAAAAUAUAUUUUUAUAAAAUAUUCAAUUAAAAUUUUCCAAGUAAAUUGAUGAAUUGAUAAAAGUAAAUAAAAAAUAAACAAGAGAAAAGUGGUUUUUAUUUUAUUUUAUGAGAUUCGAAAUUCACUAACAUAAUUACCCAUAAAAAUAAAGAUAAUUAAAAUGCAAAAAUACUUUUAAAAAUAAUCAAUAGAGUAUUUUCUUGGAUUAUAAUAUAAUAAUUUAGAUAAUUAAGAUUGUGACCAAAUUAAUUUAUUGCAAACCACAAAGCACAUUCAUAAUGUGGUAGAAAAGUGAAAUUAAUGUUAUGCAUUUAUUAUAUAUAUAAAAAAGUCUUAAUUAAAUAAUUUUGAAUUAUUUAUUUGUUAUUAUUUACACCACAUUUUUUUAUAGCAUAUUGUCACAAACUAUUUGUUUAAUGUUCGUGACCGUAUUGAAAGUGUUGAUCAAGACUAGUAUGUUGACUGGUUUGAGUUGAAUGUAAUAGGAAUUGCUCUAGGGAAAUGGCGUGUUUGUGAUGUUGGAAUGAUUCUUUAGAGUUUAGGCAGAUGAAUUCCUUUAAGUUUGGGGAGGUUGUCGCUUGUCGCUGGUCAAUGACUUUACAAUAAAGAAGAGCUUGAUCAUUUGCUAUACAAACUGGUUAGGAGUUGGACUCAUUCCCCUAUUGAGUUUAUGACAAAACAAAACUAGUCAACAUAGUGGCUUGAAAUACAUGGUGUGCAGACUGAGCCCCUUUGAUUCGUUGUGUUGGAACUUUAUGCCUAUGACAAUAUGCUAUGAAAAAAAAAUCUAAAUUCUUUAUUAAAUAAUAUGCAUGAUAAUUAUUUUUCAAUAUUUUGAAUUUCUAGUUGAUAUAUAUAAAUAAUAUCAAAGCAAAAUGAAUGGCAAACUAAUAAGAAAAAGUGCUAAAACAUUUUUAAUAAUUUACAUUUUAGUCUUUGUAUUUCGUAUUUUUACUUUUUUGUUACUUAAAUGUCUGAGUGUACACAUAAAUAAAAAUUUUAUUCUCUAAAACACAUAAAAAGUGAAGAGAAAAUAAUAAUUUUAAGACAAUUCAUGAUUAUCUAAUUUUAGAUAUAAUUAUCAAAUUUCAAACCAAUUAUUAUUUCUUAAAUGUAUUUAUUAGUAAUAGAAUAUAUUUUAUAAAUGUGAUUAAAAAAUUAUUUAUCAGAAUUAUUAAGAAUUAAUUAAUAAUGAAUAUUUACGUAAAAAUACUUAAUAGAUAAUAGUAAACCAUGACAAAUCUUAGCCCUUAGGUAAUUAAUGAAGAGGUGGUGAAAUGGGUGAUGGUUUUUUUUUUCUUAACUUCUUUUUUAUCAAAAUUUAAUUUAAUCAAUAUCUAAAUUUUAAUUCAAUCAGUAUAUGCUAGCAAAUAAAGAAAUUAAAAUAUCAAAAAUAAAAAGAGUAAAGGAAAAGAGAUUGCAAACAAAAGGAUUUUAUCGUGGUUUAGCAAUCCACUCAAAUCCACAGUCUCUCACUCCAUUGUAAACCUUGAGAUAUUCCAUUAUUCCAAGGAUGAUAAUAAUUACCUAUACAACUUCAAGCUAAAAUACACAUUUUCUUCACAACCUUCAAAGAUUCAAGGGAAAUACGACGAUCACUCUUACGAAACUAGAUAUAUAAGUGUAAUGUUCAAGUAUAGAUGUUUUAAAAUAAGAUUAGUGAUUGGAGUUCAAAUGUAUACUCUAAUAGCACAUAAACAAUACGAAUUUUGUAACAUAAAAGGCUUGAAUCACUUAACUUAUUUCAAAUUGAUAAUAAGAUCGUAAUUAUAAAUCUAACUUUUAUUUUGAGCUUAGUUCCAUGUUAAAAGGAUUAUAAGAAUGCUAUGUGUAAAUGUCAUUUUCAACUAAGUCAAAGGAAAAGUUAAUUAUACCUAAAGAAUUAAGACUUAUGAAACAUGAUGAGAGUCCAAAUAAAGGUAAAAUGAGAAAAUUGUGAGCAUGAAUGAUGAAAAAUAUAUGUUAUAGAAAGAGGUAGAAGGCAACUAACUAUGAUAAAGAAGGUUUGAAGCAUUGUUAUCAAGUUCAAAUUGAAAAUUGGAACUUAACCUUAGGCAACAACACAAGCCUAAAUUUGAAUUAAAUUUAAGCUAAAUUCUAGGUUGUCUCCCAUGAGUUUUUUAGGGAAAGCCCUAUAUUGAUUUGAAGCUUAAGAGGUUAGAAGUCUACUGCUUGAAAUGGAUCAUGAAUUUGAAUUGAAACGAGGAAGAUACGAAUAAUUGAAGUAAACUAUGUGGAAGGAGAUAACAUAGUUUAAAAUUGAUAUGGAUUUUGGUCAUUUGGAGUUCAAAGGUAUGCAAAGACCAUUAGGAAAGAGUUAAGUUUGAACCACAUACCCAUUUGGAACUAAAGAAAACACCAAUUCAAACUCAAAAUUGGUUUCAUAUUGGCUUUGUCUAGUAAUUUUUUUCCAAAAAUAGUUUUUUGUUCUUCAGAAAAAAAAAAAAAAAAAAUUCUGUUUGAGGAAGUAGAAAUUAGAAAAUAGUUUUCACUCUCAUCCUAAAGCCAUUAAAUAAAUAUAAAUAUUUACAUUCAUAUUUAUUUUUAUAAUAUUAUAUAAUAAUAAAUAUGGAAAUAAUAUAAAUUAAUUAAUAUAAUAAUUUUUAAAAUUUAAAAAUAAUAUAAUACACAAACAUAUAAAUAAAAUUAAAUAUUAUAAUUUUUCUUUAAUCUUAAAUAUAUAUUCACACUUAAACAUUAUAUAUGUUUUUUAAUAAAAUUUUUAAUAUUAAUAUAUUUAUUUUAUUUUUAUCAUUUAAUUUGAAAUAUAAAAUUUUAAAAAUUAAAAAUUAUUAUAUAUUUUUUAUUUUAUAUAAUUAUUUUAAAUUUAAUAUGAUAUACAUUACCUAAACAAUUUAAUUAUGUAGGAAAGCGUGUUGAAUUUUCUAAUAUAACAAGUGAAGCCAGCGUCUACAGUACUUCUGUCCCAUCAAAUGUCCUGCAGUGGGAGUCGGCUUGGUCCUCUGUAGAAUUUCAAACGCUUAAUAGACUGUAGGUUUAUAGGGAAGACGAAGUCAAGAUUCCAGUCUUUGCAGAUGUGGAGGAGAUAGAGAGGAAUGAGUGAAGGAGAUGAACUUGGUCAAGCUCCUAAGGGAUAUAAAUACAAGAGGACUCAAACCUCUGCUCUCUAUCAAGUAUCAACCAUGGAGCUCUGCAGAUCUUUGGUUAUGAGAAAUAUUUCGGCUGAAGAUCUUCAGGACGUGAGGAGGAUAUUUCGGAUGAAGGUCUACGCCCUGGUCUCCAUCUCCGGCGAUCCCUUUAUUCCUGCUGGCAAAUGGAACUCCACCACUGUGGACUAUGAAGGUGGCACCGACCCCACCUGGAAAACCCAAUUCAGUUUCACCCUCCAUGACCCCUCCCUCCACCGCAACCUCCAGCGCCUCAACUUCCAAUUCUACUGCGAGCGAUCUCUCGGGGACAAGAUCGUUGGAGAAUUCAGCAUCCCGGUGAAGUCACUCUUUGACAAGGUUGGGAACCGCGACGUUUCCAGCAGCGGUUGUUAUCCGGUGACGAAUUCUUCCGGAGGCGAACAAGGGGCUGUCAAGUUCACGUUCGAGUUUGGCCAGCCGCUUGCUCGCGUGGUAACGCCACCGCGGUCUCAGCUACCACCAAGGCCUCAAGUGCACGUCCAACCAACGGUAGACGUGCAACUGAACCUGAAUAUUUCAGGGGAUUGUCUGCAGCAGGGGUACACUGCUGCAUGUGAUGAUGACAAUGAAUUGGCAUGUGACGAUUGUUGUGAUGAAGAGGACGACUAUGAUGAUUUCUGUUAGAAAAAGAAAUCUGAAGAAAGAAUUGAGAGAAAAGAUGAAAAGAAUUCUCUUCAUUCCUCUUGUCACAAAAUACAAGGCUGCUCUGUUAUAUAACAGAGUAAAAUGGCUCAACAAAAACUGAACCAGAAAAACAGAAACAAAACUUAACAACAAACUGAACAAAAUAACUCAAAAAUAGCUCAGCUUACAAUAAUGACAAAACUACCCUUCUAGUAAAAAAUAACUAAUACAAUCAAUCCUAAUACUCCCCCUCAAGAUGGACUAAAGAUGUUCUUUAGACCCAUCUUGCCAAUAAGAAGCUUAAAAGAAGAAGGAUGAAGGGCUUUUGUCAAAACAUCUGCUAACUGGUGUUCUGUAGAAACAAACAUAGGCUUGAGAACCCCACUUUGAACCUUGUCUCGAACAAGAUGACAAUCAAUCUCAAUGUGUUUUGUGCGUUCAUGAAACACGGGAUUUUCAGCCAUAUGUAAAGCAGACUGAUUGUCACAAAAAAGAAGAGCAGGAGCAGAAUGAUCUAUACCAAAGUCCUUGAGAAGAGCAAGAAGCCAAGUAAUCUCACAAGAAGUAUUGGCCAUAGCACGAUACUCAGCUUCAGCAGAAGAGCGAGAAACAAUGUGUUGUUUCUUGGAUUUCCAUGACACCAAAGAAUUCCCCANNNNNNNNNNNNNNNNNNNNNNNNNNNNNNNNNNNNNNNNNNNNNNNNNNNNNNNNNNNNNNNNNNNNNNNNNNNNNNNNNNNNNNNNNNNNNNNNNNNNNNNNNNNNNNNNNNNNNNNNNNNNNNNNNNNNNNNNNNNNNNNNNNNNNNNNNNNNNNNNNNNNNNNNNNNNNNNNNNNNNNNNNNNNNNNNNNNNNNNNNNNNNNNNNNNNNNNNNNNNNNNNNNNNNNNNNNNNNNNNNNNNNNNNNNNNNNNNNNNNNNNNNNNNNNNNNNNNNNNNNNNNNNNNNNNNNNNNNNNNNNNNNNNNNNNNNNNNNNNNNNNNNNNNNNNNNNNNNNNNNNNNNNNNNNNNNNNNNNNNNNNNNNNNNNNNNNNNNNNNNNNNNNNNNNNNNNNNNNNNNNNNNNNNNNNNNNNNNNNNNNNNNNNNNNNNNNNNNNNNNNNNNNNNNNNNNNNNNNNNNNNNNNNNNNNNNNNNNNNNNNNNNNNNNNNNNNNNNNNNNNNNNNNNNNNNNNNNNNNNNNNNNNNNNNNNNNNNNNNNNNNNNNNNNNNNNNNNNNNNNNNNNNNNNNNNNNNNNNNNNNNNNNNNNNNNNNNNNNNNNNNNNNNNNNNNNNNNNNNNNNNNNNNNNNNNNNNNNNNNNNNNNNNNNNNNNNNNNNNNNNNNNNNNNNNNNNNNNNNNNNNNNNNNNNNNNNNNNNNNNNNNNNNNNNNNNNNNNNNNNNNNNNNNNNNNNNNNNNNNNNNNNNNNNNNNNNNNNNNNNNNNNNNNNNNNNNNNNNNNNNNNNNNNNNNNNNNNNNNNNNNNNNNNNNNNNNNNNNNNNNNNNNNNNNNNNNNNNNNNNNNNNNNNNNNNNNNNNNNNNNNNNNNNNNNNNNNNNNNNNNNNNNNNNNNNNNNNNNNNNNNNNNNNNNNNNNNNNNNNNNNNNNNNNNNNNNNNNNNNNNNNNNNNNNNNNNNNNNNNNNNNNNNNNNNNNNNNNNNNNNNNNNNNNNNNNNNNNNNNNNNNNNNNNNNNNNNNNNNNNNNNNNNNNNNNNNNNNNNNNNNNNNNNNNNNNNNNNNNNNNNNNNNNNNNNNNNNNNNNNNNNNNNNNNNNNNNNNNNNNNNNNNNNNNNNNNNNNNNNNNNNNNNNNNNNNNNNNNNNNNNNNNNNNNNNNNNNNNNNNNNNNNNNNNNNNNNNNNNNNNNNNNNNNNNNNNNNNNNNNNNNNNNNNNNNNNNNNNNNNNNNNNNNNNNNNNNNNNNNNNNNNNNNNNNNNNNNNNNNNNNNNNNNNNNNNNNNNNNNNNNNNNNNNNNNNNNNNNNNNNNNNNNNNNNNNNNNNNNNNNNNNNNNNNNNNNNNNNNNNNNNNNNNNNNNNNNNNNNNNNNNNNNNNNNNNNNNNNNNNNNNNNNNNNNNNNNNNNNNNNNNNNNNNNNNNNNNNNNNNNNNNNNNNNNNNNNNNNNNNNNNNNNNNNNNNNNNNNNNNNNNNNNNNNNNNNNNNNNNNNNNNNNNNNNNNNNNNNNNNNNNNNNNNNNNNNNNNNNNNNNNNNNNNNNNNNNNNNNNNNNNNNNNNNNNNNNNNNNNNNNNNNNNNNNNNNNNNNNNNNNNNNNNNNNNNNNNNNNNNNNNNNNNNNNNNNNNNNNNNNNNNNNNNNNNNNNNNNNNNNNNNNNNNNNNNNNNNNNNNNNNNNNNNNNNNNNNNNNNNNNNNNNNNNNNNNNNNNNNNNNNNNNNNNNNNNNNNNNNNNNNNNNNNNNNNNNNNNNNNNNNNNNNNNNNNNNNNNNNNNNNNNNNNNNNNNNNNNNNNNNNNNNNNNNNNNNNNNNNNNNNNNNNNNNNNNNNNNNNNNNNNNNNNNNNNNNNNNNNNNNNNNNNNNNNNNNNNNNNNNNNNNNNNNNNNNNNNNNNNNNNNNNNNNNNNNNNNNNNNNNNNNNNNNNNNNNNNNNNNNNNNNNNNNNNNNNNNNNNNNNNNNNNNNNNNNNNNNNNNNNNNNNNNNNNNNNNNNNNNNNNNNNNNNNNNNNNNNNNNNNNNNNNNNNNNNNNNNNNNNNNNNNNNNNNNNNNNNNNNNNNNNNNNNNNNNNNNNNNNNNNNNNNNNNNNNNNNNNNNNNNNNNNNNNNNNNNNNNNNNNNNNNNNNNNNNNNNNNNNNNNNNNNNNNNNNNNNNNNNNNNNNNNNNNNNNNNNNNNNNNNNNNNNNNNNNNNNNNNNNNNNNNNNNNNNNNNNNNNNNNNNNNNNNNNNNNNNNNNNNNNNNNNNNNNNNNNNNNNNNNNNNNNNNNNNNNNNNNNNNNNNNNNNNNNNNNNNNNNNNNNNNNNNNNNNNNNNNNNNNNNNNNNNNNNNNNNNNNNNNNNNNNNNNNNNNNNNNNNNNNNNNNNNNNNNNNNNNNNNNNNNNNNNNNNNNNNNNNNNNNNNNNNNNNNNNNNNNNNNNNNNNNNNNNNNNNNNNNNNNNNNNNNNNNNNNNNNNNNNNNNNNNNNNNNNNNNNNNNNNNNNNNNNNNNNNNNNNNNNNNNNNNNNNNNNNNNNNNNNNNNNNNNNNNNNNNNNNNNNNNNNNNNNNNNNNNNNNNNNNNNNNNNNNNNNNNNNNNNNNNNNNNNNNNNNNNNNNNNNNNNNNNNNNNNNNNNNNNNNNNNNNNNNNNNNNNNNNNNNNNNNNNNNNNNNNNNNNNNNNNNNNNNNNNNNNNNNNNNNNNNNNNNNNNNNNNNNNNNNNNNNNNNNNNNNNNNNNNNNNNNNNNNNNNNNNNNNNNNNNNNNNNNNNNNNNNNNNNNNNNNNNNNNNNNNNNNNNNNNNNNNNNNNNNNNNNNNNNNNNNNNNNNNNNNNNNNNNNNNNNNNNNNNNNNNNNNNNNNNNNNNNNNNNNNNNNNNNNNNNNNNNNNNNNNNNNNNNNNNNNNNNNNNNNNNNNNNNNNNNNNNNNNNNNNNNNNNNNNNNNNNNNNNNNNNNNNNNNNNNNNNNNNNNNNNNNNNNNNNNNNNNNNNNNNNNNNNNNNNNNNNNNNNNNNNNNNNNNNNNNNNNNNNNNNNNNNNNNNNNNNNNNNNNNNNNNNNNNNNNNNNNNNNNNNNNNNNNNNNNNNNNNNNNNNNNNNNNNNNNNNNNNNNNNNNNNNNNNNNNNNNNNNNNNNNNNNNNNNNNNNNNNNNNNNNNNNNNNNNNNNNNNNNNNNNNNNNNNNNNNNNNNNNNNNNNNNNNNNNNNNNNNNNNNNNNNNNNNNNNNNNNNNNNNNNNNNNNNNNNNNNNNNNNNNNNNNNNNNNNNNNNNNNNNNNNNNNNNNNNNNNNNNNNNNNNNNNNNNNNNNNNNNNNNNNNNNNNNNNNNNNNNNNNNNNNNNNNNNNNNNNNNNNNNNNNNNNNNNNNNNNNNNNNNNNNNNNNNNNNNNNNNNNNNNNNNNNNNNNNNNNNNNNNNNNNNNNNNNNNNNNNNNNNNNNNNNNNNNNNNNNNNNNNNNNNNNNNNNNNNNNNNNNNNNNNNNNNNNNNNNNNNNNNNNNNNNNNNNNNNNNNNNNNNNNNNNNNNNNNNNNNNNNNNNNNNNNNNNNNNNNNNNNNNNNNNNNNNNNNNNNNNNNNNNNNNNNNNNNNNNNNNNNNNNNNNNNNNNNNNNNNNNNNNNNNNNNNNNNNNNNNNNNNNNNNNNNNNNNNNNNNNNNNNNNNNNNNNNNNNNNNNNNNNNNNNNNNNNNNNNNNNNNNNNNNNNNNNNNNNNNNNNNNNNNNNNNNNNNNNNNNNNNNNNNNNNNNNNNNNNNNNNNNNNNNNNNNNNNNNNNNNNNNNNNNNNNNNNNNNNNNNNNNNNNNNNNNNNNNNNNNNNNNNNNNNNNNNNNNNNNNNNNNNNNNNNNNNNNNNNNNNNNNNNNNNNNNNNNNNNNNNNNNNNNNNNNNNNNNNNNNNNNNNNNNNNNNNNNNNNNNNNNNNNNNNNNNNNNNNNNNNNNNNNNNNNNNNNNNNNNNNNNNNNNNNNNNNNNNNNNNNNNNNNNNNNNNNNNNNNNNNNNNNNNNNNNNNNNNNNNNNNNNNNNNNNNNNNNNNNNNNNNNNNNNNNNNNNNNNNNNNNNNNNNNNNNNNNNNNNNNNNNNNNNNNNNNNNNNNNNNNNNNNNNNNNNNNNNNNNNNNNNNNNNNNNNNNNNNNNNNNNNNNNNNNNNNNNNNNNNNNNNNNNNNNNNNNNNNNNNNNNNNNNNNNNNNNNNNNNNNNNNNNNNNNNNNNNNNNNNNNNNNNNNNNNNNNNNNNNNNNNNNNNNNNNNNNNNNNNNNNNNNNNNNNNNNNNNNNNNNNNNNNNNNNNNNNNNNNNNNNNNNNNNNNNNNNNNNNNNNNNNNNNNNNNNNNNNNNNNNNNNNNNNNNNNNNNNNNNNNNNNNNNNNNNNNNNNNNNNNNNNNNNNNNNNNNNNNNNNNNNNNNNNNNNNNNNNNNNNNNNNNNNNNNNNNNNNNNNNNNNNNNNNNNNNNNNNNNNNNNNNNNNNNNNNNNNNNNNNNNNNNNNNNNNNNNNNNNNNNNNNNNNNNNNNNNNNNNNNNNNNNNNNNNNNNNNNNNNNNNNNNNNNNNNNNNNNNNNNNNNNNNNNNNNNNNNNNNNNNNNNNNNNNNNNNNNNNNNNNNNNNNNNNNNNNNNNNNNNNNNNNNNNNNNNNNNNNNNNNNNNNNNNNNNNNNNNNNNNNNNNNNNNNNNNNNNNNNNNNNNNNNNNNNNNNNNNNNNNNNNNNNNNNNNNNNNNNNNNNNNNNNNNNNNNNNNNNNNNNNNNNNNNNNNNNNNNNNNNNNNNNNNNNNNNNNNNNNNNNNNNNNNNNNNNNNNNNNNNNNNNNNNNNNNNNNNNNNNNNNNNNNNNNNNNNNNNNNNNNNNNNNNNNNNNNNNNNNNNNNNNNNNNNNNNNNNNNNNNNNNNNNNNNNNNNNNNNNNNNNNNNNNNNNNNNNNNNNNNNNNNNNNNNNNNNNNNNNNNNNNNNNNNNNNNNNNNNNNNNNNNNNNNNNNNNNNNNNNNNNNNNNNNNNNNNNNNNNNNNNNNNNNNNNNNNNNNNNNNNNNNNNNNNNNNNNNNNNNNNNNNNNNNNNNNNNNNNNNNNNNNNNNNNNNNNNNNNNNNNNNNNNNNNNNNNNNNNNNNNNNNNNNNNNNNNNNNNNNNNNNNNNNNNNNNNNNNNNNNNNNNNNNNNNNNNNNNNNNNNNNNNNNNNNNNNNNNNNNNNNNNNNNNNNNNNNNNNNNNNNNNNNNNNNNNNNNNNNNNNNNNNNNNNNNNNNNNNNNNNNNNNNNNNNNNNNNNNNNNNNNNNNNNNNNNNNNNNNNNNNNNNNNNNNNNNNNNNNNNNNNNNNNNNNNNNNNNNNNNNNNNNNNNNNNNNNNNNNNNNNNNNNNNNNNNNNNNNNNNNNNNNNNNNNNNNNNNNNNNNNNNNNNNNNNNNNNNNNNNNNNNNNNNNNNNNNNNNNNNNNNNNNNNNNNNNNNNNNNNNNNNNNNNNNNNNNNNNNNNNNNNNNNNNNNNNNNNNNNNNNNNNNNNNNNNNNNNNNNNNNNNNNNNNNNNNNNNNNNNNNNNNNNNNNNNNNNNNNNNNNNNNNNNNNNNNNNNNNNNNNNNNNNNNNNNNNNNNNNNNNNNNNNNNNNNNNNNNNNNNNNNNNNNNNNNNNNNNNNNNNNNNNNNNNNNNNNNNNNNNNNNNNNNNNNNNNNNNNNNNNNNNNNNNNNNNNNNNNNNNNNNNNNNNNNNNNNNNNNNNNNNNNNNNNNNNNNNNNNNNNNNNNNNNNNNNNNNNNNNNNNNNNNNNNNNNNNNNNNNNNNNNNNNNNNNNNNNNNNNNNNNNNNNNNNNNNNNNNNNNNNNNNNNNNNNNNNNNNNNNNNNNNNNNNNNNNNNNNNNNNNNNNNNNNNNNNNNNNNNNNNNNNNNNNNNNNNNNNNNNNNNNNNNNNNNUUAAUUUGAAAAUUCGAGGUCCAUUACCCUGAUUAAAUCUAUCAUUCAAAUCUUUCCAGAUAUCACAAGCAGAAUCCAAAUAUAAAAGACUAUCUGCAAUUUCUCUUGAAACAGCAUUUAUGAUCCAUGAAGAAAUCAUACUGUUACAUCUAUUCCAAGCACCGUAAAUCAAAUCAUGAGACAUAGGUCUAGAAAUCGUACCAUCCACAAAACCAACUUUGUUCUUCGCUGUGAGAGCCAUCAGCAUCGCUCUACGCCAGGUAUGAUAAUUCGCUCCAGUCAAAAGAUUUGAAACAAGAUUGAGCCCUGGAUGAUCUCCAUUAUGAAGAAAAUAGGGACUACUCGAAUCUUCAACAACAACAAUCUCAGAAUUCACCUGGCCACCGCGAUUACCAUUACCAGAUCCACCUUUCGCCAUGAACACGAUCGAGAACAAAGAACAGAGAAAGAGAAGAAAAAAAAUAGAAAUUAGGGAUUUGAAACCCUAAAUGGAUGGCUCUGAUACCAUGUUAGAAAAAGAAAUCUGAAGAAAGAAUUGAGAGAAAAGAUGAAAAGAAUUCUCUUCAUUCCUCUUGUCACAAAAUACAAGGCUGCUCUGUUAUAUAAUAGAGUAAAAUGGCUCAACAAAAACUGAACCAGAAAAACAGAAACAAAACUUAACAACAAACUGAACAAAACAACUCAAAAAUAGCUCAGCUUACAAUAAUGACAAAACUACCCUUCUAGUAAAAAAUAACUAAUACAAUCAAUCCUAAUAAUUUCUGAAAAAGAGAUAUGUUCGGUGAUUAAUAAAAGAAAAGAGAAGAAAAUGAUGGGAGUUGAUAAAUGAAUAUAUGAUGAAUUAGCAUUUUUUUAUUUUUCAUCUUUUGAACAGAGGUUGUAUCCUUUAUAUAUAUAUAUAUUGUUACACUUUAUUCUUCAACUUAUACCAUGUUUUACACGUUUUAUUGAGUUUGAAAUUGAGCAAUGUACUCUUAUAUUUUAUAUUGUAUGCAAUAUAGGUUUUUUUAUUGUUACACUUUAUUCUUCAACUUAUACCAUGUUUUACACGUUUUAUCGAGUUUAAAAUUGAGCAAUGUACUCUUAUAUUUUAUAUUGUAUGCAAUAUAGGUUUUUUUAAUAUACGAUGUUAUUUAUUUUUUGGAUGGAAAAACAUGUGCGGAGACUAACGGCAAAAUAGUCAUUUCAUUUCAAAACACUCAAAUCCCCAACCCAACUCUCUUCUUCAUCCUUUGAUUGCCAGCUGGAAUUUUCCUAAAGUUUCGGCCUCAUAAAUUAUAAUUUCGGUGAACAAGAUAUACAAAUCUUAUGGUGAAUGGAACCAAACUCAAAAAGUUUUACAAAAAAAAAAAUAAUAUUAUUAAAAAAUUACCUCAACUAAUUCAAAUAGUCCCAUAUUCAAAAUUUAUAAUGAAAAAAAAAAUCAAUUGAUUUUCUUGUCAACCAAACAAGGCGCAAAAACCCAUAAAAACAAUAACAAUCAAACAAACCUAACAUAACACCCAAAUCACACGAAACAUGUAUACUACUCAGAGUUAGAGUUAGGGUUAGGGUUAGGGUUUCAUUUUUAUGUUUUAGAAAGUUGGUGGAAGUUUUGAGGAAAUUUGGGAGAAAAAAAUCAAGCUUUUUGAAAAAAAAAAACAAAGCACUUUUAUAACAUGGAAUUUUCAAUAGAAAGGGAAUAGAGAGAGAAAGAGUGAGGAGAGAAGAAGAGAAGGAAAAUGAAGGUUUAGAAAGAUAUUGCAUCAUCACAAUUUUCUUAUCAUUUUCACUCCCUAUGAUUUGGUUGCAAUUUGGGGAGGAAGAAAAAAAAAGAGGAGAACGAAGGUAGAUGAGGACUUGGAUAGGGUUUUGAAAUGAAAUGAUACUUUUACUCUCACUUAAAUAGGUCACGUGAAUAACACUAACACAUGCAUCUUCGGUCCAAUUAAGGUAAUACUGUCACUUAAAAAAUGCAUAUUACAUGUAAUUAUAAAAUAUGAAAGGUACAUUGUUCGAUUGUAAAUUCAAUGAGAUAAUAUAUAAAAUAUGCUAUAAGUUAGAGGGAUAAAGUAUAAUAAACCCUAUAUACAUAAACAACAGAGUUUUAUUUAUAUUUGCUAAAUUAAUUGAAUUCUAAGUCAAUAUAAAAUUUUCCGAGUAAUUCAAGAUUUUAAAGAUUCAAUAUUGUUUUAUAAACUUGGAAGGAAGGGUUCCAAGAAUUUUCCACUCUUUUAAAUGGUCAAAAAAACAUGUAGGUACGCAAUUAAAUCAUCUUUCUUCCAUGCUAAAAAAAUAAUAAAUAUAUAUUGUAAGUUUUAAAUUAAAGUAUUAUUUAAGAAUUCGGUAAUAAACUCAAUCAUAUGGUUAUACCAAAAUCAAAAUAUUAAAAAUAUUUUAGGUAAAAAAAAAGGGAAAAUAUAUUUAAUAAUCAAAUAAUAGAAAAUAAUUUUUUAUUUUUAAAAUAGAAAAUAUAAUAUUUUUUAAAAAUAUAUUUUUUUAUUAUUUUUACUCGUUUUUAAAAAAUAAUUAUAUAAAUAUGAGGAAAGAUUAAAAAUAAAAUAUUAUAUGUAAAAAUUAUUUUUAAAACAAAUUUUAAAAUAUAAAAAAUAAGUUAAAAAUAGGAUUAUCGUGGGCCAUUAACAAACCUAGACUAAGUAGGCCAUGGGUGUCUUGACGAUUUUUGCUGCAUUUUUGGUGUUUGAUUUCUUUAUUCAAUAUGAUCACCCAAACACAGAUAUAUAUAUAUAUAUAUAUAUAUAUAUAUAUAUCAAUUCAUUUAAAACAUACCUUCUUCUAUUUUGGAACAUAUCUGAGUCCAUUAUUUCUCGAGAUGGAUAAGGUAUGGAUCUUUUAAGGCUAUAGAGGGCACCACAUUUCUCUGUAUUUCUAAUUCAAAAGAUGUGAUCUCAAGAACCAAUACUUAGUCUUAUAUUUAUACCCUCUAUGCCUUAAAAGACCAUACCCUUUGGACUAUUGGGCAUCGCGAGUCUUAGGCCCAUCAUCUAAGACCCGUUAUAUAUCUGGGCUUUAUACAUGAGGUGACGCAUACUCUAGAUCAAAUAGAAAUCAUAUAUAUAUAUAUAUGGAUAGCUAAAUCCUGAACGAUGCCCUUUUAGAGGAUCGAGCUCUGCUUUUUUAUAAUUAAAAUUGAUUUGUAGCGGUGAGAAAAGUUAAGGCUGUGUUUGUUUUCUAAUGUAAAAAUGCAUUUUGAAGUAUGGGAAAUUUGAGGGUCAUAAACCAUAUUGGUUUAAGAUUGCAAUGCUCGUCGGCAACUGAACCCAUACGUACAUACAAUCACCCCGACCCCGACUCCGACCACUUCAUAUUGAAACUGGCCUCGAGGCUCGAGCCUCCCUUCCUAACAGUGAAACCUACCAGCAAGUCAACAAAAUGUGAAUGCAGUAGAGGCAAGGAGAGCAAAAUCUGCUCAAUCAUAAAGGGUGUUUGUUGAGAGAGAUGAUGGGCAUAGGCCUCUAGCUGUUCCUUUAGCUUAUUAUAUAUAGUCGGGUGGUUGGAAAUCUUAGUGGCUAUGAAAUCUGAGGACAGACUAUUCAUGUCAGUGACUUAGAAAUAAUUAUCUCCAAAUUUGGCAGUUUAUGCAUGAAGCAUACUAUAUAUUUAAUAUCUAAAACCCAGCUUUGAGAAACUUCAUGUGCCACGAAAUUUCUCAUUUACUACAUGACAGUGAUGACACAACCCACAAUGGGGAGGGAAACUUCUGACUUCUGAGAAUAAUCAGACUUUCUCAAGGACAGUUUGUCUCCACUUCACCCCCACCUUCCAUGGAAAUUUCCUCCUAUGCUUACCAUCUUCACCCAACUUGUGGUAACGAAAAAAUAAAAUAAAAAAAUUAGAAAGGAAAUUUUUUUAUCAUAUUUAGUUUUUCCACUAGAAAUAUAAAAAAUAAAUUAAUUAAAAUUUUAUAUAUUUUAAAUUAUUUAAUUAGUUAAAAUAAGUGAAAUGCGCUUCAAAUUUGAUAUAAAUUAGAUUUAUUUAUUUAUUUUAUUUGCCAUUAAAUUAAAUCUAAAUCAAUUUUUAAUCAAUGAAUCUAUGUUGAUCAUGUUAAACUUAAAAGUAAUUGUAUCCAGCUACUUUUCGAACGUUACAAUUUAUUUUUUAAUACGUAACCAUGUGAAAUUUUUAUUUUUUAUCUGGAUAGGCUUUUGGACCCCUUUCAAAUGGAUGGGCCACAAUUGAAAAUGGGCCGGAUCGGAAAGAUGUGGUCGCCCAAAGGAAUCGAGGUCCAUAACGGUUGCUUCCUGACAAAGCGAAGGCGCAUGUUCUCAACCACGAUUCGUGUCGCCGAAUCAACGAACAAUUAUGGGCUAAUAGAUCAUAAAGGAAACAAAUGCUAAGGUGACAAGAAUGUCCUCGACUUGGCGCCAUUCUUGUUUCAACCAAAUCUAGCGAGGAGGACAUAUCUGUAUUUUCAGUUUAUAAGUUAUCUUCUCCUCCGUUUGGUUAUGAUAUUUUUGUAGUCACCCCAUAAUCUUUUGAAAUUGCAACUAGGCCCUUUCAUGGCGACUCUCACCGCCGUGUCUUCUGCUUCAUGGCCAAACCCUAACCCUAGUCCUAAUUCGACCUUUCUCUCUCAGCAGAGCCACCCCGAGCAGUAUCCGGCGGUUCAGGAUCCCACUGCAAUGCGUCAGCAUCAGGGAACCGGCCUCUCCGGAGAUGGAGGCGAGGAUGAAUCAUUUUCUUCUUCUCCAAAUCAUCACACUGUUCAAAGCCCUAAUUCUAAUCUUCGUGAAGUUGUAUCUUAUUCGACAUCCUCUAUACCGUCUCUUCUCCAUAUUUCCUUCAAUCAGGACCACGGUUGCUUCGCCGCGGGCACGGAUAACGGCUUCCGGAUCUAUAAUUGCGACCCGUUCCGCGAGAUUUUCCGGCGAGACUUCGACCGCGGCGGAGGAAUUGGCGUCGUGGAGAUGCUAUUCCGGUGCAACAUCCUGGCCCUGGUUGGCGGCGGACCUGAGCCGCAGUAUCCGCUCAACAAAGUCAUGAUUUGGGAUGAUCACCAAAGCCGGUGCAUUGGAGAGCUGUCAUUCCGAUCGGAGGUCCGAGCAGUUAAGCUCCGGCGGGACCGUAUCAUAGUGGUCUUGGAACAGAAGAUUUUCUUGUACAACUUCGCGGACUUGAAGCUGUUACAUCAGAUUGAGACGAUUGCAAAUCCCAGGGGGCUUUGCGCGGUUUCGCAGCUCACUGCGUCGCUUGUGUUGGUGUGUCCAGGGUUGCAGAAGGGGCAGGUCAGGGUCGAGCAUUACGCUUCGAGGAGGACCAAGUUCUUCGCGGCCCAUGAUUCUAGACUUGCGUGUUUCGCGCUCACUACGGACGGCCAAUUGCUCGCCACUGCAAGCACCAAAGGAACUCUGGUUAGAAUUUUCAAUACUUCCGAUGGCACACGGCUGCAAGAGGUACAUUAUAUGCCCUUUUUCAGUUCUGCGCUUUGAGGAGUGAACUUGAAAUUUUGAUGAUUCUGUAAAUGGGCCAUAGGCUAUUGAUAUUUUGAUGUUUCUCUAUUAGGGUUAUUAUAAAAGUAGUAUUCCCAAUUUCCCGAUUUUAGGUUUCUUGUUGAAAUAGAUUGUGAAGUAUAAUUCAUUUAGCCAUGUCCCUUCUUUUUCCUCUACUUCUUGUGGAGACCACAGCAGGCACAGUUGACGUACAACCUCAAUUUGGAUAGCUGUUGUUGUUAGCAAACAGUUCAAAGUGUGACUGGUUUUUGUAGUUAUCAUGCUAGGAUCACCUUCAAUCUCAAUUGAGAACAACGGAAAAUGUCUUCACACAAUAAUAACCUGCCGUGUAAGUAUCGAUUGAAGGUUAAUCCUUUCUGGGAUUCAUAGCCAUAAAUGAAGCUUGAAUAGUACUCUGCGUUGCAAGAAACAAGUAUAAAUGAACUUCCUUUGUCUACUUGUGGAUUAAUCUAAUGAACCAAUUUUUCUGAACUGCAGAGGAGCUCUUGUUUAUGUUAGAAACUCAUAUUACUUGCUAUUCGAUACUUAUUCUACCAUUCAUCUUUCUGCAAGAAUUUGACAUGUAUCAUAGAUUUAAAUUAAUUGAAUAUCUAAUGUAGGUGCGGCGGGGAGCAGAUAGAGCUGAGGUUUACAGUAUGGCAUUCUCUUCAACUGCCCAGUGGCUAGCAGUAUCAAGUGACAAGGGCACUGUCCAUGUUUUUGGGCUUAAGGUUAACUCAGGAUCCUUAGGAAAUGACAAGUCCCAUGGUGCAUCUGAUGCCAAUCUUGCUGUUGCAUCAUCCGGCUUAUCUCUUUCUUUCAUCAAGGGUAAGGUGCCUUUUCUAGAAUAUGACUUGAGGCUGACCAUUUUUCUUGAUUUUGAAUAAACAGGUCAAUUGAGUUAUAAAUAUGUGAGGUUGGGAGGCUAAUUAUACCGACUCAAGCAAAAUGCCAAACUCUAUUAAAUGGGUUGCACAAGGCUGUAUGAUAAUUAGGUUGUGUUUAAUUUCAUUGUUUUAACCUAAUUAUCAUUCAUGUCAUGUUUUUCUUAUGUCGAAUAACUAGUUUUGACACAACAUGAACAUGAUCUAGUAACACGAAUUGACACCCCUGGCUAUUAUGUGAAUAUGCAUACGCAAAGUUAAAAUAGGCUUCACUGCUUGAUCUCCAUGGUUCCAAGACCACAUAUUGGAUGGAACUUUAAUAAUACAGUUUUGUUUUUGAUAAGCAAAACUGUAUUAUCAUCGGGCCUUGUAUGUGUACUCUUGAAUGCAACUGUAUCCACUUCUCUCCUUUUGAAUGCAACUGCUUUCUCUUGGUUCCUGUUACUGGAUGGUGCUUACUAGAGUAUCAACUAAUGGAAGUGAAGAAUAGGAGAGAUUAGGCCAUGGGGUUCAGGAUUCUAUUUAUUUAUUUAUCAGUUUUUGGAUAAUCAUCAUGGGCAUGUCUAUUGCGUUUCUUAUUGAACAGAAGCUUUGAAGUUCUAUCCUUUUGAUUCUAAUUCUGACUAGGUUUUCAUGUGCAGGAGUGCUGCCCAAGUAUUUCAGCUCUGAGUGGUCGGUUGCUCAGUUCCGCCUUCAUGAGGGUUCUCAGUAUAUUGUUGCAUUUGGUCAUCAGAAGAACACAGUGGUAAUUCUGGGAAUGGAUGGAAGGUAAGAGAUAUUCUUAACAGAAGUUUGUGAGAAGAGUUGAUCUGAAAUGGAAUCAUGAUAAGCAAUUGAAUUGAAUUUGAAUGCAGCUUCUAUAGAUGUCAGUUCGAUCCUGUGACUGGGGGAGAGAUGACACAGCUGGAGUAUCACAACUUCCUUAAACCAGAAGAAGCUUUCUAAUGGAGAUCUAGGAUAUUAUCUGCAUGCCCAAUUUCCUAGCUAUAUAUGACAUCCCUCUCUCUCUGGGUCUUUGUGCCCUUUGUCCCCUUUUCCCCUUCUAGGUGUGGCCUAUGGGUCCAUUAUGGUGUAAAUAUACGAGUAUAGAUAGGUCAAAGUUUAAGACUAAUUUACCAUUAACAAGGAAAAAUGAAAUUUAAUGAAAAAAAAAAAAAAGAAGAGAGAUUAGUACUCAUUUUUCAUACUUGUCUUCAUAUUUGCCAUUGUGUGGACGGGUUUAUUUGGACAACCUUUUUUUAUAAUUUAGAUUACCAACCUUCCUUAUUUAAUAUCAACCAAAAAAAUAUUUUAUACAAUAUUCUUUAUAAAAAACGAGACUUUUCUAUAAUCUUGAGGCAAAUUCCAUUAUACCAUAAAUGGAAUUUGCCUAUUUAUCAUGCCUAUAUCUAUGAAUGAGAAAAAUCAUUUCAUUAUACCAUAAAAUCAAAUGCAAUUAUCAAAACACCUAAUGUUUCUCCACUUCUUAUAUCCACCGUAAACUAUGAGCCUCCUACUCUACUUGGUAUAUCUUUAUCCAAUUUAAAUAGUUUUUAAAUAUUAAUCUUUAUUCCAUAAUUUUUUCCUCCCCUAACCUAAAAUAUUUAUAAUGAUAUUCUUAACAAUUUUUUUAUUAUAUAUAAUAAAAUCUAAUAUUACAAUAAUAUAUUAAAAGUCCUCACUCCAUCACAAUACUUAAUUUUUUUCUAAGCAAUUAAUUCUCUAUUCUUUCGAUUUUUUUGCUUUUAACUACCAUUGGGCAAUUACAUUUUUAAAUAUAAAUUUCAAAGUACACGUUUAUUAGAAUCCUGUUAAGAAAUACAAAACAUGUUGUGGACCCCGCGUUUCGAUCUAUCUCAAUGCGUUUCCCACUCAAUGGCGAGCUCGAUUUUUAUUUUAUUAGAAAAAAUGAUUUUUAUCGAUUAAGAAAAUGACUUGGAGUCGCCACUUAUUUUUGUUUUAUUAUUAAAGGGUAAACAAAAUAAGAAAGAAAAACCCUAAGUGUGACUCCUUAUUUUGGAAAAGGCGGUCUGUGAAAAACCGGAUCGGGUUCGGGGGUCAGGUUACUUCUCGGGAAGGUAUGGUAAAGACCGUAGCACCCCUCUAAGUCCCUAAAGUCGGGUCUCUACUAAUAAAAUGAAGCUGACAUGACAACCAAUGAGAAAGUCAAUGAAUACCUAGGACGAAUCAUGCACAUACGAGAAUUAAAACAUGCAAAUAAAAUGAUUAGGAUGCGAGUGGAUGUGUACCUGGACCGUGAACGAUCAAUGCGCUAUCAUAAAACAGGGUUAGUGAGCAAUGAACAAAAUAUAAUUAAGCGCAUAACAUGGAACAAAAUAAAUCAAACACGCACGAUAAGUAAAUCAAUCAAACAAUCAAUCAAUCGUCAAUUCACAUAUGUGGGGCCCCCACCAAAGCCCGUUUAUUUUUGCAUGAAUUAAUUCCAUAAUUUCCAUUAUUCGGAGUUACAGAAUUGAAUCUAUGCUUAUUUUUAAAACAUUUUAAAAGAUCAUGAAAGAUUUAAAAAAAUUGCUUGCCGAAUAGAAAAUGGAAGCAAAUUUUAUUAAAAAGAGAUUUCAAGUGAUUCUAAAAAAAAACCUAAAGGUGAAAAUUAAAAAUAAAUAAAUAAAUAAAUUAUUUGAUAAAAAUGGAGUUUGGAAAAUUAACAAAGAAACUAGAAAUCGGGAAAUUAUGUGGAAAAUGGGAGUUUUAGGACUUAAAAAUAAAUCUAAAGAUGAAAAUUCGAAAAGCAAAAAUUGUUUGAAGGAUUUGGAAAUUUGACAUUAUAAAAAAAAAACAAUUGGAGGGAUUAUUAAUAAAAUGAUGUUCAGGAAAAUUAAUUUGGAAAUCAUAGGAACAGGAAGUGGGUGAUAACACGUGGCUUCCGAUUUACUGCCAUUGCCACUAUACCCACCAUAGUCACCAAGCCCAUAGUCAAUGCCUCCAAGUGCUCGGUAGGAAAUAGGCCCAAAACACUAAGACGUGCCCCAGAGUUAGAGAAGAUGCUGGAGAGAUCUUUGAUCAAGCCACUUCACCAGAUUUAUGGCGAUAGAUCUUUCCGAAGACAUGAAGAACGGUGACAAAGCCGAUAAAGCAAAGGUUCAUCACGAGAACCACCGUUGGAGUAAUCUUCAAGCCCGGAUCGUCAUCGGUGUAGAACAAGAGCAUGUUGCUCUCGCUGCUGCCACUGCCGCACCCUCCGGAGCUCUGAAACGACAGUGCGUGUGAGGAGAUUGACAACGACGCCGUCGAAGACAACCGGUCUACAUAACCCUCCAACAAGCUUCGUCCUGAAGCUACUUCUGCCGCGGUGCUUUCCACAUGUCGUCCAUACAUCCAGUGACCCGAAUCAGCGCCACCUCGUCCUCAACUCCAACGCAGCUGAAUCUCACGCUGCUGUCCAGUUUGACCUGCGUCGGAAAGAACGACGUUGGGGGCCACGCAGGCAUCGACGGUGAUCUUCGGGAGCCACUGCCCCAGGGGAAUUAUCCUUCUCCGUCCUUUUUUUGAGCCUUCAACACUUUCUACAGCAAAAGUCUCCUCAACUUUUGAUGGCCCCCACAUGUACCAGUUGAGGCUAUUUUAUGAAUUUCNNNNNNNNNNNNNNNNNNNNNNNNNNNNNNNNNNNNNNNNNNNNNNNNNNNNNNNNNNNNNNNNNNNNNNNNNNNNNNNNNNNNNNNNNNNNNNNNNNNNAUUCAAAACAAGAUGUCCAAUACUCCAAAAGAACACCAAAAAAACAGAGAAGAAAGUGAAGAAAACAGAGUGCGUGCAAGAGAUGAUAAUACCAUUAAACCAAACUUUACUUCAUGAAGAUCGGAGAGCUUAAAACAAUCUGGUGGGUUAAGUGAAUGGUUUUAACACAUAAACAAACAACAUCGACACCAUGUGACUCACACAGGAAUAAACAAAAAUCAAGCAAGCAGGGAUGAAAACAUGCUUAAGAUCUUAAACAGUCAAAAUGAACAUUUCAAAUAUUAGGAAAGGAGUCAAAUAUGGUUGUGAAAAGGAAAAACCUGAAGUCGAAGACAACCAAAAUUUGGAUGACUCCUUUUCUCUCUGUGACUGAAAUCCCACCUUCUCGUUCUACUCCCUGAGCUGAGAACUCUCCUCUCAACUCCAAACUCACUCCAGACCAGCCUCUCUUCACUCUCCCCCUCCUCUCUGACUCUCUCUCUCUAGCUAAACUCCUCUAAGCCUUCCCUCCUCCUCAAAAUAUCUCUAACGGACUCUGAAAAGCACUCCCUACUCCAGCUGCCAGAGACGCUCCUCCAUUCACGGCUUCCAGAUUCCCAUGCAACGUGUCCCCUUUUGAUUGGCUUCCCAAACCACUAUUAUGAUUCUCUCAUGGCUUCUCAGGUGUUGACACGUGGCUGACCAAGGCUCUUCCACAUGGUAAAAUUGAGCUGCAAGGUAGGAAUGACCUAAAAGGGGGUCUACAAAUAUGCCCCUCUUCGGUAGAGUUCACGAGUGUAAAGAACAUGAACACUGGAGUGAAAAGUAAGUGUGAAUAGUGAGUGGAAUGAAGUGAACUCUACCGAAGAACCAAGGAGACCCCCAUAGAGACACUAGUGAGAUAUAAACUCACUCAGACUAACAGAUAAACAACGAGGCUCUAAUCCUAAAAGGAAAUGAUGUCUCAAAAAUGCCUCUGCAGCCACACUAAGGAUCCAAGCUCCCUCUAAGACGUCUCCAAAAGUGACUCGAAGAUCAAUGUCAAAGAUGAGUAACAGUCGAACCACCCUAGAGUACAAGAAAGAAUGUGCCCGAAGGAAACUACCCUAUGUGAACUACAUGAGAAGACUAGGUGUAGGGUGCCCAACAACAUGACAAAAAUACGCAUCACGGAAUCAAAGAACUAUGUCAUGUGCAAUGGAAUGGGAAGUCUAGAAGAGCAAUGACGAUCAAGCAAUGAGCUCCAGGUAACUGAGUGAGGAAAAUGACUCUGAAAAACCAAAAUGGAGGAAUAAUGGCGACUCAGAAUGCAAAGAAGACUCAACUAUGCAGGUGUGACUCGAAGGUGAACAAGACUCAACUCAAUCCGACAAAACAAUGACCGAUCGAUAUAGGUGCGGUCCCGACUCAAACUGAACUGAUAGGAAGAUGGUCGAUCGAUAUAGGUGCGGCCCAGACUCAAACUGACGUGAUGAAUGACCGAUCGAUAUAGGUGCGGUCCCGACUCGAACUGAACUGAUAGGAAGAUGGCCGAUCGAUAUAGGUGCGGCCCCGACUCAAACUGACAUGAUGAAUGACCGAUCGAUAUAGGUGCGGUCCCGACUCGAACUGAACUGAUAGGAAGAUGGCCGAUCGAUAUAGGUGCGGCCCCGACUCAAACUGACAUGAUGAAUGACCGAUCGAUAUAGGUGCGGUCCCGACUCUAACUGAACUGAUAGGAAGAUGGCCGAUCGAUAUAGGUGCGGCCCCGACUCAAACUGACAUGAUGAAUGACCGAUCGAUAUAGGUGCGGUCCCGAAACUAAACUGAUAGAAAGAUGGCCGAUCGAUAUAGGUGCGGCCCCGACUCAAACUGACAUGAUGAAUGGCCGAUCGAUAUAGGUGCGGUCCCAGAAACUAAACUGAUAGGAAGAUGGCCGAUCGAUAUAGGUGCGGCCCCGACUCAAACUGACAUGAUGAAUGACCGAUCGAUAUAGGUGCGGUCCCAGAAACUAAACUGAUAGGAUGAAUGACCGAUCGAUAUAGGUGCGGUCCCAGAAACUAAACUGAUAGGAUGAAUGACCGAUCGAUAUAGGUGCGGUCCCAGAAACUAAACUGAUAGGAUGAAUGACCGAUCGAUAUAGGUGCGGUCCCAGAAACUAAACUGAUAGGAAGAUGGCCGAUCGAUAUAGGUGCGGCCCCGACUCGAACUGAACUAAUAGGAAGAUGGCCGAUCGAUAUAGGUGCGGCCCCGACUCAAACUGACAUGAUGAAUGACCGAUCGAUAUAGGUGCGGUCCCAGAAACUAAACUGAUAGGAUGAAUGACCGAUUGAUAUAGGUGCGGUCCCAGAAACUAAACUGAUAGGAAGAUGGCCGAUCGAUAUAGGUGCGGCCCCGACUCAAACUGACAUGAUGAAUGACCGAUCGAUAUAGGUGCGGUCCUAGAAACUGAACUGAUACGAAGAUGGCCGAUCGAUAUAGGUGCGGCCCCGGAUUCUAACUGAACUGAUAGGAAGAUGGCCGAUCGAUAUAGGUGCGGCCCCGACUCAAACUGACACGAUAAUGACCGAUCGAUAUAGGUGCGGCCCCGACUCGAACUCAAACUGAUAAGAUGAAUGACCGAUCGAUAUAGGUGCGGUCCCGACUCAAACUGACACGACGAAUGACCGAUCGAUAUAGGUGCGGUCCCGACUCGAACUGAACUGAUAGGAAGAUGGCCGAUCGAUAUAGGUGCGGCCCCGGACUCUAACUGACACUGAUGAUGAUGAAUGACUUGGUCAAGUGACCCAAAACCAAAGGAUGACUCAGAUAAUAAUGCAAACAAACUCGAUCGGAGGGGAUAUGCCCCAGUAUGACAACUCAUGCGGAUCGACAACUAGGUCGACAGAUAAUGAAGCCUGUGAAAGGUCCGAUGAUCUCGGAGAAGGAGGGUAUGCCCCAGUAUGCAACUCAAGGGAAUCAACAACUAGAUCAAAAGUGAGUGAAACCGGUGGAAGGUUCAAUGCUCUCGGAGAAGGGGUAUGCCCCAGUAUGCAAUGACGAACAGACAGAGAUGCAAAAUGCCUCAAAACUACUGUACUCUGAAAUAUGCUCAUCCAUCAUGUAAUGAAAAUGUCCAACCUCAAAUAGGUAAUGCCAAACAGGACUAUGUAUAGUGAUACCAUGCUGACUAAACAGAAAUGACUGACGAAUAAAAACAAUGAUGACCAAUGCCCGAAAUGUGAAAAACAAGCAAAUCAACACUCAACAUGCCAACUGUCAAAAUGAAAGCAUCAACACUAAUAAGUCAGCAAUCUGUCAGGCCCUGCCAUCAUGGAAGAUGUUGAACCUAAAGUCCAAAAGAUAUAUGAAAGCACAACCAAGGUGAUCGAGGACUGAUCUACAUCUCCUCAUAAUCGAGAAAGGGGUGAGGUCAUGUGCCAUGGUAAGAUGUGAAGGAUAAAAGAAGGUGAUGGUCAGGCUCCGGUAUGAGAGAAGGUAUGAAAGUAUCCAUGGUGAAACGUCUGAGUAUGAAAUGAAAGGUAGGGAGAUAUCCGAGAUCAUCCAAGUAUGCCGAGAAGACUAAACCCAAGGUGUCGAUAACUCCAUAACCCAUCGUAAGUAGCAAUCACAAACAGGAAGUCAAGCCUCAAUGUCAAAACCUCCAACAAGGUGGCUAUGCCCCAGUAUGCAAUGAGGACAACAUGAAAUAAUCCAAUGAUCUCCCUAUCACUCGUCAGGUGCUCCAAUGUCAAGAACCAAUAUGAUCUCCCUCCAAAAGAUGGACAUGCCCCAAUGUAAAGGAUCCAAAUAGGGUGGCUAUGCUCCAAUGAAAAAUGCUCUCCGUCCCGGCUAUGCCCCAGUGUAAAGUAGUGUAUCCGAGUCAGCAAAUCAAUCAACCUCUACUCCCGGUGCCAAAACGGAAACAUCUCAACAUAAUCCAUAUGAAUCAGAAUCCCCGGGCUCCAUGAAUGUGAAUGCGGUGGCUAUGCCCCAGUAUAAACCAACUGAAGUGACUAUGCUCCAAUGACCAAUCAAAGUCCAUCACCAAUGAGAGGGCUACGCCUCAAAUAAAAUCGUCAUCUCAAAAACCAACCAUCGAUGAGUAGAGUGUGUCCCAAUGCAGAGUAUCGAGUAGAGCGACCGUAUCUCCAAUAAAAACGCCCUCUGAAAUGGCUAUGCCCCAGUAUAGGGUCAUCCCACAACUCCUGAUCCAUCGUAAUCCAAGUGAAGAAGCGAACUGACUAUGCCUCAGUGCAAGGCACCAUCCAGAAAGAAAAUGUCAUCAAUGAGCGGGGUAUGCCCCAGUGUAGAUAACGUCGCCUCUGAAAGUCCAUCACCGAUAAGAGGGGUAUGCCCCAGUGUAAAUCAUCAUCUCAACUCCACAUCCAUAAUGCUCUGAGAGAUAAUCACCGACCAAGCUCGAGUAUUGCCCAUGUGUGAGCCGUCAAACACAAUGUGAAGUAAUGGCCUCAGGGUGGUCUUCAGACAUGGGACGUAACGUAGGGCAAGGUAAUAGGGUGAAAGAAACGAAAGGAAACUAGGCUAAAAAAUCCCAAUGAUACAAUCCCCAUACCCCUCGUGCAUGAUAUGCAAUGCGCAGAAAAUGUCAUGAGUCCCGGACCUAGGGGUCCCCACACGAAAAGUGAUGAUAAAUGAAUGGAUACAUCGAAUAAGCAAGAAUAAAGUGUGGAUGCUGAACCCAUGUCAAACAUCAAACAGAAUGAGAAUAGAAUGAGAUAAGAUGAAAUGGAGUGAAACGGAGGGAUAAAAUAAAGAUGAAAGAAGGCGAAGAGAUAGAAAAAUGAGUGAUGGUCAACCUGCAUCAAAGCAUGGAAAGUAGUCACAUCCGAAAUAGACGGAAUGAUGGAUAGAGCAAGGAUCCAGAGAUACAGAAGAAAAGUCGCUCGCAUCUCUCACAAAAAACGAAUGGGCGAAUCAUACUCUCACCCAAAAUAUACAUCAAGAUGAAUCUAAAAAAUAAGCUUUCAUACGAGCUCUCUCUAUCAUAUGAACUCAAUGAAACAACUUGGCACGUCCAUACACAUGCCUGAUGAAGAAUGAUACAAUGAAUAAUGCGCUAUCAUCAAUCAAUUUUUUUAUUUUUUUAUUUUAUUAUUUUUUUAUUUUUUAUUUUUUUUUUAUUUUUUUAUUUUUUUUAUUUUUAUUUUUUUUUUAUUUUUUUAUUUUUUUUAUUUUUUAUUUUUUUUUAUUUUUUUGCGCGUACGCUGAUCAAUAGUGAAUGAACUCCCAUGAAAAUACAUACCCAAAUGAAUAAACUCUCUCCAUGUACUGAUGUAACAUGAAUCCUCACUAACAAGACAACCUCUCAAAUAAGAUCCCUGGACCAUUGCCCAUAAGGCGAACGGGGGAGGAACGUGACAAUCCUCCAUGCAGUGACGUGUGAAAAACCACCACUCAAGGUGAAACACGGAUAAUGUCGAGUAAGCGAUGAUGAAAGAAAAGACAGAGAACGAAUAUCACAAGUGGUGAUAUAUGAUAUAAGAAAAAUAGUGAUGAAAUGAUGUCCAAGUGGAAAAUAUCACAGUGAAAAGUGAAGAAUGAUGCCUGAAUAUGUAUGUCAGGUUUGGAACUCAUGACGUAUCCAAUCAUAGCAUGCAAGCGCUACAGGGUCCCUAACCCGGUGUAAUAGGUAAAUGAGGUGAUGAAAGAAAAGGCUAUGUGCUCGUGUGAAGCUCAAAGGGCUAGCAAUGGAUAACUCUAUAUGUGAGGGUGAUAAAGUAAAUAGGCUCAUGAAAUGAUGGCCACCCAUCCUUUAACCACAACCUCGAACAUCGUGCUUUUGAGAUCUCACAUGGUCAAUACUAAAGACUGGCAUCCAUCCAACAUAGUCAUGGCGACUCAUCUGAAAUCGCGUAAAAGCCCUCACUGAUGCUCUGUGAUAACCGUCAAUAUCCUCGGAUAAUCACCUCACUCUAUCAUCAUAAUCCACUCACCAUCGUCUCAUAAAAUCACCAUCUCUAAUCAUCCCGACUCUCUGAAGUCAUGUGCAAUGACUCAAAUCUGGAUGCUCCAUGACGUCUCCUCUACCUCAACAACAUCGUCAAACAAUCAAGCCACUCUCUCAUCAUGAUCCAUCUAUCAUCGUGUAAAGCUCACCUCGGGUCUAACCAUCUCGGACUCUACCUGGUCAGAUCCAUGAAAUGAUGGAAAGGAUAGGCAAUGGUACUGUAGCCUGAUAAGGCGAACAGGGAUGGUAAAGUCGUACAGUAAUACCAAAGGGUGGUGUCAUGUCAGGCUCAAAAUGGGUAGGUCAUCAAGUCUGAAAAGGCUAAGGUAUGGAUGUGGGUAUGGUACCACUCUAAUCAGAAGGUGAAAUGGGUCACAGCCUCAAACUCCCUAGGUCGAUCUCCUGAUCCUAGGUCAAUAGACUCAAUAUCCUCCAUGAUAGGUCAGACCCAAGUGAUCGUGAUGUAAGUGAAAGAUGUAUCAUAUCGAAAGCAUAACACGCAUCAACGCAAGAUAUGUAAAACACACUCCCGAGAAAAAUGCCACAAUACUCAAGAUAAAAUAUCAUAUCACUAAAUGAACCAACGAGUACAUCAUGUGUGAAAUGGUAAAGGACUACAAACAACUGGACUCUCAACAUGAAACUAAAAACAAUGACCCUAAACCGAAAACAGGACUCAACAAAACAAAAACAACUCUGAUGAACUGAAAACUGGACUCAACAAAAUGGAAAUGAGUCUGAUGAUGACCAUAAUCAAAAUGAGAAAUGCUCUGAACUGAACUGCUACCAAGUGAUGUACCCAUGUCGACUGACCUAAGUCCUCAUCCUGGAAGAUCCCAGAGCGCCAUAUGCCAACAGUACCAUCAACAUCCAAAUCGGUCUACUGAAGACCAGGAGGAGGAGGAACUGCAUGUGUAGAAUGUGUAGGCAGGGGAUUGGUGGUCACACUUGGCCUAGCCAAGUCAACCACCCCUGAAUCGAUCAAAUCCUGUAUCGCAUGAUGGAGUGCUGAACAACGCUCAGUAUCGUGCCCCGGAAUCUGAUGAUACAAGCAAUGCUCAUGUAAACGGAAAUGAGGAGGAAUAGGAUGGGGCAAAGGCCUCGGUGCCAAAGGAACAAUCACUCCAGCGUCUCUGAGCUUCUCAAAAGCUCUAGUCAAAGUCAUACCCAACGGAGUAAACUGUCUCGCGGGCCUCUGUGCAUAUGGCCUAGGUAGCGGGUGAGUAGUGGCUCUCGGAUGUGGUGGUCGCGGCUGCACGCUAGUCUGAGCAAUGUAAGGCUCCUGAGCAUAAUCCAACUGAUACUGAUACUGUGGAAGAGAGAAAGGAGCUCUGACUGUAGGAGGCCUAUAAGCUGAGUGAAGCGCGGGCCUCCGGUGCUGAUAGCUAAUAACACCAACCUCUCCAGAUCUACCCAAUGGUCCAAUCAGCUUCUUCCCCUUACUGUCAGGGGAAGAAGUAGUAUCUGUCCAUAAUCCUCGAGCAAUGGCCUCCUCAACACUGAAAGCUGCCUGAACCAAACUCCUGAGAUCCUGAAAUGGGAUGCCCACAAGACGUCUCGCGAACCUCGGCUGUAGGUUCCGAAGAACCAUAUCAAUCUGAUCCUGCUCCUUAGGCCGGUCUACCAUACCAGCCACCUUUGCCCUCCAACGAGUGACAAAUGAAGAAAUAGACUCCUCUGGCCUCUGUCUAGUGGCCUCCAACUCUCGUCUGGAUACAUCAAUAUCGGCACUGAAAGCGAACUGAGUCAGGAACUCACGAGCCACGUCUUCCCAGGUGCGGAGUCUCGAAGGCUCAACUGAAGCAAACCAUCUCUGAGCUGCUCCACUAAGUGACAUCGGGAAGAGGGCCACCAACUGCGCAUCAUCUAUACCAUGUGCUCUCAUGACCGUGCUGUAUAGCCUCAAGUGGAUCUUGGGACAACCAAUCCCACUGUAACGCUCAAUGUCUGGCAUGCGAAACUUGGCGGGCAAGCUAGCCGCCGGUAUGCCAUCCCUGUCAUCCCAAGUCAAACCUCCGUCCUGCAAUCUGAUCUGUCUCAUCAUGGACUCAAGCCUCUCAACCUUGGCCUCCUGCUCGGCCAAUCGAGUAUCCUCAAUAGUAGGAACCAUGGGAGGCGGCACUGUGACAGUAGGUGGUGGAAUGGUCUCAUAAUGAUCUGCCAGAUGGAACGGAGUACCAAGUGAAACCCUAGGUGGACGAGUCUGUGCUGUCUGAGAUGCAUGAGGAACUGUCUCAUCAAUGACCAUGCCAACCGGCUGGGGAUCCUGGCGAGAACUCUCUAUCUGAUCCAAGCGCUUACUGACUCCGGCCAUGAACUCCUGAAUGGAAGCGAGUGUGGAAGCUAGCUCGUCUGACAUCUCAACUGAACUGUCUGAACUCAAAUAUGAAUCUGAUCUGAUCAAUCGUCCUCCAACUCUCCUCCAAGAAUGUGACUCCAGACUCAACCGACUCCUAAACUGACUUCCUACAAUGCAAACAAGAUGGAUGAAGGACAUGAGAUGAAACUCUAAAAGACGACAGUACAACAUACAAGCACAUGGUCCAGAGGUAGCAAUCAGAAAUCUGGAUAUAUGACGAGAACUCUGGAGUCAUAAAGGUGUCCACUGUGAGAUGGCUACAAAUGUGACUAGAGAAUUCCUAUCAAUAAUCCAAGAUGAAAGAGGUGUGAAAAACACACUAUCACGAGAUCGGUACUCCAUCAAUAAACAUAUACCUUUAACUCAACUUCCAACCCAAGCUCCAUAAGAGAAAAAAUGAUAGGGUGAUCAAGGCGAAUCUCUCGAAAAAAGUGUGGAUGUGAAAAUGCGCCUUUCACCUUUCCGUAAUGAAAAUAUGAGCAUCGGGUUGAAAAUUGAAUCAAGUAUCCAACGAAGAAAUGAAGUACUCAGCCCGUGAUAGGUGUACAAUGCAAAAACAAGAUGAUCAAUGAACAUAUCCCAAAGUAUCAAGUGAGUGACAACAAAGUGAAGGGGUGUGUCGAGCCAAGAAAUGAGAACGAAAUCCCUAGGGAGAAAACAUGCUAAACUCCUUGAGUAAAAAAACAUAAUCUAAGGUGACAAGGCGAAAGGUGAUCCAACCGAUACUCAAACAAAUAACGAUCUCCGAGUACUCUCAACUGGAGACUAAAAAGAGGGAAUACUGGAUCCGAACUGUAACUAAAGAGGCUCCGAAGGCCCUCAGAUGCACCCACGUGUGAGGAAGGAAGUCCUACUCGAAGGAUCUACGGCUCAACCUACGAGGUCAGGUGGCUCUAAAUGGAUAUGGGUGGACUUUAAAAAAAUCCCGAGCAGAAGCGAUCAUACCCUCCAGCGGUACGCAACCCUCUGCACACCUCAGAAAAGACGGGGCGCUUCCAUGCAAGGUGGACAUCGCAUCCACACAUGCACUACCUCGACAUCCCAAGGGGUUUCCUAUGGUGAAUUCUCUCAAACUCUCAACGCUCAAUAGUCAACUAGAGUGCACAGUAAUCGGUGUGGGUGCAUCCGAAACCCUAAGAAGAUAAAGCAGAAGAUGAGACACACUGGUCGCAUAAAUAUCCAUGAAACCUAGCUCGGGGCUAUACAGGUCUUCAAUGAUCGGACUCUAAUCGACAACAAUGCGCCGCUCGCCUCCAGAAUGCUCCCAAACAUCAGUAUAGCCCGUCGCUGGACCCUACUCCUAACCUCUAUCUCGGUCAGAGUACAAGCACACACAAGGCCUCACACUUGCAAAAGUGAGAACCGUAAUGAAGGAAGUGACCGAGACUAGAGGGUGGGAGACAAGGAGAUAGAUAUGCGACCCACAUAAACAAACGGCACACAAUCAUGCAAAAGGAGGGCAGUCAUGCGACACGCAAUCAAACAAAUCUCAGAUAUAUCAUCAAUGUACACACACAAAAUAAGCGAGAAUACGACGAUCAGAUGAAUAAUGAUACAAAGACAACACGCUUAAAGAUGAUCAAAAUAAUAUACCAACAAGUGGAUCAGCAUGUCGAGUCGAAUGAUAUACAGUGGUGAGUGUAUGCAUGUGAAGUGAUUAGAACAAUCAUGGCAAAAUCAGAGUAAAUGUGCUAAGCAAUGCAAUAUGAUCAAUCAAUAUAAAUCAGCAAUGUCGAUGUAGCAAACAUAUAUAAUCAGUGAAGCACGAAAAAUCACGGCCUCAGAAGCCUCAAUCAGGAUAAAAUCAAUCAUCAUAAUCAACAUGUCAAAAGUCUCGAACAGAUAUAAAAUCCGAGUAUACAUCAAAUAUCCUCAAUGUGCAAUCAAGAAAUGGGUACCCAUUGAUCGUCCAAUCGAAUGCCACGUUUGCUUCAUUCUAAGUUCAAGCUUGACCCUCUAAAAAAAAUCCCCAGUGGAGUCGCCAUUUUGUGGACCCCGCGUUUCGAUCUAUCUCAAUGCGUUUCCCACUCAAUGGCGAGCUCGAUUUUUAUUUUAUUAGAAAAAAUGAUUUUUAUCGAUUAAGAAAAUGACUUGGAGUCGCCACUUAUUUUUGUUUUAUUAUUAAAGGGUAAACAAAAUAAGAAAGAAAAACCCUAAGUGUGACUCCUUAUUUUGGAAAAGGCGGUCUGUGAAAAACCGGAUCGGGUUCGGGGGUCAGGUUACUUCUCGGGAAGGUAUGGUAAAGACCGUAGCACCCCUCUAAGUCCCUAAAGUCGGGUCUCUACUAAUAAAAUGAAGCUGACAUGGCAACCAAUGAGAAAGUCAAUGAAUACCUAGGACGAAUCAUGCACAUACGAGAAUUAAAACAUGCAAAUAAAAUGACUAGGAUGCGAGUGGAUGUGUACCUGGACCGUGAACGAUCAAUGCGCUAUCAUAAAACAGGGUUAGUGAGCAAUGAACAAAAUAUAAUUAAGCGCAUAACAUGGAACAAAAUAAAUCAAACACGCACGAUAAGUAAAUCAAUCAAAACAAUCAAUCAAUCGUCAAUUCACAUAUGUGGGGGCCCCACCAAAGCCCGUUUAUUUUUGCAUGAAUNNNNNNNNNNNNNNNNNNNNNNNNNNNNNNNNNNNNNNNNNNNNNNNNNNNNNNNNNNNNNNNNNNNNNNNNNNNNNNNNNNNNNNNNNNNNNNNNNNNNGGAAAAUGGGAGGUUUUAGGCCUUAAAAAUAAAUCUAAGGAUGAAAUUCGAAAGGCAAAAAUUGUUGAAAGGAUUUGGAAAUUGGCCAUUAUAAAAAAAAAACCAUUGGAGGGAUUAUUAUUAAAAGAUGUUUCAGGAAAAUUAAUUUGAAAAUCAUAGGAACAGGAAGUGGGUGAUUAACACGUGGCUUCCGAUUUACUGCCAUUGCCACUAUACCCACCAUAGUCACCAAGCCCAUAGUCAAUGCCUCCAAGUGCUCGGUAGGAAAUAGGCCCAAAACACUAAGACGUGCCCCAGAGUUAGAGAAGAUGCUGGAGAGAUCUUUGAUCAAGCCACUUCACCAGAUUUAUGGCGAUAGAUCUUUCCGAAGACAUGAAGAACGGUGACAAAGCCGAUAAAGCAAAGGUUCAACACGAGAACCACCGUUGGAGUAAUCUUCAAGCCCGGAUCGUCAUCGGUGUAGAACAAGAGCAUGUUGCUCUCGCUGCUGCCACUGCCGCACCCUCCGGAGCUCUAAAACGACAGUGCGUGUGAGGAGAUUGACAACGACACCGUCGAAGACAACCGGUCUACAUAACCCUCCAACAAGCUUCGUCCUGAAGCUACUUCCGCCGCGGUGCUUUCCACAUGUCGUCCAUACAUCCAGUGACCCGAAUCAGCGCCACCUCGUCCUCAACUCCAACGCAGCUGAAUCUCACGCUGCUGUCCAGUUUGACCUGCGUCGGAAAGAACGACGUUGGGGGCCACGCAGGCAUCGACGGUGAUCUUCGGGAGCCACUGCCCCAGGGGAAUUAUCCUUCUCCGUCCUUUUUUUGAGCCUUCAACACUUUCUACAGCAAAAGUCUCCUCAACUUUUGAUGGCCCCCACAUGUACCAGUUGAGGCUAUUUAUGAAUUUCAUGGUUCAGAUUUGCAUCCAUCUUAUCUGAUUAUUCAAUCUGUUCUAGCUUGACAACGUCCAGAUUAAGCGUCCACUUAUUGUCUUCUGAUGAGUCAAGCUAUAAUAACCAGAUUUCUUUGUCGAUGUCUAUUGAUUCGGAUACCUUCAGCACAACAGAUCAGAAAAACUUGUUGCCUCAACUAUAACCUCAGUGUAGCUGGAGGCUCAUAAUCCUGCAGCUUAUUGAAAAAAAGAUCCAGUGACUAAUCGAAAAACCUGCCCAUCAUAGGUCCGACCAGUUCUUCCUCUAAGCUACUCAACCUGAGACUUGGAGACAUAGGCAAGCUCUGGAGCUUCCUUUUUCCGAUUACUGGAAGCUCACAGAGUGACCUUCCUCAUUUCUUCAUUCUACAACAGCGAACUCUCUUUCUCAAAAGCACCCCAAUCCAAACGGCCAAAUUCAAAACAAGAUGUCCAAUACUCCAAAAGAACACCAAAAAAACAGAGAAGAAAGUGAAGAAAACAGAGUGCGUGCAAGAGAUGAUAAUACCAUUAAACCAAACUUUACUUCAUGAAGAUCGGAGAGCUUAAAACAAUCUGGUGGGUUAAGUGAAUGGUUUUAACACAUAAACAAACAACAUCGACACCAUGUGACUCACACAGGAAUAAACAAAAAUCAAGCAAGCAGGGAUGAAAACAUGCUUAAGAUCUUAAACAGUCAAAAUGAACAUUUCAAAUAUUAGGAAAGGAGUCAAAUAUGGUUGUGAAAAGGAAAAACCUGAAGUCGAAGACAACCAAAAUUUGGAUGACUCCUUUUCUCUCUGUGACUGAAAUCCCACCUUCUCGUUCUACUCCCUGAGCUGAGAACUCUCCUCUCAACUCCAAACUCACUCCAGACCAGCCUCUCUUCACUCUCCCCCUCCUCUCUGACUCUCUCUCUCUAGCUAAACUCCUCUAAGCCUUCCCUCCUCCUCAAAAUAUCUCUAACGGACUCUGAAAAGCACUCCCUACUCCAGCUGCCAGAGACGCUCCUCCAUUCACGGCUUCCAGAUUCCCAUGCAACGUGUCCCCUUUUGAUUGGCUUCCCAAACCACUAUUAUGAUUCUCUCAUGGCUUCUCAGGUGUUGACACGUGGCUGACCAAGGCUCUUCCACAUGGUAAAAUUGAGCUGCAAGGUAGGAAUGACCUAAAAGGGGGUCUACACAUGUCUUCGUAUAUCUUUAUCCAAUUUAAAUAGUUUUUAUAUAUUUAUCUUUAUCCAAUAACUUUUUCCUCCCCUAACCCAAAAUAUUUAUAAUGAUAUUCUUAAUAAUUUUUUUAUUAUAUAUAAAAAAGUCUAAUAUUACAAUAAUAUAUUAAGAGUCCUCGCUCAAUUACAAUACUUAAUUUUUUUCUAAGCAAUUAAUUCUCUAUUCCUCUGAUUUUUUUUUGCUUUUAACUACCAUUGGGCAAUUACAUUUUUAAAUACAAUUUUCAAAGUACACGUUUAUCAUAAUUAUAUCUUUAUCCAAUUUAAAUAGUUUUUAUAUAUUUAUCUUUAUCCGAUAACUUUUUCCUCCCCUAACCUAAAAUAUUUAUAAUGAUAUUCUUAACAUUUUUUUUAUUAUAUAUAAAAAAAUAUAAUAUUACAAUAAUAUAUUAAAAGUCCUCAACUCAAUUACAAUACUUGUUUUUUUUCUAAGCAAUUAAUUCUCUAUUCUUCCGAUUUUUUUUUGCUUUUAACUACCAUUGGGCAAUUACAUUUUUAAAUACAAAUUUCAAAGUACACAUUUAUCAUAAUUAUAUCUUUAUCCAAUUUAAAUAGUUUUUAUAUAUUUAUCUUUAUCCAAUAACUUUUUCCUCCCCUAACCUAAAAUAUUUAUAAUGAUAUUCUUAACAAAUUUUUUUAUUAUAUAUAAAAAAAUCUAAUAUUACAAUAAUAUAUUAAGAGUCCUCGCUUCCUUCCAAUUUUUUUUUUGCUUUUAACUACCAUUGGACAAUUACAUUUUUAAAUACGAAUUUCAAAGUACACGUUUAUCAUAAUCCUGUUAAGAAAUAUAAAGAUAUAUCUUUAUCCAAUUUAAAUAGUUUUAUAUAUUUAUCUCUAUCUGGUAAUUUUUUCCUCUCCUAAUUUAAAAUAUUUAUAAUGAUAUUCUUAACAAUUUCUUUAUUGUAUAUAAGAAAAAAUUAAUAUUAUAAUAAUAUAUCAACUGUACUCGCUCCAUUACAAUACUUAAUUGUUUUCUAAGCAAUUAAUUCUCUAUUCUUCCAAUUUUUUUUGCUUUUAACUACCAUUGGAGAAUUACGUUUUUAAAUACAAAUUUCAAAGUAUACGGUUUAUCAUAAUCUUGUUAAAAAAUACAAAACAUGUUCUUUAUCCAAUUUAAAUAGUUUUUAUAUAUUUAUCUCUAUUUGGUAAUUUUUUCCCCUCCUAAUCUAAAAUAUUUAUAAUGAUAUUCUUAACAAUUUCUUUAUUGUAUAUAAGAAAAUUUUAAUAUUAUAAUAAUAUAUCAACCGUCGCUCCAUUACAAUACUUAAUUUUUUUCUAAGCAAUUAAUUCUCCAUUCUUCCGAUUUUUUUUUUGCUUUUAACUAGCAUUGAGCAAUUACAUUUUUAAAUACAAAUUUCAAAGUAUAUGUUUAUCAUAAUCUUGUUAAGAAAUACAAAACAUGUCUUGGUAUAUCUUUAUCCACUUUAUAUAGUUUUUAUAUAUUUAUUUCUAUUUGAUAAUUUUUUCCUCUUCUAAUCUAAAAUAUUUAUAAUGAUAUUCUUAACAAUUUCUUUAUUGUAUAUAAGAAAAAUCUAAUAUUAUAAUAAUAUAUCAAAGUCCUUGCUCCAUUACAAUACUUAAUUUUUUUCUAAGCAAUUAAUUAUAUAUUCUUCCAAAUUUUCUUUUCUUUUUUUCUUUUAACUACCAUUGGACAAUUACAAUUUUAAAUACAAAUUUCAAAGUACACAUUUAUCAUAAUCCUAUUAAGAAAUACAAAACAUGUCAUAUAUGUUGUCUCUCAUUUUAAUAUUUGAUAUUAAAAUCAUAUUUAUAAUAAUUGAUUAAUAACAUGAAAAGGAUGUAUUCUAGAAGUCCUAAAAUUCAUUAUUAUCACAUAAAAUAAAUAUAAAUUUAAACUCCAAUUUUUGAAAAAUGAUAUUACAAAAUUAUGAUUUAGAGCUACGAUUGGAUGAUAAUUUUGCAAAAAUUUGUGGAGUAAGAGAUAAUUAUGAGUGUAAACAACUCGUGGAUUUGUAUUUGGAUUUGGAUUCAUCAUAUAUUUAUAUUUUUAGGGUUUUGAUAAAACCCUAAAAAUAUUUUGACUCCGAUUUAAUUAUCUUAAAUUGGUUGGACCUGAAAAUAAAUUGAGAAAUAGGCAGGAAUAGAAAAAUACAAGGCAAAGACGAGCUGUCCCAGUGGCGUGGAAAAAACUUCUUAACUUCUCUGAAUAACUGCCAAAUAUCACGAAGGCCCCAACAAACAUACUAUUAUUACGCACUUUGCUGUUGCAGAGUCGCACCUAAAUUCCUCUCAAAUUCCUGCUUCCUCCACCAAUGGCCACUCUCUCUGCCUUCUCUACUCCUUCUCCUCCAUGGCCAAAUCCUAACCCUAGCUCUGACCCUAACCCUAACGCUAAGUCAGACUUGCCUGAUCAUGAGGAGCGGUCGCAGAGAACCGAACUGGAGGAUGUCGAUUCGCCGCCGAAUUCUCGUCCUACUCAAAACUUUAACCCUAACAUCCAGGAUGGUCGUCUGUCUCCAUCGUCGGUUCCGUCUCUUCUCCACAUCUCGUUCAACCAAGACUACGGAUGCUUCGCGACGGGUACAGAUAGGGGGUUUCGCGUCUAUACGUGUGACCCCUUCCGUGAGAUAUUCCGGCGAGAUUUGGACCGCGGCGGGGGGAUUGGGGUUGUUGAAAUGCGGUUAGUGUCUAAUUUGAUGGCCUUGGUGGGCGGGGGCUCCGACCCUCAGUACCCGCUCAACAAGGUCAUGAUCUGGGACGAUUAUGAGAGUCGGUGCAUUGGCGAGCUCUCGUUUCGGUCGGAGGUUCGAGCAGUUCGUCUCCAGUUGGACCGGAUUGUGGUGGUGUUGGAGCAGAAGAUUUUCGUGUACAAUUUCGCGGACUUGAAGCUUUUGCAUCAGAUGGAGACGAUUGCGAAUCCGAAGGGGCUUUGCGCGGUUUCGCAGGUGGCUGGGUCUAUUGUGCUGGUGUGUCCCGGGUUGCAGAAGGGGCAGGUUAGGGUUGAACACUACGCGUCUAAAAGGACCAAGUUCAUCGCGGCCCAUGAAUCCAGAAUUGCGAGUUUUGCGCUCUCAAUGGACGGGCAGUUGCUUGCGACUGCAAGCUCUAAGGGGACUCUGGUCAGGAUUUACAACACAAUGGAUGGGGUAUUGCUCCAAGAGGUACGUAAUAGUUUUUCUCAUUCAGUGGAAAUUCUGAACUUUUAGUGGAUCAUAUGAAAUAGAGCAUCAAAUUUCUCGUUGAAAUGCAAUCUCUUGUUGAAUAUAGCUAUGGAUUUAUGAAAUUUGGUUGAUUUUGUGUGUGGAACUUGGUGGUUUGGAAAUUUCUUAAUUGCAUAAUUGUGGAUGCCCCGUGUAUGCCUCUCUUAGCAUGCCCUCAAAGCCUAAAUGAGAUUCUAGAACUGGGGAUUGAUAUGGUUGAAAUUUUAGUCUUCAGAAUUAUUUUCAUUUCAUAUUAUUUUGAAUUGACAUUGGUGCCUACAUUUUGAGGUGUGACAAAAUUAUCAUCACUCUUAAUUGAGCAAAUAUGUCUUCACAUGCAUAACCCAGCAUGCUGUAAUUGCUCAUAGAUCCUCUGGAAAGAUUGGGAAAUUUUACAUUGCAAUUCAAUCUGCUGCGCAAUUAAGAAACGUUAGGCUCAGUCCUUUGAAGCUGUCAAGCCAAAUAUGUCAGCUGAAUCUGGCCUAAGCUGAACCGGGAAACCUAAGUGGGUUACAGUGAAUUUACUUCUGAGGUGCCAAGUUACCAUGUUUGGGAGAGAAAAUAUGAACUAUUUGUUAGUUCCUCUACUCAUUUGUUGACUAAUUUUUUUUAUAGGUACUUUCCCCUUCUUUGGUCCCCAGUGUGGGACUUGAACUUGGAACCUCCCACAACCCCACCCCAAACCUUUAUGCUGUUGCAUUGUCCCUGCUGUACUAUUGGGUCAGAUUGCUUUUCAAAGCAGGGCCAGGAUGGACUUGCGUGAAGCCCUGGAUGCAGGCUUGCUGCACUUUGGGCUUGUCUAAAGAAAGAAAUAAAGUAGAACAAAUGUGAUCUUUAAGUAUAAGUAGCCUUAGCUCAGUGGCAACUAAACAGGUUGGAUUUUUUUUUAUCGUCAUUUCAAUUCCUUACACCUACAAUAUGAAGUAGGCAUUAUCUGGUCUCAGGCUGCACAUUGUGCUGAGGCAUGCCCAUACAAAGAUGCAGGUAGAGUUAUGGUCUGAAGAUUUGGGCUGAGUUUUUGUGUCUUCAGGCCAAUUUACAAUCACUAAACUCAUGCAGAACAAUUCAUGGAAAAGGAAACAGAGAAUCGAGGAGAGGUUAUCACUAUACUGCCUGUGUCAUUGACCAUAGGAGGUUUGUUUUGUUCUAUGUUCAUUAAACUUUGAUGACAUUUUUUGUUCUAUGUGGAAUAUCAUGAAAAUGUGGAUUUCUAAAGCAAGAUGUUAGUCUCCAUUUCGAACCAUUACCUCUAAUGCACUGUAUCUGAUCAUGGUUUUAUCACAUGUCAUCCAUGUAAUGAAUCAACUGGGCUUGUCCAGUAUUCUUGAGACAAUUGAUCUACAUAAUCUGUUGCUUAAUUAAUUUGGGGAAUCUACAUAAAUCAAUUCCUGCAUUAGGAAAUGUAAGAUUUUUCUUUUUGGUUUUUUUUUGGGGUUUUAAAGAUAAGAAUGUCUCUACAUGCUCCUUCUGGUCUUGCCAAGUGGGGAACUUUUCUUGUUUCUGCUGGGAAUCCAAAUUUACAAUUAUUUUAUCCUGAACUACUUGUAUUCAUGUUUGUUUAUGCUUUUGAGUUCAUAGCAUUGUAGAUAUAUUGCAAAUAACUGGAUAUCUAAUGCAGUUACGAAGGGGUGCUGACAGAGCAGAGAUCUAUAGUAUGGCAUUCUCUUCAACUGCACAGUGGCUGGUAGUCUCAAGUGACAAGGGCACUGUCCAUGUUUUCAGCCUUAAGGUUAAUUUAGCAUCCCCUGGGAAUGACAAGUCACGUGGUGCAUCUAAUUCCAAUCUGGCAGUAGCAUCAUCCACCUCAUCACUCUCUUUCAUCAAGGGUAAGGCACCUUUUCUUCAGUGUAUAGUUGUCUCAGUGAUAUGCAAGUUCUUACCAAAUUAGUGAUCUUGUGAAAUGAAACUCUCACUUUUUUGUCCCUCAAUACUUUUGAUUUGUGAUUUUCUGUCCCUUGUUUUUUACGCUUUUUUUAUGCAAUUGUUUUUCUUUGCUUCCCCUGCAUCUGUCAUUACUUGUUGCUUACUAGGAAGUAAUGAUGGAGAGUUGAUGAGCAAGACCCCAAGAACAAGAUGCAUUAGACAAUGUCAAUGUAUUGACUGUUGAAGGCUAAUAAUAAAUUGUGUCUUUGGCUUAGAACUUACUUGAAUUCUUACUUACAGGAGUAUUGCCCAAGUAUUUUAGCUCAGAGUGGUCAGUGGCUCAGUUUCGCUUGCCUGAAGGUUCUCAAUACAUUGUUGCUUUUGGUCACCAGAAGAAUACUGUGGUAAUUCUUGGAAUGGAUGGAAGGUAAGUGAGCACCAAGCUCAAAGAGGACAAACUUUAUGUAAUCCAAUAUAACUGCUUGUUACUUUGAAAUUUUCCUAUUGGCAUGCUCAAUUUUGACUUUUUAGAAAGUAUACACAUAUAUUCACCAGACUAUCAUCUGGGCUGUGGUUGGAGGGAAGAGUGGCUUCUACUGAACAACAAGCGUUUUUCAAGUUGCUUGUUGAUCAGGAGAGAGCUGCAGACCAUACAUCACAUGCAGUCAUCAGUCUUAGUAAGCUAUUCAUUGUAGAAACAUCUCCUUCUUUCUAGCAUAGGUUAAAACAUUGCAUCUGGAAGGUUGCAUGAGACAUUUUCUUUGACCACUAUAUUUUUAUUUCCCUGAUUCUUCUUUGCCUGCAACCCAUGUUUUUGCCUCUCUCUCUUCCCUCCAUCAGCCCAUGUUUCUUUUUCUUUUUUGUUUCACAUUCAUCAUAACGUUUUCUGUUAGAAAAGAAACUGGAAAUAAAAUUGUUGAUAUUCACUUGAAUUUGAAUGAUUGAAUGCAGCUUCUAUCGAUGUCAGUUCGAUGCAGUGAGCGGUGGAGAGAUGAUUCAGCUGGAGUACCACAACUUCCUUAAACCUGAAAAUACUAUGUAAUAGGGGCUUGGGUUACUUGUACGUUCUAUUUCUGGGCUAUGUAUAUAACAUUCCCUUUAUGGUUUUUAUCUUGCAUUUUACCCUUACCUAUGGAUGGCUACACAAAUCUAUUGUAAGUAUCUCAGUGUAGAUGGGUCACAAUCUAUAUAUACUGAUUAUAGUCAAUAUGAAAACAAAUUAAAGCAAACUUGUGUAGCAACUGUCUUCAUCCUAUUCAUAGUUUAAUUUCUUCUUUUCUGUGAGAUCUGAGUAGUGGCAUGUGAGAUAACAGCGUGUAAAGUUUCAUUCCAGCCUAGCACACUCUUCUUCAACUUCACCUUAUCUUCUCUUCUUCUUCAGUUUUGAUUUAUUUUUAAUUUAAUAAAAUAAUUGUUUAAUGUAUCAUUCAGGGUUCGGUUGUACAUUUUUUUUUUUAAAGAAAAAAAUGUUUAAGUGAGGGAAUACCAAUGGCAGAGUCCUAAAAUAGCUAGUGACAAGGCUCAGACUUCAAGUCCUCUGUGCUUCCCCAUGCCUUUUAUUUCCCUUUGUAUAUUGGAAAUAUAGCCCCCAAAAAAUCAAAUAUUAAAUGAGGAAGAUAAGAAAGAUGACUUAUCGUAGUAACACAAUGUGACAGAAGGAACUAGUAAAAUAUAAAUUUACUAACUAAAUAAACUAGAUGCCAUGUGUCAAAAAAAUAUUAUAGAUUUUGAAAUUGUUUAUCAGAGAUCUCAUUUCAAAAAAAAAAUUUUUUUUAAGUUAGUGAAUUUCUUCUUUUUUGCAUUUUUUUUUCUUUUUUUUUUUUUAUAAAAAAAAUCCCUCAUUUUUUGCCCUUGGAACUUCAAUCUUGCUUGGUUAGCUUAAUUCAAUGGUUUAGGGGUCAGAAAGAGGUGGUGACCAACCUGCAAAUACCACCCAACAAUGCAAUUAUGCAAGAAGAAGGGUCUGAAAGCCUGAAAGCUUGUUUGAUGAUAAACCCCAAAAAAGCUUUGGAAUACAAAGAGUGUUGGGGACAAGAAAUGAGAACGCAUCUCAAGAUGAAAUCUAAGGUCUCCAAAUUUGGUGCACUGAAAACUGUGAUUUUGACUGACUCACCUCUGACUUUUCUUUCUGCAGCAGCUUUGCCCCCAUCCACCCACCCACCCACAUGCCUACCUCCAUCGUCACACCCCACACACCCCCCCUCUAUACACCAUUUUCAUCACGCAAUCAUAGCUUCUUUUCCUUCCCUGAUAUCCCACAAUCAUCAGAUUCAUCACUCUACCUUGGACCACACACCCCUCCCAAGUAAUACAACUUUUUUUUCCCUUUUUACCCCUAUGAAUAGUCAAAGAAUUUAAUUGUAUGUCACAGACUCACAAUCAGCCAUACAGCUCCAAUGUUUCAGAGAGAAAGAAAAAAAAAAAAAAAAAAAGUACAUGGGUGGAGUGUAGCAUUGGGCCUCUUACAUAGACCAUGUGAUACUGAGUCAUAUUUACCUGACCAAAUGUAUAAAAUAAUUAACAAUCCAGAUUCACAUGGCAUAUAUAGAAAUGAAAAUGGCCCCAUUCAUAAUGUUCCUCUGAAAUUUCAUGAUACCAAUGGUGGGUCAAUAUCUGACCACUAAUUGGGGAUUUAAAACUAAUCUUCUGCCAUUAAUUUACAUCUCCAAUGAAUAAACAACUCUCAUUUUAUCAAAAAGUUUUAUUAUAUCAACUCGAAUAAUUAAAAUCCAUCAACUCUAAAUUAUUUUUUUUUAAAAGAAAAAUAAUUUGAGUGUAUGAAAUUAUUUUUUUAAAUUACAAAUUGAAUUGGUAAUUUACCAAUUCAUUUCCAUUAUAGUUAUGAAUAAAUCAUUUCGUAUACCACUAAAUAAACCCAUGAUCUAAGCCUUGAUUUAAAAAAAAAAAAUUCUAAAGUUGGUAGUGUAUACACAUUCAAAUAUAAUCUAUAUUUUUUUUUUACUUUGAUGCAAUUUAAGAAACAAUUUUUUUUUUCCAAAUAUCAAAACUAUUUUUAUUUUUCAUAAUCUAUAUUUUAAAUUAAUUAAGACUUUAAUUAUAAUUAUUUUUGAAAGUUGAUUCUUCUUUCUUUUUCGCAAAGCUCACAAGAGCAUAUAAUUUGAAAAAUAGAAAAAAUAAAAAAGAAGAAGAAAAACAAGGAAUGUUCUUAAUGAAUUUGUGUAGAAAAUUAUUUUAUAUUCAAUAAAAUUUUAAAAAUACUAAAAUAUUUAAACUUUGUUUCCAACUUCUAAAAAAAAUAAAAGAUGUGAUUACAACAUUGAAAAAUGCUUUCUCGAUUUCUAUUGAAAAAAUAGUAUGAAUUAAAUGGUGUCAAAUAUAUAUUUUUAUGUAUUCUUAUUUAAUCUAAGUCCAUAUUUUUUUGUUCAAUAUUAAGCUACAUUACCUUUUCAUUGUCCAAAAAUUAUUGCAAGCAAGAAUAGUAUUUACCUGUGCCUUUUCUUCUUCAUGAAUUCAAUGUGAACAGUAGAGAAGUCCUUUCUAAAGGAGCGGGGCAAGUUGAUUGAAACAAGAGAAUCGAGGUGGACAGCAACUACACGAAACACCACUGCAUAAGAAGCCAACAAACUAGUAUAUAAAGCCCACCAUACCCUCUUCAUUUGCAGUACCACCUCACCAUCCUCCAUUCAUAUUGCCCAUUUUCACCCACCUCUUUCUCUCUCUUUUUCUAUUUUUUCUCACCUACCCUCCUUCUCUUUCUCUCUGCCUCUCAGUUUCUCAGUCUUUCAAUGGCGCUCAAGCUCCAUGGAAUUCCCAUGUCCACAUGCACCACUCGUGUCCUCACCUGUCUCCAUGAGAAAGGCUUGGAUUUUGAGCUUGUCCCUGUUAAUCUCUUUGCAGGUGAACAUAAGCAGCCUCCUUUUCUUGCCAAGAAUGUGAGUCUCACUUCCCUCUUUCUUUCUAAUCAUCCCUCUUUAUUCUCUUUGAAGAUUUUACUUUUCUUUGGGGUUGUAUAAAUUAUGAUUUUCCUUGGUUUGGGUACAUUGUUUUUAGUGUGCAGUCUUGUCGAUUUGAUUUUGGUCUUGGUUUUGUUAUACAUAUAUGCAGCCCUUUGGACAGAUUCCAGUUCUGGAAGAUGGCGAUCUCACUCUUUUUGGUAAGUCCUCGGUUUUAAUCACUUUCCUCAUAAAAGCUUGAAAUUUGUUGUACUGUACUACCAUCAGGAUUGACAGUUCCUGAGAUUUAUUAGCUGCUUGCUUUUGAACAAAAUUUUGCUUUAAAAAAUUAAAGGAGUUUUUCUUACAAAAUCAUGCUAUUUAGUACAACAUACGAGCUGGGUCUAUGAUACUAUUAAGUAUACUAUUGCCCCAGCCUUACUGAAAAUCCCUAGUCGAUGAAGUUGGGUUACUGAAAUUAUGUAUAUGUACCAGAAUCUAGGGCAAUAACAGCAUAUUUGGCCGAGAAAUACAAGGAAACGGGGUGUGAUCUCUUGAGGCACAAUGACCUCAAAGAAGCUGCAUUGGUGAAGGUGUGGUUGGAGGUUGAAUCCCAACAAUAUCAUCCGGCAAUAUACCAGAUUGUGUACCAGUUCUUCGUGUUGCCUCUACAAGGCAAGACGGCCGAUCAGGCCAUUAUUGAUGUAAAUCUGGAGAAGUUGGGUAAGGUUCUGGAUGUGUAUGAGGCCAGGCUGGGCACCACAAAGUGCCUAGCAGGAGAUUUCUACAGCUUGGCUGAUCUUCACCACCUUUCUUACACUUACUAUUUCAUGAAGACGCCAUGGGCUUCCCUCAUAAACAGCCGUCCCAAUGUGAAGGCAUGGUGGGAGGACAUUUCCUCAAGGCCAGCUUUCAAGAAAGUGGCUGAAGGCAUGACUUUUGGUGAGAAGUGAUCGGUUUCUGAGCAGUGUGGCUCUAUGUUUUGGGGUAAUAUUAAUUGUAGUGGUUGCUGCCUCUUAAUUACGUGUAUUUAAGUGUGAGACCACGUAAUAAUUACUGAUUAUGUGUUAUGAUUUGCCCUAAAUUAAUCAGAAAUGUGGAAUUAUCUGGGGUUUCUCAUUGUGGUAAUUAAUCUGCUUGCAACCAGUUUUUGAAAGGGUUUGAUGCAUUUUUACUCCAUACUUUGCUUUAGCUAGGGUUAUGUUGGUGUCUCUAAGGCAUAAUGCUUCCAUUUUUGAGUCAUUGCAUACUCAGAUCAAAGUUUUCAAGACUUGUAGAAAAUGGGUUUUGGUAUUUUCAUGAAAGAGAAUGAAAGGGCAAAUUUCUUCACAAGGCAUGUAGUAAGGGUUUUCCCUUUCAAUCAGUCUUUUUCCUGAGAAACAAACAGAAUGUAUAUCAUGCCGUGUCAUCCACUGUGACAGUUUUCCUCUGAAGAGUUUUACUGCAGUACUUCCUAUUUAUUCCCAUUUUUACUUCCCAAACGAGGUAAACACGUACUGUACUGCAGCUCUGGUUAUUUUCAUCAUCCUUGCUUGUCCAAAGCAGCUUCACUCUUUGAACCUAUUUUUAUUGUUAUAUAUAUAUAUAUAUUAGGUCAAAUUAAUCUUCCAAUUUUCUAACUCUAAGCCCUUGCAAAGAGUUUUUGUAGUAUCAUAUGUAUCUACUAUCAGUCAAGCAGAAACUGGAUAAUGUUCUAUAUACGCUUCAAUAAUUAUGGAUCCAGCAAAGGAGAUCUUUUGUUAUGCUACGGGUCUCUACUAAAAUCUGAGGCUGGAACCCACUUCAAUUAUUCACUCAUUUUGUUCUCAUAGAACCUUCAGCCAUGUGACCCUCACCCUCCAACUAACUUUCAACCACAUCUACCACCUUUCUUUCCUUUUUAUUUUUAUUUUUUAGUUUUGACCUAAUUCCAUCUAACUCUCAAAAUGUAUUCUAAAUCAUGCAUCACAGUCUCAAAAUAUAUGUAGGCCCUUCUCUCUAGAUUCUUGAUUCUAUAGUCUUGUACAACCCAAAUUUCUUAGACUCUAGUCUGAAUAAGCUUGAUAGACAUGAUUGUGCUUAUUAUUUAAUAAUUUAAGUUUUUCUUAUAGUAAUUAAUAGUUUAAUAUGAUAUAAUAAAAUUUCUUAUCUUAAUUAAUUUGUAAAAUUAUCUAGAUGAGAUAAAUAGAUAGUCCUAAUUUUUAACUCCAAAAAUUGAUUUUUUUUCUCAAUUAUAAAUUUUCUUAAUCCAAUGCGAGAUUCAAAUAUCAAAAUAAUAGCUAGUUUCAUAAGACACUUGAUGUAUGUGGAAAACCAUCAACAAUCAUGGGUUUGCAAAACAAAGUAAUUACUAAAUCUAAAAGAAUAAGUACACAAUUUUUAUCAAAAUUUGAUACUAUCUUCUCCCAAGGGUCUUAUGUUGGCACAUAUUUACACUUGUUUUCAUGUUUGAGAUGCAACACCUUAUACCCUUUAGGAAACUCCUCAACUACUUGAUAACAUAUAAUCAACCAUUAUGAUUUGAUCUCAAAUAAGAGUUAAGCGAUUGAAAAUGUAUGUGUAGUGAGUUUGAAAUGAGAAUGAUAGAGAAAUUGAACUUUUUCAUUAGACUUUAAAUGAAGCCAUUAAGGAAGAGAUCCACUCCCAAGAUUAAUUCAAGAUGGGGAUAUAAAAAUGGUAUCUUACCAUAAUGACGUCAUCCAUCAAACUUUAUAUGAAGAAGAUAAAUCCAUUGGUUGAACUCUUUAUAGAGGAAUAAUUGACUCUUUAUCAUUAAACAAUAUAUGUUUGUUUUCAACUUGCAAAGAAUCUUAUUCUAGUGCUAUUAAAAAAAUUCUUAAAUAUUUAAAAAGAAUAAUUAAACUAUGUUUGUGAUAUCAUGCAUACUAACUUUGAUCUAAUUAACUAAUUAAAAGUGGAUUUUCCGUUUGUAAAAGUAAUGGAAAUGUAUUAGUGGUACUUAUAAUGUUUGUUUUCAAUCUUACAAAGAAUCUUAUUUUAGUGCUAUUAAAAAUAUUCUUAAAUAUUUAAAAAGAAUAAUUAAACCACGUUUGUGGUAUCAUGCAUACUAACUUUGAUCUAAUUAACUAAUUAAAAAUGGGUUGUUCCAUUUGUAAAAGUAAUGGAAACGUAUUAGUGGUACUUCUAACUUUCUAGGCCACUCACUAGGUUUUGACAUAGUGAUCGAACCUUUGAUCAAUUGAGUUGUCGUGUGCGAUAUAUUUCAUAAUGACUAAUUGAUGCAUGGUGGUUUAGACUUAGUCUUAAUUGGUUGAGGACUUGUUGAUCAGAUGUUAAUCGAUUAAGGUUCUUGCACCUUAAUGAUUACCUCCAAGUGUACUUUUAUUUAAUAGCAUGUUUCUUAGUCCAUCGCCUAAUCCACUAAUUCAGCUAAAAAUGUGCCUAAGGGCUAGUUUCACUCUAGAACUCUUAUUUAAAACUUUCCAACCUUGAGCAAUCAUUGUAGCAAUUUAUUGAAUGGUUCUCUAGAAUACUCUUAUUCCCAAACUCGCAAGUCUCAUUUAGUCUACCUUAAUCUUAGUUUAUUUAUAUAUUUGAUCCUGAAUUUUGCAAACUAGAAAGCUUACUUUAAGAAAUUCACUCUUGUAUUCAUGAAAGAGUAUACUGAAAUGUAAGGGAUCACUUGAGGGCAUUGCAAAGGCAUAUUGGAAGCUUAAAUAUAAGUGUAAAAAAAUUAAAAGCAAAAUCUUAGCACUAGUGAAUGGACCUCAAGCUUAGAUUGAUGAAAGAGAGAGUGGAUAUAGGAGUUAUAGAACCAUUAUAAGUACUUUAUUGCAUCACUCUAUCCCUAUCUCUAUUAAUUUACUUGCACUAUAUUAAUUUUUAUAAUUUGCUUUUUAAUUUUCUAAAUUUUGCAAAAGAACUAACACCGAAUUCUCCUCCCCUCUUGGGUGUCUUCCUCAAGUGAACUCAACUAAUUUGCUUUUCAAUUUUCUAAAAUCAUGAAUCAAUGUAUCAUAAAGCAAAUCCACUAAUUUAAAAAGAAUUAAUACACGGUUUUACCUUAACCAUAUGUUAUCUUCCCCUAAUAAUCUUACACCAAUCAACACAUCCAUUUGUUUUCACGUUUGCAAUGCAAUAUAUGCUCCUUAGUAAACUCCUUAGCAAUUUGAGAUAAUACAAUCAACCAUCAUAAUUUAUCCUUUAAUUAAAGUUAAGUUUUCAGGAAUAUUGGAAACACACAUGAGAAUAACGACAAUUAUUUUCGAGAGCAUGUUGUUUUUUCAAUAUAAGGAGAAAAUCUUACUAAGUCUAUCCAAAUACAUUAAUUGAAAAAAAUAUAGAAUUAGAAAAUCAUGAAAAAAAAAAAACAAAUGGGUCCAAGGUAAACCGAUGUACUCCAUUUUGUCAUGAAUAUUCACUAAAAAUUACUCAACCGUACACAAGCUUGACACACAACAUUUCCCCACUACGUAAUAGCCAUUAAAUCAAAUGAAAAAUAAAAUCUCCAACGUUAAAUUAAGUUGACACCGUGUGCAUCCCUGGUUUCAUAAUGCAGAGUGAGAUGAAACAGAAUCGAUGCACAAGUACUGGGAAAUAAAAUUACCCAUCACGAGUCUAGAAAAUGGGUUCUGAUAUUUUCACAUAAGACAAUGUUGGAGGAUUCUAGGAAAAGAAAGAGAAUGCGGGAAAGGGAAAAUUCUUCACAUGCCUACAGCAUUUACGGCAUAAAGAACGUUUUCUUUCUCAAAGCAUGUGAUCUUUUUCCUGAGAACCAAACAGAUGGCAAAAGCAAGUUCCUGCUUGUCCAAAAAAACCCUGUACUCAUUGGACUAACAAAGCCUGAAUUAAAUAUGGGCCAUUUCGUACCUUCACCAUGGCCCAUUUCUUGUGAUGUUCUUUUGAAUAAAUUUAAGAAAUUACUGUUAGAAAUCAAAUAGAUUGAAUAAAUAUUUUAAUUUAUAAAAAAAUCAUCUUAAAUAAAUAACAAAUAAUAAAUAGGAGAAGGAAAAGAGAAAGUACGUAUAUUUGCAAUGUUACAUUACCUCACCUUAUCGUUUUCCAAAACUUAUAGUAAGCAAGAAUUGGAUUUACUUCUGCCUUCUAUUCUUCAUCAAUACAAUAUGAACGGUAGAGAAGUCCCUUGUUCUAAAGGAGCCGGGCAAGUCGAUUGAAACAAGCGAAUCGAGGUGGCCUGCAACUACCCUAAACAACACUGCAUAAGAAGCCAACAAACUAGUAUAUAACGCCCACCAUACCCUCUUCAUUUUCAGUACCACCUCACCAUCCUCCAUUCAUAUCGCCCAUUUUCACCCACCUCUUUCUCUCUCUCUCUCUCUCUCUCACUCUCUCAGUUUCUCAGUCUUUCAAUGGCGCUCAAGCUCCAUGGAAUUCCCAUGUCCACUUGCACCACUCGUGUCCUCACCUGUCUCCAUGAGAAAGGCUUGGAUUUUGAGCUUGUCCCUGUUAAUCUCUUUGCAGGUGAACAUAAGCAGCCUCCUUUUCUUGCCAAGAAUGUGAGUCUCACUUUCUUCUUUCUUUCUAAUCAUCUCUCUUUCUUCUCUCUGUAGAUUUUGCUUUCUUUGGGGUUGUAUAAAUUAUGAUUUUCCUUGGUUUGGGUACAUUGUUUUUAAUGUACAGUCUCGUCGAUUUGAUUUUGGUCUUGGUUUUGUUAUACAUAUAUGCAGCCC
rnacentral:lncRNA from 1 species